rnacentral:lncRNA from 1 species
GGCUCCGCUUCCUUCCCGUGGCUUCUGGAGUCUUCUAGAUGGUAGAAAAUUGCGCGGUGGGUUGAUAUCUCUAUGUAAUCCCAACAUGUGGACCUUUCUUCCUUAUUUCCUGAUAACCCCCUGCAGAAAUAGACAAACACCAAAACUCAUGGAAUUCUAUCAGAUAAAACCCUAAGUCUAGAUGUUGAUUUCAUUUGGAUCCUUUUCUUUGUUUAUUUGAUAAUUAAAAUUGAUACUUAAGGACCGUCAACAAACUCCCCCAAGCUUACCUCUUGCUCGUCCCUGAGCAAGGAUGAACUCAAGAGUUCCUGCAGUGGUUUCAUUUCUUAGAAGUACACACGCAUUUAAGCAAGAUCUCAUCUCUGAGUUAGAAUAAACUGUUAAGACUUAAAACUUACUUACUUUACCUACACCAUAGGACUUGUAACCGUCACUUCUGUCUUGAGUGGUUAAAAGAUAGAACAGUCUAGCCAAGUGCCAUGUCUCUUAUUCUUGAUCAGCUAUAGCUCUGGGGUUUUUGCAGAUUUUCAAAUGAAACUCAGAAAUUCCUUGUAUGAUUCUCUCAGGUCUCUCUUUUGUGGUAUUUUUGGAUCCUUUCCAAGGCAGUGAUGGUAUAUGCCUUCUCUCAAGAUAUGUAGUAUUUGUGGUAUGAAGUAUAGUGACAUUGUCUUCUCUCUCACCCUACUCUAAUAAGGCUUUAAUAUCUGGAGCUCAUAGGUGGGAGAUAAAGUAUACAUACUUACAAGACAUUUAUUGCAUAGUCAAACCAUGGAUCCAAAGAAACAAAUCAAUAAGCCAAAUCAAGAUGUGCAUGUGUGGCGAAUGAAUGGUGUAUGGUGAUGAUGGUGAUAACAAUGGUGGUGGAAGUCUAAUUCUACUUUGCUCUUUGAGGGGAUACAUACCUUCCUUGCUUUUGAAACUUUAUGAGGAGAAUGAGAUGCUCUUCUUUUUCUUUUCUUUUGACGUUCUGAGCACUUGCUCCUUUUUAUUUCCUCGUAUCUUUUAUUUUCUUUUUCUCUUUUUUUUAGAGGAUUCAUCUCUUGAGAUAAUAUAGCAAGUGGUAGUAACAAGAUAACUUGAGCAUUUAUUUCACAAGGGGAAACAAAAAUAUUUUUGGUUAUUCUCUCCCGGAUUAGGAGUAAAAUAUUUUUAGGUGAUUCUGGAGACGGAAAUGAGUGGAUAUAUGUGGAUGGUACUUCCAGAGUAGAAGUAGCAUAUAUGAGUGGACGUGCAAGUGAAAUCUUGAUUUAACCACAUGACAAGCUCCUAAGGGUCUACACAGCUUGACCACACUCAAUGCUCAUAAGCACUAAAUAAUAAAUGUGUGGCUCAAGGUCUAGCAAGCAUGUAUAUAUGGCUGUGGUAGGAAUUUAAACUCUCAUCAUAUAGGAACUCAUCAUGCAACAUUUUAAAAAAUUUCAAAGAUAAAAUUCUCCAGAAUUCUAGCAUCUCUAGGAACAGAUGCAGCUCAACCUUCCCAUAUCGUAUCCGUUAACAACUUAGACUUCAGAUCAAGUUUUCAUCCCACAAGUUUAGGUCUAGAGCAAGCCUUAAAUUAUAACAGUUAUAUCUAAACUUGAGAGAGAACUUCAAAUUUGCAAAUUAGGCAGAGCAACUAUUCAUCAUAUCCAUGCUUAAGUUUUAUUAGAUACAGAUUAGCAUAGCCACUUUAUUUAUUUAUUAAACACACUAAGCAAAAUAUAUAUAAGCAUAAAAUCUUUAUUUGGUUUUUCAUAGUUAUGUGUGUUUAUAUUCUAAUAUAGUAUAAGUAUAAAGAUAGAUAGAAAUACUUAUCGAGAUAAAUGGGGGUGCUCUCCCCCAAGCUGAAUUUUGACGUAAUUUCCCUUGAUGUAGCUAGCAGGUGGCAGAGGUGUGUUUGAAAGUCAGCAGUAUUUUGACAGCGAUUUCUCCGUCUGCUAGUCUUCUUGAUUCUUAAAUUCUGUAGAGCUCAAAUAGACAACAAAGCUUGUGGAACUGAUUAAGUGUUAGCAUAAAUAUCUAGCCUUUGUCAUGUUGAGACUCCUUAAUAAAUAUUACUCCCUGUUUUUAUAUUUUUGUUUUUAUAAAGCAGAAAAAUAUUUAUUUUAUUUUUAUGCCACCACAGUGAAUGUACUUAUGGGUUUUAUGCCACUCGUCUACUCACAUGGGGCUUACAGUUUUUUUCACAUUUUUAUUUUCUUUCUAGGAUAAUACGAACAUGAUUAACUAAGUAAACUAUUUGAAAUAAUCAAAAGGGAAAGGAUAACUACCAAGUUUACCUCUUGGCAAGGCGUUCGGUGUUUUUAAGUCCUCCGAAUGGGACUCUCCAUUUUCUUAAUCGUCCUGAGGUUCGUUGGGUGGCGUAGUCGCUACUUCCGGCAGCGCCUCCUCUUCAUUUAUAGUUAUCUUCAUUUUCCAUACCUGACUCGGUGUUACGGUCUCCUCAGGACAGUUCUGUUCAAGUUGUAUGUCUUCAGUCCUUAUCACUUCUCCUUCGUAGUCUACCCAUCCGUCCUUGAUGAUUUGCCUCCUCUGGUUGCGGUUGCGUUGUCUUCUUCUUAUCCUAACCUGCUUAGAAUCUUCAAAUAUAUAAUCAUUAAAGUAGUGGCGUACCUUUCUCAGAGGGAAAGUGCAUGUGGACUUCUUCGGUUCCAAUAUAGAUAAUGGCUUUGAUAGUGUUUAGGAACGGUCUUCCAAGGAUGGUGGAUGGAUCAUACUCGUCUUCUCCCAUGUCAAUGACCUGAAAAUUGUUUGAAGCUGAAUCUAUCUUGGUUGUAGGGGCAUGGUUCUAUGCAGGAGCUAAUAAGUGACUGCGGCCAUUAUGUUGUCGUCAGAUCUGGUGUCGUAGAGUGUCUUCUAAAAAGAGUAUCCAUUGUUUGUGCAUUCGAUUCUUGGAACACCAGGGUCGUCCUUCUUGAUCAAGAAAGGUGACUUGAGUCGACGAUCUUGACCUCCUUGAGCUGCAGUGACCAUCUUAGCUGACUCGGUCCACAUUUGCUUGUUCCUGUUCCUCCUGUUGGUCCUCUUCCUUGGUUCAUGUCGGGAUUGCUCUGAAGUUUGUGUAGUCUUGUUCUUGAAGGAAAAUCUCCUUCUUCCCCUUGAUGUAGAGACUGAUCUUGGCAGCAUUAGCGUAGAUGACAAUUCUGGUGUUUAGGAAUGGCCUCCCUAAGAUGAUGGGUGCCCUCUCCUCAGUCCCAGUCUCUAUCACCACGAAGUUUGCUGGAGUGUACAAGGUACCAACUCGGACACAGAGGUUCUUCAAUAUUCCUUUGGGAAACUAAGUGUCUGAUCUCCAUUGUGUUUGUGCUCGUAGAUCCCGGUUCUUCACUUGAUGGAAUCUGGGAGUUGUAAAACGCCUUCACGUUUCUCAAAAUGUGUCCUGCUCAUAGAGACAAGGCAGAGAUCAAGUGCAUGGGCCCUGUUGGUGGAAAACACUAACAAAACCAAAAGUGUAUUUGUUCUUCUCUAACCUUAAGCAUAGUGAGCAAGACAAAGUUGAUGGAUCAUGAGUGUAGCAUUUAAAACAUUUGUUAGAUCAGAUGGCUCAACCUAAUGGAAAGAUAAUCUAUCUAUAUUUAUGUUUUGUUUAUAUCUUCCAAAGAUUGAAUGUGCAACACUUUAGCUUAUAUGAUUAGGAGUGUGGGAUCACGAAGGUAGUACUAAGAACAAAGAUUAAAGGACUAAUCAUGUUGAAUUAAUUGGGUUGAUUAAUUUGGAGCUACAAAUCAUACAUGUUUGUCUCUUUAUUUAUGUGAAUGCUAGAACCAAGGAGAAGCUUAUAAAAGUCAUAGUCAAGUACCUUAAAAUGUUACCUUACUUGAAGAGUGACGGUACAGUAUCACCAUGUGGAAGCUUUCCUUUUCUUAGCGGUUGUGCAUCGUGUUUGUGGCACCCUCCAGGGAUCAUCUCUUUAUGAUGAAUGAGCUAUGUCCUUCUUGUGUAAAUUGUUAAACUUCAUGUGUCUCCUUUAUCGCCAAUGAGUUUGUAUCUCAGGACUUCCCAGGUUGAUAUUGAAAGUUUUCCUGCAGGGGUUAGUCCAACAAAAUAUCCCAUAUCUACUAUAGCAUACUAUCGGCUCAAAAAUCAACCUAGACACCAUGUCUAAUUUGAUUUAGGAGGGCAUUUUAACCUAAGCACCAUGCUUAAUUUAAAAAAAUCCUUUGGAAGUAAGAUCAUCAUUCCUAAACUAAGCACCAUGCUUGAUUUAAGAGAUAAAUGAAACUACUCCAAACAUAGACAUAUACUAAAGCAAAUAAAGGUAGCAUGAGAGCAUUUAUAGCGAUCUACUCAAGUGAAGGUGAAGUAGUGUAAUUAGUACUUAACAAAUUGAGCAUCUCUCAAAGGUAGGGACAACCAACGUAGCAACAUGGCAAAGGAUGUUUUUAUGUAAAGUACUCCCCCAAGCUUGAAUUUUGUAAAAUUCAAGUUUGGAUGAAUUUAAUUCAAUGUUGUGUGAUGGUUGGUUGGACAUACCUUGUGCUUGUCAUUCAUCCGAUCUUCUUACUCCAAUCCUGGAAAGGUUAGUGACAAGAAUACCCGAAGGAAUAUUUCUACAAUAUGCUCAAUACACAAGGCAAUGUUGCAAAUAAUUAGAAGUUCAUGUUAUGAUCUCUGAUAAGUGCUUGUUUUAGGACGCUAAGCUUAUCCUUGGGAAACCAUCAAGUUAUGUUUGUGAAGUGGUUUCCCCUCCAACACCAACCUAUAUCAAGAUCAACUCAACGAGAUCUGCAAUAUUUAUUAUAGACAUAUGCAUCGACAACCGCCCUUUUAAAGUUUUUAUAAAUAGAAAGGAAGAGAGGAUUGGAGAUCUCAAAUAUGGUAAGGAUGGAGAGAUAAAUUGAUUGGAGAGAUGUUUUAUAUGAGCAAGGACUGGGUGAGGUAUUUAUGAAAUAACUUCCAUGCUCACUGUUGUUUCUCUCAUUCUCAAACUCCAAGGAUGAUUCUUCAUGAAUGCUUAAAAUUCCUCUAGGAUUGUCUCUCAAGUUUGUUUUAUCUAUCCAUUCAAUGGUGAUAGCACAUGGAUUUUUAAUGCCCUCUAGCCAUUGAUGUUGCUCUUCUCGAUCCUCCUUAUACAGGGGAUGUCUAGAGAAAUUCAUAGGAUUAUCGGGAGGUUUAAGAGAAAGAGCAUAGUAGAAUUUAUUAAGCUCAAGGAUGGGAUGGAUAGCCGAAUCAUGGGAUUGAAAUGUUUGGAAAUCAGCUAUUGAAACUUCCUUUCCUCGUCUGGGAGAUGAUUCCUUCUCUAUUUCUAAGAUUUUUCUAUGAAGACUAGUACAAGAAGGAUGUCCACAAGUGAAGACAUACCUUCCUUUACUAAUAGAUAAAGAAAGAAGGACUCUACCAAAGGUUAUAUGAUUAAGACCAAUGUGAAAAUAUCUAGGAAAAACAUGGUCUUGUAGGGCUAGGUCUAAACCAGAAUUUAUAGAAAGAUUAAUAGAUUCCCUAGGUGUAGCUAAAAGUGCAUUAUCUUUUUGAUUAAAAGAUAGGACCUCAGCUAUAGAAAAGGGUUGGUUUUGACCUAUUGCAAUCAACUCCGGACACAGAUCAUAAUUAGGGGCAGGACGUGUUGACUCCCAUGGUCUAUGGCUGGUCUCCGAAGGUGCAAAGAAUUCAAUAAUAGGUAUGGAAUUUGAGUUAUCCAUAAAGAUUAAAAUAAAAAGAUAAAAGAAUAAAAGUAUAAAGGUAUAAUACAAGAUAAUAGCAAGACUCAAAGUUAUCUCAGCAAACCGUCUUUCUCCCCGGCAACGGCGCCAGAAAUGCUUGUUGAUAUUUGGUAACGCAAUUAGAAAAUGAUCCGCAAGCGCACGGAUAUCGGUGAGCAUUUCACCCGGGAGGUUAUCCAGAGUAUCGUAUUUAUAUUUUUACCACUGGGAGAAAGGGUGCAUCUGACUAACCAAAUCUAUUGCUACUAUCCAUUUAGCCUACAAAGAAUGUCUCUCGAUGUGAGUGAUGUAUAGAGAAGACUGCAACCGUAGUCUCGUUCUAACCUUGGUAAGGAUGAUCUAUUGUUCUAUUGGGGAGGCUCACGGAAUCUAGACAACACAAAGGAUGUUCGACCCGCACCUAUAAACCUACCCGUCCUGCUAACGAGAUGUGAUCUGCAAAGGUAACUCGGAAAUGUCACGUUCCUCGCUACUACCACGGUCCAGCUAGUCAGGGGAUAUCUAUGAGUACCCUAGCCUAAACACCACGUUUACGCUAGCAAGUGAUUACUCUAAUACUCAACCGGAAGAGGAUUAAAGUAAACUCAUAAACCAAAGAACAAUAAAACAAGAACUUACUAGUAUGAGAAGUCGAAUUACUGAAGAAUCUUAGAAGCAAGCCUCGGGUUUGAAGACUUGAUCCCGUAGGUACAACUCGGAGUAGACACCGACAGGCCGGCCUUCCUCCGAUCCACACCUCCACUCUAUCUCUCUCAAUCUAGUAGAAACUAGAAGAUCUAUUUCUACUUUACAUUUGUUGCUAAGCCUAAAAAGAAAUAUUAUUUAGAGAAGAGGUUUUCCUUCGAGGGCACCCCUCAAUCUCUAUGAUAAUUUCUUGUCUCCUCCAGGGGUCAGAGGGGGUCUCCUUAUAUAGUCCUCCCAUUCUAUGCGUUUUUAGGUCGAUAGGCGAGGUGGUACUAUGUUAUUCUGGACCCAAUAGGUCGGUGGAACGUCGUGUGCGAAGAGAGUCCGGAACGGGGUCUAGAGGUGGGCGGGCGCCCAGGUCCUCAGGGCGGGCGCCCUGGGCCUGGCCCCUUUCGGGCUCCGCUUCCUUCCCGUGGCUUCUGGAGUCUUCUAGAUGGUAGAAAAUUGCGCGGUGGGUUGAUAUCUCUAUGUAAUCCCGACAUGUGGGCCUUUCUUCCUUAUUUCCUGAUAACCCCCUGCAGAAAUAGACAAACACCAAAACUCGUGGAAUUCUGUCAGAUAAAACCCUAAGUCUAGAUGUUGAUUUCAUUUGGAUCCUUUUAUUUGUUUUUUUGAUAAUUAAAUUUGAUACUUAAGGACCGUCAACAGUAACUACUGGAGUAACUGUAACACCCCAGUGUUAUGGUUACAUCAAACAUGUGCAUAGCAUGAGCAUCAUCUUUUAUUCAAGCAUCCAUGAUCAUCAUCUAUCUUGGGGCAUGUCAUCCUUUGCAAAAAUGUGUUUUAAAUGGCUUAAAUAGGCUUUCUAUGCUUAUGUUUGAGUGAACAAUGCUUGUGUUUGUGCUUAAUGCCUUGGUAAAUAGCUUAUCUAUGCUUAACUUAAUCUUGGGAACAAUGUUCAUGUUGAUCACUUCUCCAAAAUAAUCACUUAAGUCAUACUUAUUCAAAUAGACCCUAGAAACCUCUUUUACUUAGGCUUUUAAAAAGUGUUUCAUAAAAUGUUUGCAUGUCAAAACUUCCUACAGCAAAGUUAUAGCAAAUUUUAUAAGGAACAAAAGUUGUUUUAUGGCCAUCUCAUGAAAAUGAUCACAAAUAGCUCAAAAGUGGCCCACAAGGCAGAUUUGGGGGCUGUUUUCCACACUUAGAAAUUUUCUAAGUCCCCGGGUGGUUUGCAGUUUGCGUGAUCGAUUUUGGAAACUCUAUAUCUUUCAAUCCAGGCCGAUCUAGUCUUUGCUCUAGUUGACAAAGUUGUAGAUCUCGUCUAAUACUCCAAGUUUGUCAACUACGCCAUCUCCUAAUUCGCUCUGGUUUGGGAGAUAAUCACCGGUGAAGUCGCUCUGUCAGUCGGUCGAUGCACUGUCUGAAUCGACUUGGACCUCGUCGACGUGGCCGACCGCCGGCAGCGCUCCGUCGCCAUUUGGCGCCCGUACGCCGUUCCUGGCCCCGCUUGUCAGCUCUCGUCGCGUGCAUGACCACCACGGCGUCGCCCCGAGCGCGUGGACGCGUCCAUUUCGCUCUGCCUCGCCCUCUCUCGCCUGAACCUCGCCCGCAGCGAGCUCUCCGCCGCGAGCUCACUCCGGCGAGCUCGUGUGCGCUCCUCUCUGCGUCCCCGUCCACCAAACUCCACCCAAAGCUCCGCCGUGAGCCGCUCUCCAAGCUCCACCCUCUAACUCGCCGAGAAACCCACCGGUGAGCCGACAUUUCUUUCUUCCCCCAAAUCGGUCCGCCGUGACCCUCUUCUCCGGCGAACUCAAUGCCGAGCGCUGUGGGGCUUCUCAUCGUCCUUGGUUAGGUCCUAGAGGUAGCUUAGGUCCUUAGCGAGCUUUUGCGCCACCUGGUGGACGCUCUACCGGGUUCUCCGUCGCCGGACACGGUGCGCAGCGCCGCCGUGCUUCCGCCGGAGUUGGGUCCUCUCGUGGCCAGCGCUUUCCACGGGGAUCCAGGCCAAGCCGUGUACCUAGGGAGCUUCGCCUUAGUCUGCUGGUGCUGUAGAAGGCCUUAGGUCACGCUCUACCGGCCUGAGGACUCCGGCGUAACGCCGAGCACCUCCGCCGAGCCGCCAUUGUCGACGGUGAGCUCCUUCCGGUGGCUCCGCCGUGGCAAAAGUAGGGUCAAUCGAGUCGUUAGGGUUUGGGGAUCACGUUGAUGCCCUGGGUUUGGCCGGAGACCUCGCCGUCGCGGAGAAAUCGCCGGCGAAGAUCGCCUCGGCCGUGAGGAAGAAGAGCCUGACGGGUGGGACCCCCUGUCAGCGACUCUCUCUUUCCCUCCUUUUCUUUUAUUCAAAAUCCUGAUUUUUGGCUUUCUUGCAAAAAUCAUAUCUCCUGUUUCUGAGAUCCAAAAAUUGUGAAACAAAUUUUGUGUUGUUUCUUGAGAUGGCUAGUAUUUAAUAAAAAUAUAAAAUGAAUCAUGUUUUCUGAGAAAUUAUUUAUUAAGGAUUUAAUCUUGUUAUUCAUGGAUAAAUGCAUAUCUCUGGUUUUACUGAUUAGUUUGCUCUGAAAUUUUUAUAGUGGUCUUUGCAUGGCAUUAGGGUGCUCUGAUAAAUAUUUCAUGAUUUUUGGAGCACUGGAGUGGUGAUAUGUAAUUUGUGUUUGAAAUAUGGCUUGUUUCUUUAAUUAAAUCACAUAAAAUAAUUGGUGCUUAUGCUGGUGCUCUAUUUUGGUGGUAAACUUGUUUAUGGUAUUCCUAAGAUGUAAAUAAUCUGAAAUCUGUUGUUUGACAUUAUAUAAGUCAUGUUUAUGAAUUUAUGAAAUAAAUGCCUUGAUACAUGUUAAAUGCAUAUCUUUAAUUUGGCAUGUGCAUUGGUCCUGAAAAUUUUAUGGUGGUAAUCUGAUGUUAUACUUGUGCCUCUGUAAUUUUUGUAGAUUUUUCUGAGCACUUGAACUAAUAUCUUGUAAAUAUGCCUUACCUAAAAUUAAUUAAUAAAUGCCUUGUGAAGUAAUUGUGUUGGGGUUUUCAACUGAUGAUCUGGUGACCUUGUAUUAUGUUUGUGCUCAUGAGUCAUAUGGUUGGCCUAGUUUAUGUUUUGAUCAUGUCAUUAAAUAAUUAACUAUAGGGUUAAAUGCUGUCUGGACAGCAAGUGAAUAAUUUAACUUUGCUUAAUGAUAAGUUGACUUUCUGUGAAACUUAUAUAAAACAAAGUUGUUCUAAACUUGUUGAACUAACUGUGGUUUAAAUUUGAGGUCAUUUGGCCAAGUAGUUUAAAAGUUACAGCUGUUCCUAGUUAGGUUCCAGAAAUAGGGGUUCUCUGUUUUUCUGGAACAGGAUCUGGAACUUUGUUAAAAAGACUAAUUUAAUGUUUGAAUCUUACUGUCAUGUUUAAAGAUGAGUUGUAGACAAUUUCCUAAGCUUUCCAGAAUGUCCUCACUCAUGUUUGUUGGACCUGUCUAUCUAUACUUAUGAUUUAUUUACUGAGCAUACUUGUUUUAUGUUGCUUGCUGCUUUAGUGACAUGAUAGGUUUUGGGUUAUGUUAACUUGUUUAUUCAUGUGAGUUAGUAUAACUCUUGUUCCGUAAAUGAGUGUCCAGUGAGUUGCUUGUGUUGUUAAGCAUUCAUCUGUAGCAUGUGCACUUUCUCAUUCAUCGAGCAUGCAAUAGGUGCACCGGACGUGGCAGUUUCCUUCGAGCUCCAAGCGAACCCCGAAGGCCAGGAAGGCAGCCAGGAGGUGGAGGUCCAGCAAGUCGGACUCGAGGAGCCCGAAGAAGAGGUUGAGUGCCCAAGUCACGAGCCGGCAUCGUUCGUGAAAGGCAAGCCCCGGAGCAUUUUAAGCCUCCUCUAUUUUCGAAAGUUUACUUAAUACGUUAUAUCUAUUGAUGCAUUACGUAUAGGAGUUGUGAUGAAACUGUUGCUGCAUCCUACUCUAUCCUUGUCCAGAUAACUUACCCUCCCUGGUUGUAGAGUUAGGAUCGAGUAGCAGCUUAGUUAUGCUUUAACCGGUAGAAGUCGGGUGAUAUCCUGUCAUCCGCGCGAUAUAGGGUUGUGUCGGAUCACGAUGGUCUAUAUGUGCUAUCGUGGAUGGAACCUGAUCAAAUUGACUUAAGCCGGGCGGAGUUUUGCAAGUGUGUAGUAACUCCGUCUGUGGCAGCUAAGGACCGAUCGUUGUACGUCCUCUUGUCAUGUUGAACGCAUGCCUGACACUUAGUUGGCCGGAUAACUCGUUCCGACCGCGAAGCCGAGUAGUAUGACUCAGGCCGGAAGACCGGCAAGUAUAAAGUGCGCACUACCGGAGGAAGUGCGGUGUGCGGGGGACCAUUGGCGUAAGCCCAAAGGCAGGUGAGUUAAAAUUCCUGACCUCCCUGGCAGAGUGGUAGCCCUGGGAGUGCGGCGCUGAUCGGAGCCGCGAUUCCUGAGUUGUACCAAAGGUAACCCGUUGGCUCUCCGGCAGGGGAUGCUUGGGUGAGUGCUAGGAGUAAACCUCCAGCUGGAUAGGAAUUCGAUUCGAAUCGCCGUCUCUCCCGGUUAGUGAGAACUUGACAGAGCAGCGGCAAACGUAGCAUUCACUAAUAAACUUGGUUCAUGAUAACAAUGAUAGCAAGAAGAACAUAUGAUGAAUUUUGAUAUGGUUACUAUUGUUUGUAAUAAUCAAGUGAUGUGUUGUAGUACAGGUGCUAAUCUAGUGGUAGGCUGUUGAUAAAUAAAUUGAUGCUCUUAAAAUGAUUUAGUUGUAAGUUAAGCUUUUGGCAAAAAGGUGAGUCAGUCAGCUCCACUUAAAAUGUAGCCUUGCAUGAUCCUUGGUGUCUUUUAUGUUUUACUAGACGGGUAAGUCUAGCUGAGUACAUCCUCGUACUCAGGGUUUAUUCCCACCUGUUGCAGAUGAUAUCUUCUAUGACGGUUUCUGCAAGACCUGUCUCCAUCCCGCUGGGGAUGAGGACUAACCGUUGGGCACGGUUCUCUAAUCUUCUCAUCUAUGAUGCUUUUGGAAGGAUGACCUAGACUCUGGCAGUAACAAGCUUGUGACUGAGUUUUAAACAAGUGUGUGUACUUAUUUUGCUUCCGCUACUUCGAACAUGUGUUGUAAUAACUUAAUACUCCGAUGUGGUGCCGCUUCGACGGCAAUGAAUGACUAUGUAACAUUCGUUGUGUUUAUGUUGAACUAUUACGAUCUUGGUUUGUUGCGAGUUGGUUUGAAGUCCUUCGUGAUUUCGAUUGACUACCGGGAUUAUAUGGGCUCAAGUCUAGAAACUUGAUUGUUUGACGAUCGUUUCUGCACUUGAACUCUUAUAAUUUGGUCGGUUCUGUGACAGUAACCCCGUUGUGGAAGUAAUUACUGACCUUCUUCCAGUCAAGAGAGGCGAUCCAGGACGCCCCGUCAUCCCGAUCUCCAUCGCCAUGGUGGACUUCCCAGAAGCACUCUGCGACUUUGGCUCCAGCGUCAACAUUAUGCCCAGGGUACUCUAUGGAAAUUUCUUUACACAUCCUUUAUUAGAAAUAGCCAUGUGUUUGCAGCUUGCAGAUCGUACGCUAAGUUUCCCAAAGGGAAUAUUGAAGAACCUCUGCGUCCAAGUUGGUACCUUGUACGCCCCAGCAGACUUCGUGGUGAUAGAGACUGGUACUGAUGAGAGGGCACCCAUCCUAGGGAGGCCAUUCCUGAACAUCUCAGGAGCUGUCAUCUACGCUAGGGCUGCCAAGAUCAGUUUCUACAUCAAGGGGAGGAAGGAGACGUUUUCCUUCAAGAACAAGACUACACAAAUCUCAGAGCAAUCCCGACAUGAACCAAGGAAGAGGACUAACCGGAGGAACAGGAACAAGCAAGUGUGGACCGAGUCAGCUAAGAUGGUCACUGCAGUUCAAGGAGGUCAAGAUCAUUGACUUAAGUCACCGUUUCUAACCAAAAAGGACGACCUAGGAAUGCCAAGCAUCUAUUGCUCCAUCAAUGGGUACAACUUCUACAAGACGCUUUGCGACACUAGGUCAAGCGUCAACAUAAUGGCCGCAGUUACCUAUCAUCUCCUGUUCGGAACCAUGCCCCUACAACCAACAUACAUUCAGCUCCAGAAGAUUUUAAGGUUAUUGACAUGGGAGAAGACGAGUACAAUCCACCCAUCACCAUUGGGAGACCGUUCCUCAGCACUAUUAAAGCAAUCAUGUACAUUGGAACUGGAGAAGUCCACAUGCACUUCCCCUCUAAGAAGGUACGUCGCUAUUUUACUAACCCUAACUAUAUAGUUGAAGACUCUAAGCAGGUCAGGACAAGAAGAAGAUGACGUAACCGCAAUCGGAGGAGGCAAAUCAUCAAGGAUAGAUGGGCAGACUACGAAGGAGAAGUUGUAAGGUCUGAAGACAUACAACUUGCACAGAACUAUCCUGAGGAGACCGUAGCACCGAGUCAGGUGUGGAGAGAGAAGAUACUUAUACAUGAAGAGCAGGCGCCGCCGGAACCACCGACUACGUCGUCCAGCGAAUCCCAGGACGACUAAGAAAACGGAGAGUCUUGUUCGGAGGACUUAAAAACACCGAAUGCCUGGCCAAGAGAAUUCAAGGAUCAAAGAAGACUAGCAGAUGAAGGAUAUCCUAAUCGCUAUCAGGGUGCUACCGACAUUCAAAUACACCUCCGCCACCUGCUAGCUACAUCAGAAGGAAUUACGUCAAAAUCCAGCUUGGGGGAGAGCACCCCCAUUUAUCCAGCUAAGUGUUCUACUCAUGUUUAUACUUUACUCAAAUAAUAAAAAGAUGCAUAAUCAUAAAAACCCAAAUAAAGAUUUUGUGCUUAUAUAUAUAUAUAUCUUUGCUUAGUUUGCUAAAUAAAUAAAUAAAUAAAGUUUGCUAUGAACCCUAAUGAUAAGCUCUCACAUGGAAAUGAUGAAUAGUUGCUCUGCCAUGACUAGUUCUCAAAAUUGAAAUCUCUCUCAAGUUUAGGCCUGACUGUUAUUAAUUAAUAUUUGCUCUAAACCUGAACUUGGGGGAAGAGUACUUGAUCUGAAGUCUAAGUUGUUAACGGAUAUGAUAUGGGAAGGUUGAGCUGCUGUUUAUCUAUUCCUAGAGAUGCUAGAAUUAUAGAGAAUUUAUCUUUGAAAAUCUUUAAAAUGUUGCAUGAUGAGUUCCUAUAUGAUGAGAGUUUAAAUUCCUACCAUCGCCAUAUAUACAUGCUUGCUAAACUUUGAGCCACACAUUUACUUUUUACUACUUAUGAGCAUUGAGUGUGGUCAAGCUGUGUAGACCCUUAGGAGCUUGUCAUGUGGUUAAAUCAAGAUUCACUUGCACGAUCACUCACACAUGCUGCUUCUACUUCGGAAGUAUGCAUCCACAUAUAUCCAUCCAUUUCCAUCUCCAGAACCAUCCAAAAAUAUUCUACUCCUAAUCUGGGAGAGAAUAGCCAAAAACAUUUCUAUUUUCCCCUAUGAAGUAAAUGCUCAAGUUAUUUCGGUUACUACCACUUGCUACAUUAUUUCAAGAGAUGAGUGCUCUAAAAAAAGAAAGAAGAAGAUACGAGGAAAUAAAAAGGGGCAAGUGCCUGGAACCUCGAAACAAUAAAAAAAGUGAGACGAGAGGUAAAAAUGGACAAGUGUCUAAUAGUAGAAUUAGGGGUACAAGAUACGCACCUGAGAGAAAAGAAAAAAAAAGAAAAGAAGAAAAUAUAGAGCAUCUCAUUGCCCUCAAAAAGCUUCAAAGUGCAAGAAAGGUAUGUAUCUCCUCAAAAGAGCAUAAGUAGAAUUAGACUUUCACCAUUGUUAUCACCAUCAUCACCAUACACCAUUCAUUCGCCACACAUGCACAUCUUGAUUUGACUUAUUGACUUGUUUCGCUGGAUCCAUGGUUUGACUAUGCAAUAAAUGUCUUGUAAGUAUGUAUUAGCUGUCUCCCACCUAUGAGCUCUAGAUAUCAAAACCUUAUUAGAGUAGGGUGAGAGAGAAGGCAAUGCCACUAUGCCUCAUACCAAAAAUACCACAUACUUUGAGAGAAGGCAUACACCAUUACUGCCUUGGUAAGGAUCCAGAAAUACCACAAAAGAGAGACUAGAGAGAGUCAUACAAGGAAUCUCUGAGUUUUAUUUGAAAAUCUGCAAAAACUCCAGAGCUAUAUCUGAUCAAGAAUAAGAGACAUGGCGCUUGACUAGACCGUUCUAUCUUUUAACUACUCAAGACAAAAGUGACGGUUGCAAGCCCCAUGGUGGAAGGUAAUAUGAGUAAGUUUAAAUUUUAACAGUUACCCUAACCCAGAGAUGAGAUCUUGUUUGAACGCAUGUAUAUCUUUAAGGCAUGAAACCACUGCAGAAACUUUUGAGUUUAUCUUUGCUCAGGGACGAGGAAAGGUUAAGCUUGGGGGAGCUUGUUGACGGUCCUUAAUGCUCACAUUUAACCAUCAACUAAUCAUAGAAAAGGAUCCAAAUGCAACUGACACCCAAACUUAGGAUUUUAUCUGAUAGAAUUCCACGAGUUUUGGUGUUUGUCUAUUUCUGCACGGGGUUAUCAGGAAUUAUGGAAGAAAGGCCCACACGUCGGGUUUACAUAGAGAUAUUAACGUGCCGUGCAAUUUUCUAUCAUCUAGAAGACUCAAGAAGCCACGAGAACGAAGCGGAGGCCGAGAGGGCUCAGGCACAGGGCAUCCGCCCUAGUCCUGAGGGUGCCCGCCCUGCUAUAGUGCUCAAUUAGAGUCCAAUUCGGGGACAACGCUCCACCAACUAAAGGAUCAAGGAAAACCGUGCGAUUAAUGUUGGUUUGAUCCAAUGGCCCAGAUUCAUCUGAAAAGACUAUAUAAGCAAGGCCCCCUGGCCUCUGGAGAUCAUACCUCUUCUACAGAAUCAAAGCUAGGGUUUCAAUUCUUCAUCCAAGUAGAGAGGAUCCCUCUAGUUCUUCUAGUUCUAGUUCUCGUUAGUUCUAGUUGUAAUAUAGAAAAUAGGGAGAGAGAAGAGUAGAGCGGAGGAGGAGCCGGAUCUUCGUCAACAUUGUACUUUUGCAGCAACUGGUUCGUUCUUCAUCGUUCUCCAGGUUCUUCAAUUCAUAAUUCCUGAGUUCUUUAAUUACUUUUAUUUACAUUGAAGUUAUUUGUUGGAUUCCCGCUUGCAUCAAGUGUUCUAAUCUUUGAAACAUUAGAGUAGUAAUUAAUAGAUUAGAUGUGGUGUUUAGUCAUACAAUUACCUAGUGUAACACCCUAAAAUUUACUCCUUUUGAAAUAUAGAUAAAAUUAUUUUAAUUUUGUAUUUUUUGUGCUCAUGAAAAUAUAGGACAAAUAAUAUUUUUCAUUAAAUUAAAAUUUAUCAUAAGGCUUAACGAUAUUAUUAUGCGUACAUGCCGGUGCAUAUGUUUUGAUGUGAUGCUUGUUGCUCCUUUGUGUGUUGAUAGCACUAUUUUUAGGCGAAAGGGUUAAGAGGCUGAUCACCUCGGGCGAAAGGGUAAAUCAUGACUCAUGGAUAAAGAUGUACAACCUUUGCAGAGUGUUAAAACUAGUAUACUAGCCGAGCUCACGGUCAGGAGCGGCCUUGGGGACAUCUACAUUAAGGGUGAUGAAUCUUGUGUGUUAAAUAUGCUCAUUGUUUAUUGUUUAAUGCUUUACAUUACAAUCUAGUUGCUAUACUUGCGGAGUUCGACAUGGACUCACUCUUGCUAUUUUCCCCAAACCUCAGGAGAAGUUUAGGCUUCUGAUCAACCAGUCAGUUGGAUCCUGUAGAGAGAAGUUAAUAUCCGAAGUUGGAGUUGUCUAUCCACUGUUUGCUAUUAAAGGUUAUCUCUUUUAUACUAAGUACGUUAUAUAUUUAUGCAUUGUCUUUUGAUAUUACCCCUUAUUUGUAGCUAUAUGUGAGAUUUGACUUCUAAGACUCACAUAUGGUGCAUAUCUGAUUUUAUCCUUAAGAUCGGGUAUUACAUAGUGGUAUCGGAGCAAUGCUGGCUGUAGGAUGCAAGCCUAGUUAGAAAUUGGCCGUCUUAAGAUUUUGAAAUUGUCAUAAAAUCUUUGCUCUAUAAACCUUGAUAUUUUCCUCUAUACUAUAUCCUUUUCAUUGCUAUUCAUCUUCACCUUGUUGCUUAUUUUAAAGACUUGUUCUCAUCCCCACUCUUUGCUUGAUAUGCUUUUAGAACUUUUUCUUACCACCUUCUGGCAUCGUUGGAAUAGCUGUUUUAAGAUAUCUACCCUUACUAUGAAGAGAACGAUAGUAUCGCAAUUUGAGUGAAGUGUGCUUAAUUGGUUUGUUAUUAUGUUUAUGCUUGAUUUGGAUCUUUGUAAUGAGUGCAAUGAUCUUGUGGGUUUUCUCCACGAUAUCAUUUAGUUUAUAGUCCUAAGACAUAAGGAGUAGUGAAAUAAGUAGUUGGGUUUGGUUAUAACCUGUUUCUAUCCCUUGCUGAUUUCUGCAGCAGUUUGUAAUAAUGCUGGUGUAUCUCAAGUUCUGAUCGUGCAAAGUUUAUCAAAUGUUUCUAGGAACAAGUAGACUUCAAGAUCUUUCUCUGACCGCAAGAAUCAUCCUCAUAGCUAUUAUGGUUUGGAAGUUACAAAAAUCACAAGAUGAUACAAAUGUGCUGUCAGGAAUCUGGACCAGUUUCAAUUACUGACUGUUUGAGACAAACAUAACUAUAGAAUUUGGAAAAGUGUUCUAUAGAAAAGUUAAAGAUGACUUGCUAAGCUUUCUAAUGGUAUAAGCUGGAACUUAUUUGGCUAAGUAGAACCUGAGAUAUGAUAUUUACAAUUGGAUGUUUCUCUUCUGUAUCAAAGUCUGGACAGUUUUGGUGUUCCCUAUUUUCCGCCAAGUUAAAGACAGAAUCUGGGAAAACAUGGUAUAUGAAAGUUGUAGAGGAUUUCCUAAGCUUUUCAAAAAUGUAACGAUCAUCUCCAGAUGAGUUAAUUAGCUCGAGAUAUAAUUUCUGGAAGUUACUGCACCUUUGCUAAGAUAUUAUCAGGAAGGAUAUUAUGUUUGGUUAUUUUACCUAUGCUUAAAGACAGAACCUAUGGAGGACUUCUACAUGAAAGUUGUAGGGAAUUUCAUAAGUUUUCUAACGAUAUAAUCUGCAACUCUAUUGGAUUAACAGAAUAAGAGUUAUACCUGAUUUACUACGCUGGUAUUUUUCAUAUCAUGAGGAAAUUUCACGAUACCUGUUUGCUCCACUACACAUAAGUUCUUUGGGGAUGUCAGAAGUUCUCAAUGUUAACUUGUCUGGAAAGUAUGAAAGCUACCUUUCUUGGUCCCCUAGUAGACUUUUCUUAAGGGGGGUAGCCUAAUUAAAGAACUACAAGGAGAAGAAGUGGUUAAUAACUGGAACAUCUACAAGAACAUCAAGUGCUUGGUAUGUUGGUUUGUUUCAAGAUAUCAUUCUAUUUGGAGUGUGCUGAUAACAAUGGAGGUUUAUACUGAUACUCAUGGAUUAAGAGUUGUGUAUGAGGAUCAGAUGACACCAAAGUCUACAGAGUUGUACGUAUAGUGUGAGAGUGAAGCAACUUAACUGUGAUAAAGGUACCAAUAAUUAGAACUUAGUGAUGAAACUAACCUUGGAUCAAGAGACUCGGUACAACGAAUUUAAAAGACUAUAUGAUGUGUAGCGUCUAAAAAGGAUAGGAGAAAUAAGAAGGAUCGUACCUACUACACUAGGUGUCUCAUCAAUAUUUUAGGAAUACUUGAGAUGCUACUUGGAGUAAGAGAGUGGAAUCAUUGCUAUGAAGAUAUAACUACUCAAGAAAGUGAACAAGAUUCAAAAUCUACGUCUCUUUGAUAACCGUCUUACGAAUCUCGAGGACGAGAUUCAUCUUAAGGGGGGUAGAAUUGUAACACCCUAAAAUUUACUCCUUUCAAAAUAUAGAUAAAAUUAUUUUAAUUUUGUAUUUUUGUGCUCAUGAAAAUAUAGGACAAAUAAUAUUUUUCAUUAAAUUAAAAUUUGUCAUAAGGCUUAGCAAUAUUAUUAUACAUACAUGCUGGUGCAUAUGUUUUGAUGUGAUGCUUGUUGCUCCUUUGUGUGUUGAUAGCACUGUUUUCAGGUCGUCCGAUUAAUCGCGAGUAAUCGCGAUUAAUCGUCCUGGUCGGUCAGGAGUGCUCGAUUAGGAGGUCCGACCCGACCAGGUCGACCAGAAACCGGGUCGUCCGAUUAGUCGUCCACAUAUCGCGAUUAAUCGUCUGAUUAGGACAUGGACGACCAGGUUGUGUGCUCUGUUUUUGGGCUUUUUUGACUCGGCAGAUAUGUGAGGGGUAUGGAGAUGCUGUUGGUUGUCCCAGUUCUCCAGAAAUAGUUAAGAAGGAGAUGUUGGUUUAUAUGAAAAAGAGUUGAAAAUAAAGAGGAAUGUUGGUUUACAGUAAUACAGUCUUGAUGCUUCCUUUAUUGUGUAUAAUAUAGUGUAUAUAUAGAGGUAUAUAUAUAGGUCGACCAGCUGAUAUGCCUGGACUACCAGGGACGACCAGGGGGACGACCAGGGUCGAUUAAUCGACCUGGUCGCUGAUUAAUCGCGAUUAAUCGCCUGGUCGGUCCUAGGUCGACCAGGAUCGACCAGCCAACCAGAAAACAUUGGUUGAUAGUAAGAAAAUAUUUUAAAAUACGUUUAGUAGAUCGACCUUCCUUAUUCGGCACGUAUUUAUCUUUUUCUACAAUCAAAUUCCUUGUCUCUUAGUUCAAGAUUUCGGUCAGAAUCUCUCAGAAUCUUUUCUUUCAAACCUAAGUCACUCAUUUGAGUUUUUCGUCCAUCAAGCAAUCUCUAUAAACUUCUCGGGUAUUUUUCUAGUCUUUUUAGAUGCCCCAAAUUAUCUCAUCAUGAGCCCCAAAUACUUUAUUUGGGUUCUUCAUAUUCCGUAAUGUCACUGAUAAUUUUCCCUGAAUUUUUGGAGCUUUCGAAAUAUUUUCGCGGAUUAAAUAGUAAUUCUAGAUUCUUUUUGCCCUGAAAUUAAAUAUUUCUAAAAUAAUAAAUUCUAACCCUAGUCGAACCUAAUCCAAACUGCACGUGUGUGGAUAUAUAUAUACACGUUAUGUUCAUCUGGGCCAUUAAUCUUCUUUAGCAUCACGUCCUAAAACCCUUGGCCUCUUGUGAGCCGCCGCCAUCAGCCACGCCGGUGCUAUGCGCCGCCACCCGGUGGAUCACAUACCUCAGCUCCAUCCAGUGCCGCUCUGGGCGCUCGGGCUCCCUCCUGGCGCCUCCUGCUUCUUCGAGCAGAGCAAGCACUGCUGGCCGAGGCGCGUGAGCCUGCGUGACCGGGGUCUAGUAUGGCGGUGUACUGUCUCUGGUGUUGCCUAGCUUGAUCGAGCUCCCAACUCUCAAGGCUGGUGCCCAGCACAACGAAGCCACCCUUCAGGGCGCCAUGCACAAGCCGGAGCUCCUUCCCGUGACCAUGUUCUGAACGAGCUGCACAAGGAUGAAGAUGCUGGUAAUUACGAAAUUGCCAUUGUAUCUUUUAAUCUCCACCGUUUAAACGUUUUAACUCCGUUUUGGUUCGUUUAAGUCACGUUAGAUUCGUAUCGAUAUACUCUAUCCCGUACUCCUAAAGUUUAUCACAGAACUUAAUUAUCAAUUUAUUAGUUUAAAUAUUAAUUAGACUAAUAUUUAUUUACUAGCUUUCAAAAUAAAAGCAAUCAAAGUUUAACUAUAUUUUGUUACGUUAUGACCUUACUGCCAUAAGCUACAUGUUUGUAGAAACUUUUAAUAUGCUUAUGUAAUUGAAUUUUAUAACUUGAAUAUUAAUCUGAUCUAUGCUUAUGCAAUUGAGAUUCUAAUUAAAAGCUACAUAGGUUUUAUAUCUCGGUGAUUAUACGUAACAUGCUAAUUUGAUUUAUUAUUAAAUUAAAUAUGUUUUUAAUUAUACUUAGCGCAACACACGCUGCACGACAUGAGAUGUUCUCACAUGUUGCUUUGUUUUUGCAAGUUAAAGUAUAAUCGGUAUAUAAAAAAAUAUUGAAAUAUUUGUAAUUAAAAUAUAACUACAUUUAGCUUGGUAUAGUGACUAAUCUAAAUGAAUAUUUCAUAUGGUUAUGUUUAAUUAAAAUAAAUCACGCAUGUAGAUUUUUAUUGUAUAAUGUACAAUAAUAAAAUAAUAUAAACUCUCGAUAGUAGUCUUCUUUUAACCGUAGACUCAUUCUCGGCGUUUUUCUUAUGCUCUCGCCACCAUAGCAGCAAGCUCUCUUGUAUGUUGCUUAAUCUUGUAUGGUGUACCGUUCUUAGUUGUUUCUAUUUGUUACUUGUAUGUUUGCCUAUGUGAGGUGUUUGCUACGAAUAGACAAGAACUGUUUGUGGGCUCUGAAGAUCAAAAGGUGAUGACCGAAAGCUGAUGGUGUGAGAAUUAAGCAAACAUAAAAGGCAAGGAUAGCAUUUGGAUUUUGUUUCUGUGAUCAUGAUCCUAUGACUAGAUUAAUGUUAAGUAAUAAAUGAUAAAAAUGACUUUUUAGCCACUUGAUGAUUUGUCUGUACGUGAUCACCCGAGACAACAGUGCAACCAUGAGGGCUAUAAUGGCUCUGGCUUUAGCUCAGUAUGAAGACCUUUUCUAGCUUGUUAGAGGUUACCCAAAAGGGCGGAGGGGCUGAACCGUUUUGGGUAUAGUGCGAGCCCCUGUCCUUAUGUGUAUAGGCUGUGCGUCAUUGUGCCAUUUGGAAGGGGGGUAUCUAUAUUUGCGCGCAAAGGAGACCUUGCGGCCCUAACACGUUAGACGAACUUUUGAAAGGCUUCAUAGUGAUCCCUGCCGACCUUCCUUGGAAGUGGGUUAAGAGGCUGAUCACCUCCGGCGAAAGGGUAAAUCAUGACUCAUGGGUAAAGAUGUACAACCUCUGCAGAGUGUUAAAACUAGUAUACUAGCCGAGCUUACGGUCAGGAGCGGCCUUGGGGACAUCUACAUUAAGGGUGAUGAAUCUUGUGUGUUAAAUAUGCUCAUUGUUUAUUGUUUAAUGCUUUACAUUAUUUAUGUCACAUUGAUCAUGAAAUUGUGGGAGCUAUACAAUCUAGUUGCUAUACUUGUGGAGUUCGACAAGGACUCUUGCUAUUUUCCCCAAACCUCAGGAGAAGUUUAGGCUUGUGAUCAACCAGUCAGUUGGAUCCUGUAGAGAGAAGUUAAUACCCGAAGUUGGAGUUGUCUAUCCGCUGUUUGCUAUUAAAGGUUAUCUCUUUUAUACUAAGUACGUUAUAUAUUUAUGCAUUGUCUUUUGAUAUUACCCCUUAUUUGUAGCUAUAUGUGAGAUUUGACUUCUAAGACUCACAUAUGGUGCAUAUCUGGUUUUAUCCUUAAAAUCGGGUAUUACGCCUGGAAUUGCACCCAAUCCUGCGGAUUGUUGUGGUAGCCUUAGGGUAGUGACAGCCUUAACGGUCGACGUAUUCCACCUCAUUCGGAUCGGUGUUUGUAGGACCGUAAUCAGACCUUCCUAGCCCCCUUCUCAUCUCUUUUUGUGGUUAGUGCUCUGAUGUCCCGAUAUAAAUAAUCUUUGAAGUAAUUCUUGAUUCUUAGAUCAACUAGAGAAUUCUUAGGAAACUUCCUCUCUUCCCACCAAAAAUAAUUAAAUAGUUAUCCUUGGGCGAUCUUGGAUCUUAAUUAGUACACUCACGUUCCGUGUGAAAAAUCGAUACUCUGGAAUACUCACGGGUGAAGGCUACAUCGGUAUCCGUGCACUUGCGGAUUUUUCUGUUUGCGUUUAAAAUACCCAACAGAUGUGCAUGUGUUGCGAGUGAAUGGUGUAUUGUGAUGAUGGUGAAAAUCUAAUUCUACUUUUGCUCCUUUAAGGGGAUACAUACCUUUCUUGCACUUUGAAGCUUUUUGAGGAGAAUGAGAUGCUCUAUAUUUUCUUUUUUCUUUUCUCUCAAGUGGGUAUCUUGUACCCCUAAUUCUACUGUUGGACACUUGUCUAUUUUUACCUCUCGUCUCACUUUUUGUUUUCUUCAAGGUUCCGGGCACUUGCCCCUUUUUAUUUCCUCAUAUUUUCAUUCAUUUUUUUAAGAGCACUCAUCUCCUGAAAUAAUAUGGCAAGUGGUAGUAACCAAGAUAACUCGAGCAUUUAUUUCAUAGGGAAAAUUAUGGAUAGGAUAAUGUUUUUGGCUAUUCUCUCCCGGAUUAAGAGUAGAAUACUUUUGGGUGGCUCUGGAGAUGGAAAUGAGUGGAUAUAUGUGGAUGCGUACUUUCGGAGUAGAAGUAGCAUGUGUGAGUGAAUGUGCAAGUGAAUCUUGAUUUUAACCGCAUGACAAGCUCCUAAGGGUCUACACAGCUUGACCACACUCAAUGCUCAUAAGCAGUAAAAAGUAAAUGUAUGGUUCUUAGUCUAAUAAGCAUGUAUGUAUGGCUGUGGUAGAAAUUUAAACUCUUAUCAUACAGGAACUCAUCAUGCAAUAUUUUUAAAGAUUUUCAAAUAUAAAAUUCUCCAGAAUUCUAGCAACUCUAGGAACAGAAAAAUAUCAGCUCAACCUUCCCAUAUCAUAUCCGUUAACAACUUAGACUUCAGAUCAAGUACUCUUCCCACAAGUUCAGGUUUAGAGCAGGUUUAAAUUAUAACAGUUAUGCCUAAACUUGAGAGAGAGCUCAAAAUUGAAAACUAGGUACAUGGCAGAGCAACUAUUUAUCCUAUCCAUGUAAGAGUUUAUCAUUUAUGUUCAGUUUGGCCUAGACGCUUUAUUUACUUAUUUAGCAAACUAAGAAAAGAUAUAAGCACAAAAUUUUUAUUUGUGUAUUCAUAAUUAUGCAUCUUUUUAUUAUUUGAGUAAAGUAUAAACACGAGUAGAAACACUUAGCUGGAUAAACAGAGGUGCUCUCCCCCAAGCUGGAUUUUGACGUAAUUUCUUCUGAUGUAGCUAGUAGGUGGCGGAGGUGUAUUUGAAUGUCGGCAACACCCUGACAGAGAUUAGGAUGUCCUCCGUCUGCUAGUCUUCUUUGAUCCUUGAAUUCUGUGGAGCUCAAAUAGACAACAAAGCUUUGUGGAACUGGUUAAGUGUUAGCAUAAAAUCUCUUUGCCUUUAUCAUGUUGAGCUUCCUCUAAUAAAUAUUACUCUCUCUGGUAGGAUCAUAAAUUUACAUUUAUAUUCUCAUUUUUAUAUGAUAGGAAUAUAUUCAUUUUAUUUUUAUGCCACCAUAGUGAAUGUACUUAUGGGUUUUAUGCAAUGAGCAUAGGCUUACUAUUUUUAACAUUUUUAUUUUGAACCUGAUUAUUUUAAAUAAUUGAAGGGAAAAGGAAAACCACCAAGUUUACCUCUUGGCAAGGCGUUCGGUGUUUUUAAGUCCUCCGAACGGGACUCUCCGUUUUCUCAGUCGUCGUGGGAUUCGUUGGAUGGCUUAGUCGGUGAUUCCGGCGGCGCUCCUCUUCGUGUAUAACUAUCUUCUCUCUCCACACCUGACUCGGUGCUACUGUCUCCAUAGGACAGUUCUAUCCAAGCUGUAUGUCUUCAGACCUUACAACUUCUCCUUCGUAAUCUGCCCAUCCGUCCUUGAUGAUUUGCCUCCUCUGGUUGCGGUUGCUUUGUCUUCUUCUUGUCCCGACCAGCUUCGAGUCCUCAACUAAAUAGUUAGGGUCAGUAAAACAGUGGCGUACCUUCUUAGAGGGGAAGUGCAUAUGGACUUCUCCAGUUCCAAUAUAGAUGAUAACUUUGAUAGUGUUGAGGAACGGUCUUCCAAGGAUGAUGGGUGUAUCGUACUCGUCUUCUCCCAUGUCAAUGACCUGAAAAUCAUCUGGAGCUGAAUGUAUGUUGGUUGUAGGGGCAUGGUUCCAUGCAGGAGCUGAUAAGUGACUGCGGCCAUUAUGUUGACGUCAGAUCCGGUGUCGUAGAGUGUCUUCUGAAAAGAGUAUCCGUUGAUUGUGCACUCGAUGCUUGGAACACUAGGGUCGUCCUUCGUGUUCAUCCUUUAGGUGAAUCAUUUGAUUAGGUGUGGGCCUUGACAUGUGCACCUCUUAAUACGGUGUCACCCAUGUUCUUUGUUUGUCCAGCAGUUCGAGAUGUGGCUGUUGGGUAUUCUUAACAUCAUUACCAAAAGUAGACUUAGUUUUCUAAUUCUGAUAACGGUGCCAAAAAUGCGAAACCUAUCUCUCAUACCACUUAAGCCAAGUUGUCAUCCCCAGCAUGACAUGAGAGACGCGGUAUUGAAAUAUGCAAUUGCUCUUCUAAAUAAAUAAUAAAUGGGAUCUACAAGCGCACAGAUUAAUACCGAUGUAGCAUUUUAACCGGGAAGUAUUUUAGGUAUCGUUAUUUAUAUUUUUACCACUGGGAAGGGAUUAGUAACCAUCAAUAUUGAUUAUAGAAUAGAAUAUGAGAUCGAGUAUCUAUCAUUGCAUGUAUAAUUGAGAACAUUUAUCUAACUCUUUCAUACAGGGAUAAGUGUCACAUAAAAGAUAUAUGAAAUAAUGAAUAGUGACAAAGAUAAUUAAUCUGAUCAGCAUAACUUAGCCACAUAUAAAUAUGAUAAGCACCUCAAUUAGAUAUUCUAGCAAGUCAUUAGCAUGGUAUUAGAACGAACUACAAGAAUAUUUCCUAAGUUAUUCUCAACUAUAUAGUCUAGCAUUAUCAUAGUUAGUGCAAGCAUACUUAGCAAUCUUUUUAGACAAGAUUACACCCAUGCAUAGUGAUAUUAGCAAGGAAUACGAGAAACAUAGCAAUCACUCCCCUGUAAUAAUGUUGCUAUGCCAGCCCAAUACACGAGAGGGGGACUAUAUAAGAAUCAAUGAAGCUGUCACUAUCACGAACUACCCCACGAUCUGGCAUAUUGGGUACAAUCGCAGAUAAAUACGGUAUAAGCACCACACCUACACAAUAUCUAUCAUUUACCCAUGGAUCCGAUGGAUAAACGCUAUACGAUCCUAAACAUGUAUAUAGAUCCAAUCUAACUAAGCAGAGUAUAUUACUAUGAUAGACUAAGAACAAUAUAAUCUUGAAUAUAAACAAGUAGAGCAAAGUCAUAAGCAAUAUAUUGAAGUAGAACAAAGUCAUCUUCAUAAUAUUGAAGAACAAAGAUGAACAAUUAGAAGAACAAUUAGAGAAUUACCAAGAAUCCUCUUGACAGAUCCGGAAAUGAAUCGAAGAUUGACUCCUUCUAGUUCUAAUCCUAUGUAGCUAUGCUAAUCUAGAUGUCUAGUUGAUGUGGUGGCUCUAAUCUUGAUCAGAGGCUUCUUCUCCCUUGAGGAAUAAUGAAUUAGGGUUGAGAGGCUCUCUCCUCCAGGGGCCAGGGGGUCUGGUUUUAUAGACCCUUCAAGUGAAUAUGGGCCGUUGGAUCAAAGCGAAAUUGAUUGAACGGUUAUCCUUGAUCCUUUAGGUCGGUGGAGAUUGAUCCCAAAAGAGAGUCCUGUUUGGACUCCAGGAGGGGGCGGGCGCCCAGGGCCUGGCUCCGUUCGGCCUCCGCUUCAUUCCCGUGGCUUCUGGAGUCUUCUAGGUGUAAGAUAAUUGCGCGGCUCGUUAAUAUCUCUAUGUAAACAUGACAUGUGGGCCUUUCUUUGGUAUUUCCUGAUAACCCCCUGUAGAAAUAGACAAAGACCAAAACUCGUGGAAUUCUAUCAGAUAAAACGCUAAGUCUGGAUGUUUAUUUCAUUUGGAUCCUUUUAUUUGUUUGUUUGAUAAUUAAAUUUGAUACUUAAGGACCGUCAAAAAACUCCCCCAAGCUUACCUCUUGCUCGUCCCUCAGCAAGGAUAGACUCAGUAAUCGAUCAGAAGUUGUUGCAAUACCUUUAAAAGUUGACGGUACACAUGCUUCUAAAAAAGGUCUCAUCUCUGAGUUAGAGUAAACUGUCAAGACUUAAAACUUACUUACUUUACCAUUCACCAUGGAACUUGUAACCGUCUCUUCUGUCUUGAGUAGUUAAAAGAUAGAACAGUCUAGUCAAGUUCUAUGUCUCUUAUUCUUAAUUAGCUAUAGCUCUGAAGUUUUUGCAGAUUUUGAAAUAAAACUCAGAGAUUCCUUGUAUGACUCUCUUAGAUCUCUCUUUUGUGGUAUUUCUGGAUCCUUACCAAGGCAGUGAUGGUAUAUGCCUUCUCUCAAGAUAUGUAGUAUUUGUGGUAUAAGGCAUAGUGACCUUGUCUUCUCUCUCACUCUACUCUAAUAAGGCUUUUAUAUCUGGAGCUCAUAGGUGGAAGAUAAAAUAUACAUACUUACAAGACAUUUAUUGCAUAGUCAAACCAUAGAUCCAAAGAAACAAAUCAAUAAGUCAAAUCAAGAUGUGCAUGUGUGGCGAAUGAAUGUUGUUUGGUGAUGAUGGUGAUAACAAUGGUGAAAGUCUAAUUCUACUUUUGCUCUUUGAGGGGAUACAUACCUUUCUUGCUUUUUUGAAACUUUGUAAGGAGAAUGAGAUGCUCUUCUUUUUUCUUUUCUCUCAGGUGGGUAUCUUGUACCCGUAAUUCUACUGUUAGACACUUGUCCAUGUUUACCUCUCGUCUCACUUUUUCUUUUCUUUCGAGGUUCCGGGCACUUGCCCCUUUUUAUUUCCUUGUAUCUCUUUUCCUCUCUCUCUUUUUUUAGAGCACUCAUCUCUUGAGAUAAUAUAGAAAGUGGUAGUAACAAGAUAACUUGAGCAUUUAUUUCAUAGGGGAAAAAUAGAAAUAUUUUUGGCUAUUCUCUCCCGGAUUAGGAGUAGAAUAUUUUUGGGUGAUUCUGGAGAUGGAAAUGGAUGGAUAUAUGUGGAUGGUACUUCCGGAGUAGAAGCAGCAUGUGUGAGUGAACGUGCAAGUGAAUCUUGAUUUAACAACAUGGCAAGCUCCUAAGGGUCUACACAGCUUGACCACACUCAAUGCUCAUCAGCAGUAAAAAGUAAAUGUGUGGCUCAAAGUCUAGCAAGCAUGUAUAUAUGGCUGUGGUAGAAAAUUAAACUCUCAUCAUACAAGAACUCAUCAUGCAAUAUUUUAAAGAUUUUCAAAGAUAAAAUUCUCCAGAAUUCUAGCAUCUCUAGGAACAGAUAGACAACAGCUCAACCUUCCCAUAUCAUAUCCGUUAACAACUUAGACUUCAGAUCAAGUUUUCUUCACAUAAGUUUAGGUUUUGAGCAAGCUUUAAAUUAUAACAGUUAUGUCUAAACUUGAGAGAACUUCAAAUUUAAAAAUUAGGAAGAGCAACUAUUCAUCAUAUCAAUGCUAGAGUUUUAUUAUUAAGAUUCAGAUUAGCAUAGCCACUUUAUUUAUUUAUUAAACACACUAAGCAAAAGGUAUAUAUAUAUAAACCUAAAAUCUUUAUUUGGUUUUUCAUAAUUAUUUAUAUCUAUAUUUUAAUAUAGUAUAACUAUAAAGAUAGAUAGAAAUACUUAUCGGGAUAAAUGGGGGUGCUCUCCCCCAAGCUGAAUUUUGACGUAAUUUCUUUUUGAUGUAGCUAGCAGGUGGCAGAGGUGUAUUUGAAAGUCGGCAGUAUCUUGACAACGAUUAGAAUGUCCUCCGUCUGCUAGUCUUCUCGAUUCUUAAAUUCUGUGGAGCUCAAAUAGACAACAAAGCUUUGUGGAACUGAUUAAGUGUUAGCAUAAAUAUCUAGCCUUUAUCAUGUUGAGUCUCCUCAAUAAAUGUUACUCUCUAUUUUUAUAUUUUCAUUUUAUAAAGCAGAAAAGAAAUAUUUAUUCUAUUUUUAUGCCACCACAGUGAAUGUACUUAUGGGUCUCAUGCCACUCGUAUACUCACAUGGGGCUUAUUGUUUUUUAACAUUUUUAUUUUCUUUUUAGGAUAGUAUGAACAUGAUUAACUAAGCAAACUAUUUAAAAUAAUUGAAAGGGAAAGGAUAACUACCAAGUUUACCUCUUGGCAAGGCGUUCGGUGUUUUUAAGUCCUCCGAACGGGACUCUCCAUUUUCUCAGUUGUCCUGGGAUUCGUUGGUUGGCGUAGUCGGUACUUCCGGCGGUGCCUCCUCUUCGUGUAUGGUUAUCUUCUCUCUCCAUACCUGAACCGGUGCUACGAUCUCCUCAGGAUAAUUCUGUUUAAACUGUAUGUCUUCUGACCUUACCACUUCUCCUUCAUAGUCUGCCCAUCCGUCCUUGAUGAUUUCCCUCCUCUGGUUGCGGUUGUGUCGUUUUCUGACCUGCUUAGAGUCUUCAACAAUAUAGUUAGGGUCAGUAAAAUAGCGGCGUACCUUUUCUGAGGGGAAGUGCAUAUGGACUUCUGUUGACGGUCCUUAAUGCUCACAUUUAACCAUCAACUAAUCAUAGAAAAGGAUCCAAAUGCAACCAACACCUAGACUUAGGGUUUUAUCUGACAGAAUUCCACGAGUUUUGGUGUUUGUCUAUUUCUGUAGGGGGUUAUCAGGAAAUACGGAAGAAAGGCCCACACGUCGGGUUUACAUAGAGAUAUUAACGUGCCGCGCAAUUUUCUAUCAUCUAGAAGACUCCAGAAGCCACGGGACCGAAGCGGAAGCCGAGAGGCCUCAGGGACAGGGCGCCCGCCCUAGUCCUGAGGGCGCCCGCCCUCUCCCCUGGACCAAUCAGGGUGAAGUUCGGGGAUUAUGCUCCACCGACCUAAUACUUCAAGGAAAACCACACGAUCAAUGUCAGUUUGAUCCGACGGCCCAGAUUCACUUGAAGGGACUAUAAAACCAGACCCCCCUAGCCCCUGGAGAUCAUACCUCUUCUACAGAAUCAAAGUUAGGGUUUCAAUUCUUCAUCCAAGUAGAGAGGAUCCCUCUAGUUCUUCUAGUUCUACCUCUAGUUCAUCUAGAUCUAGUUCUAGUUCAUCUAGUUCUAGUUCUAGUUCCUCUAGUUCUAAUUCUAGUUAGUUCUAGUUGUAAUCUAGAAAAUAGGGAGAGAGAAGAGGAGAGCGGAGGAGGAGCCGGAUCUGUCGGAUCUUCCUCAACAUUGUACUUUUGCAGCAACUGGUUCGUUCUUCAUCGUUCUCCAGGUUCUUCAAUUCAUAACUCCUGAGUUCUCUAAUUACUUUUAUUUACAUUUAAGUUAUUUAUUGGAUUCCCGCUUGCAUCAAGUGCUCUAGUCUUUAUAACGCUAGAGUAGUAAUUAAUAGAUUAGACGUGGUGUUUAGUCUUGCGAUUACCUGGAAUUGCACCCAAUCCUGCGGAUUGUUGUGGUAGCCUUAGGGUAGUGACAGCCCUAACGGUCGACGUAUUCCACCACGUUCGGAUCGGUGUUUGUAGGACCGUAGUCAGACCUUCCUAGCCCCCUUCUCAUCUCUUUCUGUGGUUAGUGCUCUGAUGUCCCGAUAUAGAUAAUCUUGAAGUAAUUCUUGAUUCUUAGAUCAACUAGAGAAUUCUGAGGAAACUUCCUCUCUUCCCACCAAAAACAAUUAUAUAGUUAUCCUUAGGCGAUCUUGAUUCUUAAUUAGUACACUCACGUUCUCUGUGGAAAAUCGAUACUCUGGAAUACUCCCGGGUGAAAGCUACAUCGGUAUCCGUGCGCUUGCGGAUUUUUCUGUUUGUGUUUAAAAUACCCAACAACUUCUCUGGUUCCAAUGUAGAUGAUUGCUUUAACGGUGCUGAGGAACGGUCUUCCAAGGAUGAUGAGUGGAUCGUAUUCGUCUUCUCCCAUGUCAAUAACCUGAAAGUCUGUGUAGACAAAAUGAUCGUCUAUUUUGACUAGGACAUCAGUUACUAUUCCUUUAACUUCUUGAAAUGUCUGAUCUGCCAUCUGGAGCUGAAUGUAUGUUGGUUUUAGGGGAAUGGUUCCGAACAAGAGCCGAUAGGUGACUGCGGCCAUUAUAUUGACGCCCGAUCUGGUGUCGCAAGUCGUCUUGUAGAAGUUAUAUCCAUUUGUGGAGCAAUAGAUGCUUGGCAUUCCUGGGUCGUCCUUCUUGGUCAGAAAUGGUGACUUAAGUUGAUGAUCUUGACCUCCUUGAACUGCAGUGACCAUCUUAGCUGACUCGCUCCAUACUUGCUUGUUCCUAUUCCUCCUGUUGGUCCUCUUCCUUGAUUCACGUCUGGAUUGAUCUGGGAUUUGUGUAAUCUUGUUCUUGAAGGAAAACGUCUCCUUCUUCCCUUUGAUGUAGAAACUGAUCUUGGCAGCACUAGCAUAGAUGACAGCUCCCGAGGUGUUCAAGAAUGGCCUCCCUAGAAUGAUGGGUGCUCUCUCAUCAUUAUCGGUCUCUAUCACCACGAAGUCUGCUAGGGCAUAUAAGGUACCAACUCAGACACAAAGGUUCUUCAAUAUUCCUUUUGGAAAACUUAUCGUCUGAUCUACAAACUGCAAACACAUGGUUGUCUCUAAUAAAGGAUAUGUAAAGAAUUUUUCAUAGAGUACCCUGGGUAUAAUGUUGACACUAGAGCCAAAGUCGCAGAGUGCUUCUGGGAUGUCCACCAUGCCCAUGGAGAUCGGGAUGACAGGGCGUCCUGGAUCGCCUCUCUUGACCGGCAGAAGGUCAGUAGUAACUUCAGUGACGGGGUUACUCCAAUUACCUGCAUCAAACAUGUCUACAAGAUUUACAGAUUCUAAUCCUUCUGGUUGUGAUGGUAUAACGGGGUUAGUAGCAGGAACAGCAGCAUCUAUUUGGUUUAACUGAGAUUCAAUCAUUUUAUUAAAGCUAAUUUGAUUCUUGAUGGCAGUAGAGAAAUUAUCCAUUCUAUUGUCUAUAUUUUCUAGCAUUUUAUCAUUAGAUGCCAAUUUCAUAGAUAGGUUAUCCAUUAGCUUUCCUUGAUUAGACACCAACUCUCUCAGAGGUGGAAAAGUAUUAUUAUUGUUGUAAGAAUUAUUACCUUGAUAAUUACUUGAGUAGUUAGGCCUCUGUUGAUUCCAACCGUGGUUUUGUUGAGGACGGUUGUAGUAGUUGUUGUUAUUGUUGUUGAUGUAGUUCACAUCCUCAAGCAUCUCAGGGCAGUGAUUGCCUGAGUGUCCAGUGUCUCCACAUUCCUCACAAGUCAUGUGAGAGUCGUAGAUGUGCAUAACUUCGUUCUUAUCUCCAGCUCUAUCAUCGAGCUUCUUCAUGAGCAGGUCUAGCUUUGCAGACAGCAUGUCUACCUCCUUGAGCUGAUGCAUACCUCCACCUCUCUUGCAUGUCUGGGUCCUCUCUUCAUUCCAGCCUUGGUUUGACGCCAUCUUCUCCACAAGAGCUGUGGCUUGUGAUAUGGUAAGUGAUAAGAAUGCUUCUCCAGCUGCAACAUCCAUGGUCUCUCGGGUACUAUUGCCGAGCCCAUGAUAAAAUGUCUGCAUUAGUAGCUAACUCUCCAUUCCAUGACGGGGACAUUCUAGGAUGUAGUCUUGGAAGCACUCCCAUGCUUCUGGAAUGGAUUCAUCAUGUUGUUGCUGAAAACUUAUAAUUUUCCGACGGAGAGCAUUGGUCUUGCCCAUGGGAAAGAACUUAGCCAGGAAGUUUGUUGAGCAGAGUGCCCACGUAGUAUUCUUCUCCUUUGUAGCGUAGAACCACUGCUUCGCUCUUCCUAACAGUGAGAAUGGGAAGAGGCGAAGUAGUAUAGCAUCUCUAGGGACUCCUGAGAUGGCGAAUGUGCUGCAAAUCUCCAGGAAGUGUUGGAGAUGAGCACUAGCAUCUUCGUGUGCCUUCCCACAGAACUGAUUGGAUUGCACCUUGUUUAUAAGUACAGGCUUUAGCUCAAAGUUGUCAUCGAUCUCUGCAGCAGGUCCAGUAUGGAUGUUGUCCAUAGUGGGAGCUGAGAACUCACGGAUCGAUUUGUUUGCCAUGGCUUCGAACUCUGAAGACAAGUUCCGGUGAUCUUCUUGAUUGGUUGAAGCUUCUUGCUGAAGUGUUGAUGAUCUGUUCUUGAGCUUGGCUCUAGUUUUUCUGAAUAAGGCUUCAGGAUUGUCAACAAAAGUUCCUGGAAGAUGUCUUCUAUUCAUACAUUCCCCUACAUAAGAUAAAAUAGAAAAUACCAGGGUAAAACUGUAUGAGAGAAUUGAUAAGCUCAAUCAUAUUAGUGAUGCGAAUGAUAACUCAAAAUCCUAUAUUCAUUCCUGAUUAGUAAUCAACCUUCCCCAGCAACGGCGCCAAAAAUGCUGGUUGGGUAUUCUUAACAUCAUUACCAAAAGUAGACUUAGUUUUCUAAUUCUGAUAACGGUGCCAAAAAUGCCAAACCUAUCUCUCAUACCAUUUAAGCCAAGUUGUCAUCCCCAGCAUGACAUGAGAGACGCGGUAUUGAAAUAUGCAAUUGCUCUUCUAAGUAAAUAAUAAAUGGGAUCUGCAAGCGCACAAAUUAAUACCGAUGUAGCAUUUUAACCGGGAAGUAUUCCAGGUAUCGUUAUUUAUAUUUUUACCACUAGGAAGGGAUUAGUAACCAUCAAUAUUGAUUAUAGAAUAGAAUAUGAGAUUGAGUAUCUAUCAUUGCAUGUAUAAUUGAGAACAUUUAUCUAACUCUUUCAUACAGGGAUAAGUGUCACAUAAAAGAUAUAUGAAAUAAUGAAUAGUGACAAAGAUAAUUAAUCUGAUCAGCAUAACUUAGCCACAUAUAAAUAUGAUAAGCACCUCAAUUAGAUAUUCUAGCAAGUCAUUAGCAUGGUAUUAGAACGAACUACAAGAAUAUUUCCUAAGUUAUUCUCAACUAUAUAGUCUAGCAUUAUCAUAGUUAGUGUAAGCAUACUUAGCAAUCAUUGUGAGACAAGACUACGCCCAUGCAUAGUGAUAUUAGCAAGGAAUAUGAGAAACAUAGCAAUCACUCCCCUGUAAUAAUGUUGCUCUGCCAGCCCAAUACACGAGAGGGGGACUAUAUAAGAAUCAAUGAAGCUGUCACUAUCACGAACUACACCACGAUCUGGCAUAUUGGGUACAAUCGCAGAUAAAUACGGUAUAAGCACCACGCCUACACAAUAUCUAUCAUUUACCCAUGGAUCCGAUGGAUAAACGCUAUACGAUCCCAAACAUGUAUAUAGAUCCAAUCUAACUAAGCCAAGUAUAUAACCAUGAUAAACUAAGAACAAUAUAAUCUUGAAUAUAAACAAGUAGAGCAAAGUCAUAAGCAAUAUAUUGGAGUAGAACAAAGUCAUAUUCAUAAUAUUGAAGAACAAAGAUGAACAAUUAGAGAAUUACCAAGAAUCCUCUUGAUAGAUCUGGAAACCAAUCGAAGAUUGACUCCUUCUAGUUCUAAUCCUAUGUAGCUAUUGUUGACGGUUCUUAAGUAUCAAUUUUAAUUAUUAAAUAAACAAGGGAAAGGACCAAUAUGCAACCAACACCUAGAAUUAGGGUUUGAUCUGACAGAAUUCCAUGAGUUUUGUUGUUUAUCUGUUUCUGCAGGGGGUUAUCAGGAAAUAAGGAAGAAAGGCCCACAUGUCGGGAUUACAUAGAGAUAUCAACGCACCGCGCGAUUUUCUACCAUCUAGAAGACUCUAGAAGCCACGGGAAGAAGGCAGAGGCCGAAAGGGGCCAGGCCCAGGGCGCCCGCCCCCUGCUGGAUGCCAAUCAGGACUCUCUUCGCACGGGAUGUUCCACCGACCUAUUGGAUCAAGGAAAAUAUAGUACCACCUCGCCUACCGACCCAAAAACGCAUAGAGGAGGAGGACUAUAUAAGGAGACCCCCCUUGCCCCUGGAGAAGACAUGAAGAAAUUAUCAUAGAGAUUGAGGGGUGCCCUCGAAGGAAAACCUCUUCUCUAAUUAAUAUUUCUUUUUAGGCUUAGCAAACAAUGUAAAGUAGAAAUAGAUGUUCUAGUUUCUACUAGAUUGAGAGAGAUAGAGUGGAGGUGUAGAUUAGAGGAAGCCCGGCCUAUCGGUGUCUACUCCAAGCUUGUACCUGCGGGAUCAAGUUCUCCUAACCCGAAGCUUGCUCCUAGGAUUCUUCAGUAUUUCGACUUCUAAAUUAUACUAAGUUCUUGUUUUAUUGUUCUUCUGGUUUAUGAGUUUACUUUAAUCUCUUUGCGUAGAGUUUAGAGCAAUCAUUGCUGGCGUAAACGUGGUGUUUAGGCUGGGGAACUCAUAGAUAUUCCCUGACUAGCUGGACCGUGGUAGUAGCGAGGAACGUGACAAUUCCGAGUUACCUUUGCAGACCAUAUCGCGUUAGCAGGAAGGAUAGGGUUUAUAGGUGCGGGUUGAACAUCCUUUGUGGUGUCUAGAUUCCGUUAGCCUCCCCAAUAGAACAGUAGAUCAUCCUUACCAAGGUUAGAAGGAGACUACGGUUGCAGUCUUCUCUAUUUAUCACUCACAUCGAAAGACAUUCUUUGUUGCCUAAAGGUUAGUAGUAAUAGACCGGUUAGUCAGAUGCACUCUUUCUCAUAGUGGUAAAAAAAUAAAUACGAUACUUUGGAUAAUUUCCCGGGUGAAAUGCUCACCGAUAUCCGUGCGCUUGCGGAUCAAUUCCUUAUUGUGUUCCCAAAUAUCAAAAAGCAUUUCUGGCGCCGUUGUCGGGGAGAAAGACGGUUGCUGAGAUAACCUGAGUCUUACUACUGGCGCCGUUGUCGGGGAGAAAGACGGUUGCUGAGAUAAUCUAUACUUUUAUCUUUUCUUAUCUUUUAUAUUCUUUAUUUAUUUUCUUUACUCUUACCUUAUGGAAAACCAAAAUUCUAAAUCGAUCCAUGAGUCUGCAAUCCCUUCAGUAACUGACCUUUUACCAUGGGAAUCAUCACAGCUGUUGACACUUGCUAACACCACUUGAAUACUAGGUUGUCAUCCCUAGCAUGGCACUAGAGUGUACUAUGGUAUUUAUACACACACAGAUAAUCCGCAAGCGCACGGAUACCGUUGAAGCUUUCACCCGGUUAAAGGUUUUAUCGUAUCCACAGGGAAACGGGAGAACCAACUACGCUCUAACUUAACCAAGAUAGAUAGAUAGUGUAAAUAGGAAAGAUGGUAGAAUUGAAUAAGAACAAUAUUAAAGGUAAGAUAACAAUAGGUGAUAAUAUGGGAAUAGAGAGUAGAGCAAUUCUAGUAUAUGGGCGAUGGUAGCAGAAUAGAGAGAAUAACUAUGGCUUCUCUACUUCAAAGGGGUAUGUCUAUGUCCGGGACGAACCACGUGAUAAGAUUACACCACAAAGGAUGCUUAUCCAUAGGCCGAUAAACCCUACCCGUCCUGCUAACGAGAGGUGGACUACAGAGGACCAACGUAACUGUCACCUACGCGGCCUACCACACGAUCCAGCUAGACAGGGGAUAUCCAAAAGUAAUCUAGGUCUAAGCACCACGCUUACACCUAUACUACAACUCUCACCUAUAGCGUCCUAUAGAUUAGAAUACUCAAAAGAGUUGUGAACCAGAACAUACAUAAUUAGUAAUUGCAAAAUGAAUUAGAAGUAGAUUACCAGAGUCAUCCCAUGAGCAAGCUUGAUUAGAGCUUGAUCAUGACGAAGUACAACCGGAGGAAGAACCGACAGGCCGGCCUCUCCUCUAAUCCUCCUUCGCUCUCCAUCUUGCUACUAUCUAGAUCUACUCUAGUUUAGAGAAGAGAAGAGAGCUCUCAUCUCUAAACCCUAGCUUUUGCUCUGUCUAUGAAUAAUGAAUAAUGAUCAAGGGGUGCCUCCUCCAGGGGCUAGGGGGUCUGGUUAUAUAGUCUUUUCAGAUGAAUCUGGGCCGUCGGAUCAAACCGACAUUGAUCGUGUGGUUUUCCUUGAAGGAUUAGGUCGGUGGAGCAUGAUCCGCGAAGUUGAAGCUGAUUGGUUACUGUAGCUGGGCGGGCACCCAAGGGACUUGGGCGGGCGCCCUGCCCCCGGGCCCGAUCGGCCUCCCGUUCGUUCCCGUGGCUUCUGGAGUCUUCUAGAUGAUAGAAAAUUGCGCGGCACGUUAAUAUCUCUAUGUAAACACGACGUGUGGGCCUUUCUUUCAUAUUUCCUGAUAACCCCCUGCAGAAAUAGACAAACACCAAAACUCGUGGAAUUCUGUCAGAUAAAACCCUAAGUCUAGAUGUUGAUUUCAUUUGGAUCCUUUUCUUUGUUUAUUUGAUAAUUAAAUUUGAUACUUAAGGACUGUCAACAAACUCCCCCAAGCUUACCUCUUGCUCGUCCCUGAGCAAGGAUAGACUCAGCAAUCGAUCAGAAGUUGUUGCAAUAUCUUAAAAAUUUGACGGUACACAUGCUUUUAAAUAAGAUCUCAUCUCUGAGUUAGAGUAAACUGUCAAGAACUAAAACUUACUUACUUUACCUUUCACCAUAGGACUUGUAACCGUCACUUCUGUCUUAAGUAGUUAAAAGAUAGAACAGUCUAGCCAAGUGCCAUGUCUCUUAUCCUUGAUCAGCUAUAGCUCUAGAGUUUUUGCAGAUUUUCAAAUAAAACUCAGAGAUUCCUUGUAUGACUCUCUAAAUCUCUCUUUUGUGGUAUUUCUGGAUCCUUACCAAGGCAGUGAUGGUAUAUGUCUUCUCUCAAGAUAUGUGGUAUUUGUGGUAUAAGGCAUAGUGACAUUACCUUCUCUCUCACCCAACUUUAAUAAGGCUUUAAUAUCUGGAGCUCAUAGGUGGGAGAUAAAGUAUACAUACUUACAAGACAUUUAUUGCAUAGUCAAACCAUGGAUCCAAAGAAACAAAUCAUUAAGCCAAAUCAAGAUGUGCAUGUGUGGCGAAUGAAUAGUGUGUGGUGAUGAUGGUGGUAAUGGUGGAAGUCUAAUUCUACUUUUGCUCUUUUGAGGGGAUACAUACCUUCCUUGCUUUCUGAAACUUUAUGAGGAGAAUGAGAUGCUCUUCUUUUUCUUUCCUCUCAGGUGGGUAUCUUGUACCCCUAAUUCUACUGUCGGACACUUGUCCAUUUUUACCUCUCGUCUCACUUUUUCUUUGUUUCUUUCGAGGUUCCGGGCACUUGCCCCUUUUUAUUUCCUCGUAUUUUUCUUCUUUUUUUUUAGAGCACUCAUCUCAUGAGAUAAUAUAGCAAGUGGUAGUAACAAGAUAACUUGAGUAUUUAUUUCACAAGGAAGAAACAGAAAUAUUUUUGGUUAUUCUCUCCCGGAUUAGGAGUAGAAUAUUUUUGGGUGGCUCUGGAGAUGGAAAUGAGUGGAUAUAUGUGGAUGGUACUUCCGGAGUAGAAGCAGCAUGUAUGAGUGAACGUGCAAGUGAAUCUUGAUUUACCCACAUGACAAGCUCCUAAGGGUCUACACAGCUUGACCACACUCAAUGCUCAUAAGCAGUAAAUAACAAAUGUGUGGCUCAAAGUCUAGCAAGCAUGUAUAUAUGGCUGUGGUAGGAAUUUAAACUUUCAUCAUACAGGAACUCAUCAUGCAAUAUUUUAAAGAUUUUUCAAAGAUAAAAUUCUCCAGAAUUCUAGCAUCUCUAGGAAUAGAUAAACAGUAGCUCAACCUUCCCAUAUCAUAUCGGUUAACAACUUAGAUUUCAGAUCAAGUUUUCAUCCCACAAGUUUAGAUCUAGAGCAAGCUUUAAAUUAUAACAGUUAUGUCUAAACUUGAGAGAGAACUUCAAAUUUGCAAAUUAGGCAGAGCAACUAUUCAUCAUAUCCAUGCUAGAGUUUUAUUAUUAAGAUUCAGAUUAGCAUACCACUUUAUUUAUUUAUUAAACACAGUAAGCAAAAGAUAUAUAUAUAUAUAUAAGCACAAAAUCUUUAUUUGGUUUUUCAUAGUUUAUGUAUUUUAAUAUUCUAAUAUAAUAUAAGUAUAAAGAUAGGUAGAAAUACUUAGCGAGAUAAAUGGGGGUGCUCUCCCCCAAGCUGAAUUUUGACGUAAUUUCUCUUGAUGUAGCUAGCAGGUGGCAGAGGUGUAUUUGAAAGUCAGCAGCAUUCUGACAGCGAUUAGAAUGUCCUCCGUGUGCUAGUCUUCUUGAUUCUUAAAUUCUGUGGAGCUCAAAUAGACAACAAAGCUUGUGGAACUAAUUAAGUGUUAGCAUAAAUAUAUAGCCUUCAUCAUGUUGAGCUUCCUCAAUAAAUAUUACUCCCUGUUUUUAUAUUUUUAUUUUAUAAAGUAGAAAAGAAAUAUUUAUUUUAUUUUUAUGCCACCACAGUGACGGUACUUAUGGGUUUUAUGCCACUCGUAUACUCACGUGGGCUUAGUAUUUUUUAACAUUUUUAUUUUCUUUUCAAGAUAGCAUGAUUUAACUAAUAAUCUAUUUAAGGAAAGUAAAUAAUUAAAGGGAAAAGGAAUUGCAGAACGGAUAAAUAUGGAUAACUACCGAUCUUACCUUUCGGCGAUGGUUCAAUGUUUUAAGUCUUCUUGGCAAGACUUCUCACCGUGUUCAUUCUUCAGGUGCGUCAUUUGAUUCAGGUGCGGACCUUGACGUCUGCACCUCUUCGUUUGCCCAACAGUUCGAAGUGCGGCGUUGGCAGUAUCCUGCUCACUGUAUUUGAGCUCGUAGAUCCAGGUCCUUCACUUGGUAGAGUCUGAGAGUUAUAAAUCUCCUCCAUGUUUUGCUCGAAGUGUACCUGCUCAUAGAGACAAGGUAGAGAUCAAGUGCAUGGGUCCUGUUGGUGGAAAACACCAACAGAACCUAAAGUGUAUUUGUUCUUCUCUAACCCUAAGCAUAGUGAGCAAGACAAAGUUGAUGAAUGAUAAGUUCAUGAGUGUAGCAUUUAAAACAUUUGCCGGAUCAGGUCACUCAACCUAAUGGAAAGAUAAUCUAUCUAUAUCUAUGCCAUUUUCUUUAUAUCUUCCCAAAGAUUAAAUGCGCAACAUUUUAGCUCAUAUGACUUGGAGUGUGGGAUCACAAAAGUGGAAGGACUAAACAUGUUGAAUCGAUUGGGUUGGUUAACCUAGAGUUGUAAUUCAUACAUGUUUGUCUCUUUUAUUCAUAUGAACGCCAGAACCAAGGAGAAGCUUAUAAAAGUGAUAGUCAAGUACCUUAAGAUGUUACCUUAAUUGAAGAGUGAUGGUACCAUCUUACCUUGUGGAAGCUUCCCAUUCGUAGUGGUUGUGCAUCGUGUACCCUCCAUGGAUCAUCUCUUAUGAGCUACGUCUUCCUUGUGUAAAUUGUUAAACUUCAUGUGUCACUCUCUUCAUCUCCAAUGCGAGUUUAUGUCAGGACUUCCCAGGUUGAUAUUGAAAGUUUUCCUGUAGGGGUUAGUCUGACAAAAAUAUACCAAUGUCUACACAAGCAGUUUUUAGUUCAGUAACCGAACUAGACUCCAUGUCUAAUCAGAUUAAGGAAGGCUGUUUAACCUAAGCACCAUGCUUAAUUUAAAAGCCAAUAGAAGUAUGUGCAGUACUUCCAAACUAACACUUACUAGUAAAUAGACAAAGGUAGCAUGACAGCAUUUAUAGAGAUCUACUCAAGUGGAGAUGAAGUAGUGUGAUUAGUAUUUAACAAAUUGAGCAUGUCUUAAAGGUAGGGACAACCAACAUAGCAACAUGGCAAAGGAUGUUUUUAUGUAAAGUACUCCCCCAAGCUUGAAUUUUUGCAGAAUUCAAGUUUGGAUGAAUUUAAUUCAAUGUUGUAUGAUAAUUGGUUGGACAUACCUUGUGCUUGUCAUUCCUCGGAUCUUCUUGCUCCAAUCCUGGAAAGGUUAAUGACAAGAAUACCCGAAGGAAUAUUUCUACAAUCAUCUUAUAUGCUAAAUAUACAAGGCAAUGUUGCAAAUAAUUAAAAGUUCAUAUUACGGUCUGAUAAGUGCUUGUUUUAGGACACUAAGCUUGUCCUUGGGAAACCAUCAAAUUAUGUCGGCGAAGUGGUUUCCCCUCCAACGCUGACCUAUAUCAAGAUCAACUCAACGAGAUCUGCAAUAUUUAUUAUAGACAUAUGGAUCGACAACCGCCCUUUUAAAGUUUUUAUAAAUAGAAAAGAAGAGGGGGUUGGAGAUCUCAAAUGUGGUAAGGUUGGAGAGACCAAUAGAUUGAGAAGAUGUUGCAUUUGAGCAUGGAGUAAACGAAGUGGCUAUGAAAUAAAUUCGAUCCUUAUUAAUGUUAUCUUCGUCUCCAAUCUGAAUGUUCGGAGUUUCGCCUUGAUUGGUCUCACCUAUGUCCUCUUCUGUAGUUGGAUGAAUCUCAUCUUCAAAGGGAGUCAAGAACUCACUAUUUGAAAUUGAACCAAAGUCAGAAUUCAUUAAGGCUUCUUCCUUAUCCAUCCAUUCUACACAUUCUAGCCAUUUAGAACUUGUGAUCAGGAAAGGGGAGGUGUUAGAAUUUUCAAUAUGGCUUAGCUCUCCUUCACUUGAUAUGUCAUCCUCGACUUCUUCAUAACAGGAGCCAGGACAUUCUCUAAGAGAACCAUUAUUGCGAGGAUUUGAAUUAUCCCUGCUUGAAGGUCUCUUAUGGAACCAGAAGUCUAAACCAUCAGCAUCUGAAAGAUUUAAAGUCGGAAUUCCUUCCUCCCUUAGAGAAUUUUGGGGUAUUGAUGGUUUAGGAUUGAUAGCUAAAGUUUGGGAUUGAAGUGUUGGUGAUGUUGCUAUCGAAACUUCUUCUUCUUGUCUAGGAACUGGUUCUUUCUCUUUCUCAGGGAUAUAAAAGCUAGGAGACUUUCCGCUUAAUAAAUAAAUCAAAUUCCAAGCUUCACUAGCAGCUAGGUGAUAGAAGGACCCUCUAGAAGCUGUAUUCAAGGUUUGCUUAUUUUCCCCACUAAGGCCCUCAAAAAAGUGAAUUAGAAGAACUUCUUCUGGAAUAGAAAGCUUUGGGCCUGUGAGAGUAAGGUUAAUAAAGCGGUCCCAUGAUUUCCUAAGAGAUUCUUCUUCCAGUUGUCUAAAAGAAAUAAUCUCACGCUGAAGUUCCGCCACUUUAGAGAUUGGAAAAUAUUUUAAAAGAAAACUAUUAUGUAACUCCUUCCAAUCUCCAUGAACACUCCCUACUUUGAGUUUAUACCAAUGUCUAGCUUUUCCUGUUAAAGAGAACGGAAAGAGCUUCCAUUUGAGGGUCUCAUCGGACAUUCCUUCUAUGCGAAGGAGGUCACAGACUUGAUAAAACUCUCUUAGGUGUGUGUAUGGGUUUUCCUCACCUUCUCCUGAGAAAGGUUGUUUUUGAACAAAUUCUAUGUAUUCGGGGUCUAUCUCAAAACUAGAUGCUAUGAUAGGCUUUGAAGAUUUUGGUGGUUCGAGAUGUGUGCCCGUAGGUCUAUGAAAUUCAUAGAUAGACAUGUUUGAAUUCAUGAUAGACCAGAGAUCAAGGAUUAGAUAAGAAUAAAGAGUAGCAGAGAUAAGGCAAAGGAUAAAAGGAAAAAUAUAUUUUUUUUAUUAUUUAUUUAGAAAAUGAUUAAGCUAGUUCGUAGUCAACUCAGCAACCGUUUCCCCGGCAACGGCGCCAAAAAAUGCUUGUUGACACUUGCUAACACCACUUGAAUACUAGGUUGUCAUCCCUAGCAUGGCACUAGAGUGUACUAUGGUAUUUAUACGCACACAGAUAAUCUGCAAGCGCACGGAUACCGUUGAAGCUUUUACCCGGUUAAAGGUUUUAUCGUAUCCACAGGGAAACGGGAGAACCAACUACGCUCUAACUUAACCAAGAUAGAUAGAUAGUGUAAAUAGGAAAGAUGGUAGAAUUGAAUAAGAACAAUAUUAAAGGUAAGAUAACAAUAGGUGAUAAUAUGGGAAUAGAGAGUAGAGCAAUUCUAGUAUAUGGGCGAUGGUAGCAGAAUAGAGAGAAUAACUAUGGCUUCUCUACUACAAAGGGGUAUGUCUAUGUCUGGGACGAACCACGUGAUAAGAUUACACCACAAAGGAUGCUUAUCCAUAGGCCGAUAAACCCUACCCGUCCGGCUAACGAGAGGUGGACUACAGAGGACCAACGUAACUGUCACCUACGCGGCCUACCACACGAUCCAGCUAGACAGGGGAUAUCCACAAGUAAUCUAGGUCUAAGCACCACGCUUACACCUAUACUACAACUCUCACCUAUAGCGUCCUAUAGAUUAGAAUACUCAAAAGAGUUGUGAACCAGAACAUACAUAAUUAUUAAUUGCAUAAUGAAUUAGAAGUAGAUUACCAGAGUCAUCCCAUGAGCAAGCUUGAUUAGAGCUUGAUCAUGACGAAGUACAACCGGAGGAAGAACCGAUAGGCCGGCCUCUCCUCUAAUCCUCCUUCGCUCUCCAUCUUGCUACUAUCUAGAUCUACUCUAGUUUAGAGAAGAGAGGAGAGAUCUCAUCUCUAAACCCUAGCUUUUACUCUGUCUAUGAAUAAUGAAUAAUGAUCAAGGGGUGCCUCCUCCAGGGGCUAGGGGGUCUGGUUAUAUAGUCUUUUCAGAUGAAUCUGGGCCGUCGGAUCAAACCGACAUUGAUCGUGUGGUUUUCCUUGAAGUAUUAGGUCGGUGGAGCAUGAUCCGCGAAGUUGAAGCUGAUUGGUUACAGUAGCUGGGCGGGCACCCAAGGGACUUGGGCGGACGCCCUGCCCCCGGGCCCGAUUGGCCUCCGUUCGUUCCCGUGGCUUCUGGAGUCUUCUAGAUGAUAGAAAAUUACGUGGCACGUUAAUAUCUCUAUGUAAACCCGACGUGUGGGCCUUUCUUUCAUAUUUCCUGAUAACCCCCUGCAGAAAUAGACAAACACCAAAACUCGUGCAAUUCUGUCAGAUAAAACCCUAAGUCUAGAUGUUGAUUUCAUUUGGAUCCUUUUCUUUGUUUAUUUGAUAAUUAAAUUUGAUACUUAAGGACUGUCAACAACAGCCUAUCCAAACAUCCCAGUAUAAGUUAAGUUUUAGGUUGAUUGCCAUGAUUCAAAACCUAGCUUUUUCGGGAAAGGAAGACGAAAACCCUUACCUUCAUAUUAGAGAUUUUAAGCAAACAUGUGAUUGUCUUCGUAUUGAAGGCAUUUCUGAAAAACUUUACGUUGGAAGCUUUUUCCUUUUUCCUUAAGGGGAGAAGCUAGACAAUGGUACAGUCAGAAGGUAAGUCAACAACAAGGUGAAUGGGGAGUUUUAUGAGCCAACUUAGAAUCUGGUCCAAACCUUAAUCUUGAAGACCCUGUUCUUUUAUUUCACUUUUUUCGAGGUCUUCAGAAAAAUCACAAACAAAUGCUACACACAAUGUCUAGAGGUUCUUUCUUUCGCAUCCCUACUAAUGAAGCUAGAGUGAUCCUAGAUAGAAUCCUAGAAGCUGAGAUGGAUAAUACCCUUCAUGAUGAAACAUACGAAGCCGAAGUAGACACUCUGCCAAAUUCUUCAUCUACUUUAGCUAUCCCAAGUUCUGAGCCACAAGAGGAAGAAAUUCCACCACCGGACUUCAUGCUGGAUAUAGAAUCCGAUCUUUUUGCCGAUUUUGGAAACAUUUCAAACUACCAUUCUAUUGACAAACCCCAAAACGGCUAGUUUAGCAUUUAUUUGCCAAGUGAACAUCAAUUGAGAGAGCUUAUCUCAGUAAUGAGUAGCGAAUGGUUGGAGGAAUCAGAGCUUACCUCUGAUGUGAUCCGUUUGGACACACCCUCUAUAACUAUACGCUGUGCUUAUAAUUCUAAUCGAUUUAAUGCUCUUUAUAAUCCUGUUGUGGGGAUCAACAUCAUGUCUGAAUCUUUUGCACUUAAACUAUUUAAAACUCUUGUCUUAACCCCCACAACAAAGGUCAUAAAGGAAUCUUCAGGAUGAUUAGUCCCUAGUCUUGGAAUUAAUAAUGUCCUACCUCUUACGGUAGAAGGCUCCAUGGUUCAUUUGAACUUCUAUAUCUUUGAUACAUGGGACUUCAACCUGUUGAUAGGACAACCUUUUAGAAGACUCCUUUAUGAAGGUCAUACUGGAAAGCUACACAUUUCUUUUGGAAAAACCUUUAAAUUCCCAAUAACAAUUUCACACUCCUUAAACAAUAAGGCCGAACCAUAUCUUUUGCCUGAUCCUAUGGUGGAGGUAAAGGCUGCAUCUCUAGAGCUUUUAGAUGAACCAGACUUAGAAGACGAAACUCCUUUCUUCACAGAAGAAGAAGCCGAACCUUCUGAGCCUGAACCCUUAGAUGAGUUUGCAGAAACACCUAGACCCCCCAUAGAGCUUAAAACUUUACCACCCGGUCUUACAUAUGCUUUCCUAAACAAUAAUCGAGAGUUCCCUAUAAUCAUUAGCGAUAAACUCACUCAGGAUCAAACUCUGCGAUUAAUGACCAUUAUUGAGAAACAUCACUCAGUGUUCGGCUACUCACUCCAAGAUCUUACAGGAAUCAGUCCUAUGAUUUGUACCCAUCGUAUUCCAACAGAUCCUUCUGUUCCACCCUCUCCAGAACCCCAACGUAGACUUAAUAACACUAUGAGAGAGGUAGUUAAAAAGGAAGUUAUAAAGUUGCUGCAUGCAGGGAUUAUAUAUCCUGUGCCACACAGUGAGUGGGUAAGCCCAGUGCAAGUUGUGCCUAAAAAGGGAGGCAUGACUGUUAUUAUGAAUGAAAAGAAUGAGCUAAUUCCGCAACGCACCGUCACAGGAUGGAGGAUGUGCAUAGACUAUAGAAAACUAAACAAAGCCACGAGAAAGGAUCACUUUCCUUUACCUUUCAUAGAUGAGAUGCUAGAGCGGUUAGCGAACCAUUCGUUCUUCUGUUUCUUAGAUGGAUAUUCAGGGUAUCAUUAGAUCCCAAUCCAUCCCGAUGAUCAAAGCAAAACCACUUUUACAUGCCCAUAUGGAACUUAUGCUUAUCGUAGAAUGUCUUUUGGGUUAUGUAAUGCACCAGCUUCUUUUCAAAGAUGCAUGAUGUCUAUAUUUUCUGAUAUGAUUGAAGAGAUUAUGGAAGUUUUCAUGGAUGAUUUCUCUGUUUAUGGAAAAACUUUUGAUAGUUGUCUUGAAAACUUAGACAAGGUUUUGCAAAGAUGUGAAGAAAAGCACUUAGUCCUUAAUUGGGAAAAAUGUCAUUUUAUGGUUAGGGAAGGAAUAGUGCUGGGACACCUAGUGUCUGAAAGAGGUAUUGAGGUAGACAAAGCUAAAAUUGAAGUAAUUGAACAACUACCUCCACCUGUGAAUAUAAAAGGAAUUCGAAGCUUUCUUGGCCAUGCUGGUUUUUAUCGUAGAUUCAUAAAAGAUUUUUCAUUUAUUGCUAGACCACUUACUCUUUUGCUAGCCAAGGAUGCUCCUUUCGAAUUUGAUGAUGCAUGUCUAACAUCAUUCAAUUUAUUAAAGAAAGCACUCAUCUCUACACCAAUCAUUCAACCCCCUGAUUCGUCGUUGCCUUUUGAAAUUAUGUGUGAUGCUAGUGAUUAUGCUAUGGGGGCAGUAUUGGGACAAACUAAAAAUAAGAAGCAUCAUGCAAUUGCUUAUGCUAGUAAAACUUUGACAGGAGCUCAACUUAACUAUGCAACUACUGAAAAAGAGCUUCUGGCUGUUGUCUUUGCCAAUGAUAAAUUUAGAUCUUAUUUAGUUGGAGCUAAAAUAAUUGUUUACACUGAUCAUGCUGCACUAAAAUAUUUGCUCACUAAAAAAGAUGCUAAACCUCGCCUGAUUAGAUGGAUCUUAUUACUCCAAGAAUUUGACUUAGAAAUAAAAGAUAAAAAGGGAGUAGAAAAUUCUGUUGCUGGUCACUUGUCUAGAAUGUAUUUUAAGAGUCCACAGGAAACCCCCAUCAAUGAUUCACUCCGGGACGACAUGCUCUACGGGAUUAACAGGUCUGACCCCUGGUAUGCAGAUAUUGUUAGUUUUAUGGUUUCAGGGUAUGUACCACCAGGAGCAAACAAGAAGAAGCUUAUUCAAGAAAGUCGUUCACAUAUAUGGGAUGAGCCAUACCUCUUCCGAGUAUGCUCUGAUGGCUUACUUAGGAGAUGUGUGACCACUGAAGAAGGAUGGAAGAUCAUCGACAGAUGUCAUUCAUCACCAUACGGAGGUCACUAUGGAGCAUUCCGUACACAUUCAAAGAUCUGGCAGUGUGGAUUCUACUGGCCUACAAUGUAUGAAGACACGAAGCAAUAUAUCAGAAGAUGUGGGCCAUGUCAAAGACACUGUAACAGAACCGACCAAAUUAUAAGAGAUUAAGCCUAACAGUGACCAUUUGCAUAGUCCAACCAUCGAGCUUAAUCCCAUAUAAUCCCGGUAGUCCGUGAAAUCUCGAAGGAUUUCAAACCACAUAUCGUACAGACAGCCAAGAUCGUAAUAAGUUUAGCGGUCGCCAUCCACAAAUACAUCCAGAUUACAACAUUCAUAAAAUACAUCGGAGUUCUUAAAAUUAUUACAAACCAAGUUCUUCCAGUAGCGGAAGCUUCAUAGUUCGAAAUACAACACACACACUUAGUCUGAUACAGUGCCAUAGUUCGGUCAUUCCCACAAAAGCAGAAGAGAAGAUGGAGUGACCAUCGCCUUUGGUGUAGUCAUCACCCAUGGCUAGGUAUAGACAGAGGAUGCAAUAACCAUAGUACAUUUGACCAUCUACAAAACAACAUGGGAGUAGAACCCUGAGUACGAGAAUGUACUCAGCUAGACUUACCUGUCAUAAACUUAAAAUAAAGACUCUUCAAGGAUCAUGAAGGCUAUAUAGUGGGGUAGCUGACAACCAUUUUGCAUAACCGCAGGAUUUUAUUACCAUAACCUACAUAAAUCUUUCUUCUUGUAAUUUGCUCAAGUUGAAAGUAUCAUUACCUAUUAUCUAGGUUUGCACCUGCACUAUUACAAGCAAGUAUAGUGAUAUGAUAGUACCUCAUCAUAGCAUUCUUAAAACCAUUUAUCAUUAUAACCCAAGUGUUCCAUAGUCCUUACUACGAGGACGAAGCUCAUGUCAAGUGCUCACUAUCUAGGAGCGAUGGCGAUUCGAAUCGAUUUCUAACCAGCUGGCGAGUUUAUUCCCCACACAAACCUCACUCACUGAUCAAGUGAGCUACAGAUCACUGUAUUGCACUAUCCAGGACCAAUUCGCGGGUUCGACAGGCACCGCCCGUACCCGAGGACCGUUCCGGCGAUCGAGGUAUCAAAGGUAUACCAAGGUUGCGCGCCGCGCCCUAGUCGUUCUCCUCAACCAUCACCAAUACAGCGCGUACAUCGGGCCGAUUCCCGGCCCGGAUAGUGCUCAGGCUUCGCAGUCGGAACGACUUAUCCUUCCAGCUAAAUGUGGGGCAUGCGUUCAACAUGACAAGAGGGCCGUCAACGAUCGGUCCUUAAUUGACCCAGUCAGGGGCACUAUGGUCAACCCACCAUAAGACCCUGCCCGGUCUACAAUUCCAUUCACACUUGGUUAUUCUUUUCCCCAAAGCAACCACUGCUUAAUUAGGCAGGUAUCCACCUGUAUCUUGCAGGUGACAGGGAAUCACCCGAAUUCUACCGGACUAAGCAAGCUAAGCAUAGCCUCUGCGCCUAUCUACAUAGGACAAGGUAGAUAAACGAGUAGGGAUAACAAGGAGUACAUAUGCAUCAAUGGUAUCAACAAUUCCUAUCACUUAAAUGCAGUAUAGUAGAACAAGCAUAGCAUAUCAUGUAAGUUAGCGAGAAUAGGGAGACUUAGAAUGCUUCGGGGCUUGCCUUUCUCAAACGUGCUGGGCCGGUGAUCCGGACACUCCUGUAGCUCCUCUCCGGGUUCCGGUGCUUCCGGAGGUUCCUGCUCCUGAAUCUCCUCUGGCCCCUCGGGUCCCACCUCGUUCUCCUGCGAGCCUGUAUGAUGCAUGUGUGCUCAUGAGUGGAGUGCGAGAUGCCCGAGUGGAUGCUUGUAUGAGAAGGUACCAAAUGAUCAUGACAUGAUGCAUAGGUGAUUAACUUGGUCAUGCUCAUUACAAGGUAGUCAACAUCAUCCAAGAACAGACAAUUGAAUUAAACAUCUAUUGCAUUCUCUUCUACCAAUUGUUUUCAAGUGUAACCAGCAACCCACAUGAUGCUUCAAAAAUACACCAAACCCCUUUUUAUUCUAUUUAACCCAUAUAUAACAAUUCAUAAUUUUCUUUAUUUAUUUCUAGGCCCAUCAAAAUUUGCAUGCAGUUCUGUUCAUCCAUAAUUUCCACAAAAAUUACAGGAGACUUCCAGUCAAGCAUAAAGUCUACUAUAAUUUUUUCAUAAUUUUUGGAUACUUAUUUUGAGCUAUAAAAAUCACAAGAUUAUUACAUAAAGGCAAGUACAAUUACUCUACUAUGGUAUAAGUGACAAACAGCAGAUUUCAUAUUUUUACAAUUUGUCUAAUAUCAUAGGAAACAUCCACAAAAAUUUCCAGACUUAUUGCAUGAUCCAAAUUUUUAUUAAAAAUCAUAAACCACUGCCAUGCAAGCAUUUAAAUCACUAUAAAUUCAUUUAUACACCAAAUAAUGUGUAGCAAUAUUUUCCCAGUGAGUUAACAUACAUGCAGAGCCAACAAAUCAAGUUUCACAUUUUUCUGAGCCAUAUUUUAAUUACUAUGCAUUUUCUAAGUUUAGCAAAAGCAUGGAUUAAUUAUUUCUGUCCAGAAAAGGUGUUCAAACAUGACAUGCAAUUACAUCAAACUGUAGAUCUGAAAAUAUAGAGCACACCAAAAUUUAUUUCACCAAAUUUGGAGUUGUAGAACUCAAGAUAUGGAUUUUACAAGUUUUAAAUUGAUUUCUGGAAAACCUUUUCUGAAAAUCAAUUCGAAAAUGGGAUCAAAAACGCUAAAGACACCCAGAUCUACACCCAACGCGGUCCCCCUGCGGCUGACAGUGGGCCUCUGACCCCACUGGUCAGCGAGACCGAGAGGGAGAGCACCUCCGACGAGCAGAUCUCGCCGGCGAUGAGGUUCCCCGCCACGGGGUGAGCACCAUCGUGCUCCCCGCAGCGAGGCGCACCCAGCGUUACCCUCGGGUUGGCCGGAGGAUGGUCGGAGCACCUCCGACGAGCAUGCAUGGCGGCACGGCGGCGCUGCUCGCCGUGGCCAGGCUGCUCCGGUGCGGUAGAACAUGCGCAAGGGCUCCUCCGAGCUUCCCCGUCGCACUACGGAUCUAACGCGCCAAGAAGCAAGCAAAACGGGGCAGAAACGAGCGAGGUUCGACGCGGCGGAGCUCUCCGACGAGGUCGGAGCAACUCCGAUGAGUGAUUCAUGGCGUUCGACGGGCUCUCACCUCGGUAGAGCAUUCGCAGGAGCUUACCGCGACGACGGCGAGUGCGCUGGUGGUUUCGGCGUCGAGAUUGGGGCACUGGAGUGGCCGGCGGUGAGCAGCGGAGCUGCUCCGGCGAUGGCGCUGCGGCGGAGCUCCUACGGCUGCGGUUGCGCUCGCGAGUGGAGGGAGGAGGGAGAGAGGCGCGGGCGACAGAGCGAAUGGAGUGGCCUAGGAGCCCGGGCCGGCGUCCCGACCAGGUGAAGCCGGUCGGCCGCGGCGCGCUCCUCGCCUGCGUACUACCGCCGUGUGGCCGACGCUGGCUGGGACGAGGCGGGCGUCCGCACGCGGGAGAGAGGGAGAGGGGGAGGCAGGCUGGGCCGCUGUCUCGGCCGAAAGGGAGGCGGGGUUGGCCCAGCAGCGCCUGCCCCUUUUCCAUUUUUUUUGAAUUUCUUUUCUCAAAUUAUUUUCUAAAUUCAUUUAGACCAAUUUAAAUUCAUUUUCACCUCUUUCUCCCUAAAAGCAAAGUUAUUCCAAAACAAAAACCCUACAACUUUGUUUUAAUAAGCAAGGCCAAAUUCCAAGUAGAAUUUGAAUUACCAAUUAAAAGUAGUUCUAGGUUUUCAAAUAAAUUCAUUUUGGGGGAUUUUGUAUAAAUUCCAUUUCUCAAAUUCUAUUGCUCCAAAAAUUGCACAAAAAUAUUUUUAAACCUUCUUACACAUAAAUAAACCUAGUUUGAAUAUUCCACAAUUUUAGAAUCAAGCAUCAUAUUUUUAACAUAUUGAAAGCACAUAGAAUAAAACACAUAAAAUCAUAUUUUGGGAUGAAUGACAUGCUCAUGAUGCUAUGCUUGAUGAGAAUGCUUAUGCAUUGCUUUGGUAAGGCUAAGUGCAUGCUUAACACCUAGGGUGUUACAGCCCUUCCCCCCUUAGGGAAAUCUCGUCCCGAGAUUUGGGUUACUAACCAUUUCUUAUGAAAUUUUGGAUAAACUGUUUUUAGAUAAUCCUCAGUUUCCCAGGUGGCAUCCCGAUCGUCAUGAUGACUCCACACCACCUUGUAUGUUCUGACAACUCUGUUUCGGGUUACUCGUUCUUUGGUAUCCACAAUUCCCACUGGCUGCUCUUUAUACUCUAAGUCUGCUUUUAUUUUGAUCCCUCGAGGUUCAAUCCUCUGUUCAGGCACUUUCAAACAUUUCCGUAGUUGCGACACAUGGAAGACCGGAAAGAUCGAACUCAAUUCUUCAGGCAACUGAAUCUUGUAGGCCACGGGGCCUUUCCUCUCCAGUAUUUGAUACAGUCCCACAUAUCUGGGUGCAAGCUUGCUUCGAACUCGGAAAUGUUGAACUUUCUUCAGUGGCGUAACCUUGAGGUACACAUAGUCACCUACUUUGAAUUCAAGUGGCCUUCUCCUCUUAUCAGCAUAACUCUUUUGUCGCGAUUGUGCCGCUUGCUUAUGUUGCUGUAUGAUUUGCACCUUUUUCUCUGCUUCAUUCACGAAGUCGAUACCGUAGUAUCUCCUUUCACCAGGUUCAACCCAAUUUAACGGAGUUCUACACCUUCGACCAUACAAAGCUUCGAACGGAGCCAUCUUGAUACUCUCUUGGUAGUUGUUAUUGUAUGAGAAUUCAGCCAGAGGUAACCAUGACUCCCAUGAUUCCUUGGAUGAUAGCACACAGGCCCUCAGCAUAUCUUCUAACACUUGAUUUAGCCUCUCAGUUUGACCUGAGGUUUGGGGAUGAUACGCGGUGCUUCUUAUUAGACUGGUCCCCAAACUCUUAUGCAUUCGCUCCCAAAAGUGAGCGAUGAACUGUGGUCCUCUAUCUGAUAUGAUGGUCUUGGGAAUACCAUGCAACUUGACAAUCUCGGCCAUAUAUAUAUCGGCAUACUCGGGAGGUCUGUAUGUGUUCUUAACUGGGAUGAAAUGAGCCGACUUGGUUAAUCGAUCUAUGAUUACCCAAAUCGAGUCAUUCCCCUUCCUCGUGGUUGGUAAACCUGUGAUAAAGUCCAUGCUGACCUCUUCCCAUUUCCACUCGGGAACUGAUAACGGUUGCAACAGACCUACAGGUUUCAUAUGGAUGGCCUUAACUCUGCAACACGUGUCACAACGGGCCACAUAUGCGGCUAUUUCUUUCUUCAUCUUGGUCCACCAAAAGUGGGGUCUUAGGUCUUGAUACAUUUUACUACUGCCAGGGUGAAUAGAAACCUUAGAGAUAUGGGCCUCAUCCAUGAUACGAUUCUUCAAUUCCCGAUCCUUCGGGACUACUAACCGAUGUUGAAACCACAGUACCCCUUUUUCAUCAACUCAAAACUGAGUUUUUGGGUCAUCUUUGAUCUUCUCUUUGAUGUGGAAAAUACCCUUGUCUGUUUUCUGACCUUCAAUGACUUGACUCUCGAGCGAACAACUAAGUUGUAUGUGACAUAAGACUUCAGGAUGCAUGAGGUUAAAACCAUCUUCAAACAACGGUUGAACCACCUGAUAGUGCGGUUUACGACUCAAAGCGUCUUCUACUACAUUAGCUUUGCCUGGAUGAUAGUGAACUUCCAGAUCAUAGUCCUUGAUUAGCUCUAACCACCGUCGUUGCCUCAUAUUCAGCUCGGACUGAGUGAAGAUGUACUUCAAGCUCUUAUGAUCGGUAUAGAUAUGACACUUAUUUCCCAGCAAAUAGUGUCUCCAAAUCUUCAAAGCGUGCACUACUGCUGCUAACUCAAGGUCGUGAGUUGGGUAGUUGACUUCGUGCUUUCUCAACUGUCAUGAAGCAUAAGCUAUCACUCUGCCAUCUUGCAUCAACACACACCCCAAGCCACUUUUCGACGCGUCGCAAAACACAUCAAAAGGCUUCUCGAUAUUGGGUUGCGCCAGAAUGGGAGCAGUGGUUAGCAACUUUCGCAAGGUGCGGAAGGCUAGCUCACACCCCUCCGUCCAGACAAACUUAUGAUCCUUUUGUAACAAACUGGUCAUUGGCUUAGCAAUCUUGGAGAAGUCAGGUAUGAAACGACGAUAAUACCCGGCCAGACCAAGAAAACUUCUAACUUCUGAGACAGAAGUUGGUGCCUUCCAGUCCAUGACUUCCUGCACUUUUGACGGAUCCACAACAAUCCCUUCUUUAGAUAGAAUGUGCCCCAGGAAUGGAACUUUCUUCAACCAGAACUCACACUUGCUGAACUUGGCAUAUAACUGAUGCUCUCGUAAUCGUGUUAACACGAUUCUCAGAUGCUCGGCGUGAUCUUGCUCAUUUUCUGAAUAAACCAGAAUAUCAUCGAUAAACACCACAACAAACUUAUCUAAUUCUGGCAUAAAGACUGAAUUCAUCAGAUACAUAAAGUAUGCAGCAUUUGUCAACCCAAAGGACAUGACAAGAUACUCAUACAACCCAUAUCUGGUGGAAAAAGCAGUCUUCGGUUUAUCCUGCGGACGAAUCUUGAUUUGGUGAUACCCAGACCUCAAAUCUAUCUUGGAAAACACUUUUGCCUUGGACAACUGAUCAAACAAGAUAUCAAUCCUUGGCAAAGGAUACUUAUUUUUGAUGGUCACUACAUUUAGCGGACGAUAGUCCACGCACAUGCGCAAAGACUGAUCCUUCUUUUUCACGAACAACGCUGGACAACCCCAUUCUGAUGAACUUGGCCGGAUGAACCCUUUAUCCAGUAACUCCUUUAGUUGAUUCUUCAACUCAGCAAGUUCGUUUGGUGGCAUCCGGUACGGCCUUCUAGAUAUUGCUGUUGUACCUAGUAUCAACUCGAUUGCAAACUCUACUUCCCUAUCCGGAGGAAGUCCUGGCAAUUCCUCGGGAAAAACAUCAUGGAACUCACAUACCACGGGUAUGUGUUCUAGUGGAACCACCUGUACUGCACACGAAAGACUGGCGAAGUCUAACCGUCGGGGUAGCUUGACCUGAAGCACACCCUUCCCUUGCGGGUCUCUGAGGGAAAGAGUUCUAUUCCCGGCAUCUAUAACCGCGCCCCAGUCAGUCAUCUUUUUCAUUCCAAUGAUGACAUCCAAAACCAGCCCUAGCAUGACCACAAGGUUUACGCGAAACCUCCGGCCACUGAUAUCCAAGGUAACUCCUGUUACUGUUUUAUUAGUCAACACAUCAGCUCCGGCUGAGCUGAUGUGAUAGCCAUAACCCAACUCAGUAACUGGCUGGUCAUGCUUUUGUGCAAAUGCUUGGCUCAUGAAUGAAUGCGAUGAUCCAGAAUCAAACAAAACAACUGCAAGAUGUUGGUUGACAGGAAACAUACCAGCUGUUACUGGUUCUCCUUCCGGGAUCUCCUCGAUUGAGGUAUGGUGCACACGAGCUGGAUAGGUUGGCUGCUGCCUCUUGGGGUAGGUACAUUCCUUAGCAAAGUGCCCCAUCUUGUGGCAGUUAUAGCAUGGACCCUUGGGCGCAUUGUUGGCGGCAGGUGCCGCAGCUUGAAUUGCCUUUGGCUUGGCAGGAGCUAUUGCCACCUUGUACGGCUUCUACUGCGUUGGAUGCCCGGUGUUCCUUCUCUGUGGCGGUCGGAACCUAGCACCUGGGGCAGGAGGACGAUACUGUUGUCGCCCCGCCACUGGUGCCAUAGGCUGGGAUGAUCCGGCUUCAAAAGCCCUCUUACGUGACUUGGAUGCACUGUAGUUGUUGUUAUUGUUCUCCUGGGUCAGGCAGUCAUUGAUAUAGGCAUUGAAGGUAGCCCUAGCUCCUGUACCCAUGGUCUUUAGCAUCUUUGGAUUCAAUCCUCUCUAGAAACUAGCAAUCUUCUUGGCCUCCGUGUUCACAAACUCAGGGGCGUAGCGAGCGAGAUUGUUGAAAGCAUGUAGAUACUCCUUCACAGAUUUCGUCCCCUGGGACAGCCACAUGAAUUCCCCAACCUUCAUUUCAACCACACCCGGAGGAAUGUAAUUUCCCCAGAAAGCGGUGGUGAAGCGGUUCCAGGUGAUUGGGGUCACCUCUGGGUAGGUAGUACGAUGAUGGGACCACCAAAUUCCAACGGGUCCUUGCAACUGAUGUGCCGCAUACUCAGCCUUGAGUUCUUCUGUCAUCUGAAGAAGACGAAACUUCUUCUCCAUAGUGUUAAUCCACUCAUCAGCUUCAAGCGGUUCCAAAGCCUCCUUGAAGACUGGUGGCUUGGUAUCCAUGAAGUCCUUGAAAGAGCUGUACUGAUUGACUUCACCGCCGCCCUGGUUAUCCCCACGACGGGUGUUGUCAGCUAUGUUACGCAGAGCCUCUUCCAUGUUGCGCUGCAUCUGUUCCAUGUUGCGUUGGCUCCCCAAAAACUGCGCGAAAAACACGUCCGCAGUGUACGGAGGGGGCGGUGGUGGUGGUGUUGGUGCUCUGUCCUCAUCCCGUUGAGCCCCACCUCUGGACGUACCUGCUCCAAGACCCGGUUUGCUGUUACCCCCGCCACGUGUUUGCACCAUCUACAUACGUCAAUGAUAAGCAAUCGUUAGGAGUUGCCAUCAGCGGUAGAAAUGUGUAGAAUCAUGCCGUACUGAAUUUACUGAGGGAAUAAAUUCGCACAAUAAACAGAGGCACAACAAUUCAUCAUCUACGCACAACAUCACUAAUAGAUUACUUAACAUUCAAGCAAUAAGGUUCACGUACAUCCAAAUUUGCCAGCAUACAUACACUGGACUUUCAGUGUCAUCUCAUAAGUCUUACAUAGCCCAGAUCCAAAAGUACAAGACAUGCCAUGCAACAUACAACACAAAAGAAAAAGGACUAGCUCUAGAGCCCUAGCAUCUACUCGCUAUGGUCACUGUCCAUGCCGGAGCCAUCCUCGUCCUCAUCUCCACUAGCAGCUGCUCCUAUCUCGGGAUCCUCAUCCAUCUCGUCCUCAGAGUCUAGCUCAGCUGCUCCAGGCAGGUGGUGAGGGUGGAGCUAGUUAUGCAGCUGGUGGAUCUCCUCAUGCAAGUUCUCAUUGUACUCCUCAGCAUUAGCUAGCUGCUGCUCUAGCUCCAGCUGUCGGGCCCUCAGAGUGUCCUCCUCGUGCCAGGCUUCAUUCCUCUGACCAAGCACAUGGACUAGCAUGCGCUCGCAGUUCCUGUGAGCAGUAGUCACCCCAUCUCUCUGCUCUUGCACUGCAAGCAGGUCCUGGCUCAGCUCACUAUUCUGCUGGACUGCCUGGUCUCUCUCGGGUCACGUGGGCCAACUCCGCCUGUAGCCUCUCAACCUCAGAGUCGAACUCAGGCUACAACUGGCGCUUCUCAUCCUGGACGGUGAGAAGAGACCCGGACAAGCGACCCAAACAACGCUCUAGGGCUCCAUAGGUCUUCAUCAAAGCGUACAUGGCACUCAUAGCUGCGCUGUCACUGUGCUGGUCCUCAUCCGCACUCCUCUCUAGAGCGUUCACCUCGGACUGAUCCCACACCGAAGUGUAGGGGUCACCCCGGGGAAACACUCCAGCGAAGGCGUGGGCCAGCUCCUGUGGAAACCUCUCCAUGAGGUCCCUCAGAACUGCGAAAGCUGCCCUGCUGGCACCGUGGAAAGGCAUGGCACCUCGGGACUCAUACACCUAGCCGCCCCAGGCGGGGUCACCUCCACUAGUAGGAACAGUUGCCUCGAUCCCCACCAGGGUCUCGUCACCAAGCGGCUCCUUAUCCCAAUAGUAGCGAGGCUCCCUUCCUUCACGAUACCCCAUCGAGCUGAGCACUCUCCAAAGCAAAGUGGGCAUCCCAAACUCCUCCAGGAACUUGCUCUUAUGUCGCGAGCUCCUAGCUGCCAACAGAUGGCGAGGGGCCCGCCCACCAGUGGACUUGCGAGCGGUGAGCCUAGUGCGCGCCAUCUGCUGCAAAUGGAAUACCUUGGGUAAGAGCGAGGAUUAUCUUUAAUUAUUUUAUUUAGAAUUGGGACAGAUUAAAUUAAGGGGGAAAGUGAGCAAUGAUAUGAAAUGAACAUGAUGCAUGCACGAAGUUACGAUCCCACAAACUUAAGGAACACAAGUUAGCACUAAGCGAUAUAUGCGGUGGCACACAGCGUUCUCUCAUAACGUAACUAGCGCUCUAAGCGAGAACGUGGUUAGCAUACCUGUAGAAAACUCAUUUCAGCCCACCCACAGUAUGCUCAUGCAGAACAAGAAUUUUAAAACUAUACACCCCACAUACACAGACACCCGUCCAUGCAUAUGAUGUGUCACUACCCACAUCAUCGCCCUAAUGACGGCAUCGCCUCUCAGGACGUUAUUCCCAACAUGCGGUACUGUUCCCAAAACACACCAAAACAUGUGUGCAUGACACAGCACCUAACAACACUCCCCUAGACCGGCAGUGUAUCCGAUCAUGCUCUCACAGCUCCCACUUACCGCGGCGUAGAGGAAAAAUGGAUCCAUACAUUACCACUCAAAUGAAUGGUACUCAUACCAUUGCACGCCGUAUGAGCGACGAAAUAGAAAUAUGAUGCAUUAACCCCCAAGUCAGUACUUAACUAGCCACCUUAGAGUCCUUAACUGGGCAUAAAGGAUAUGACCAUGGCACACUAGAUAGUUUUCCAAAACUUAGUUUAACACCUUGAUCAUUAUUAAUUAAUAAAAUCUUUUAUUAAACCGGUUUAGAUUUAGUUUAGAACGUACUUAUGAACAGUAACUCGCUAAACCUUGCUCCGAUGCCAUCUGUAACAGAACCGACCAAAUUAUAAGAGAUUAAGCCUAACAGUGACCAUUUGCAUAGUCCAACCAUCGAGCUUAAGCCCAUAUAAACCCGGUAGUCUGUGAAACUCGAAGGAUUUCAAACCCAAUAUCGUAGAGACAGCCAAGAUCGUAAUAAGUUUAGCGGUCGCCAUCCACAGAUACAUCCAGAUUACAACAUUCAUAAAAUACAUCGGAGUUCUUAAAAUUAUUACAAACCAAGUUCUUCAAGUAGCGGAAGCUUCAUAGUUCGAAAUACAACACACACACUUAGUCUGAUACAGUACCAUAGUUCGUUCAUUCCCACAAAAGCAGAAGAGAAGAUGGAGUGACCAUCGCCCUUGGUCUAGUCAUCACCCAUGGCUGGGUACAGACAGAGGAUGCAAUAACCAUAGUACAUUUGACCAUCUGCAAAACAACAUGGGAGUAGAACCCUAAGUACGAGAAUGUACUCAGCUAGACUUACCCGUCAUAAACUUAAAAUAAAGACUCUUCAAGGAUCAUGAAGGCUAUAUAGUGGGGUAGCUGACAACCAUUUUGCAUAACCGCAGGAUUUUAUUACCAUAACCUACAUAAAUCUUUGUUCUUGUAAUUUGCUCAAGUUGAAAGUAUCAUUACCUAUUAUCUAGGUUUGCACCUGCAAUAUUAUAAGCAAGUAUAGUGAUAUGAUAGUACCUCAUCAUAGCAUUCUUAAAACCAUUUAUCAUUAUAACCCAAGUGUUCCAUAGUCCUUACUACGAGGACGAAGCUCAUGUCAAGUGCUCACUAUCCAGGAGCGAUGGCGAUUCGAAUCGAUUUCUAACCAGUUGGCGAGUUUAUUCCCCACACAAACCACACUCACUGAUCAAGUGAGCUACAGAUCACCGUAUUGCACUAUCCAGGACCAAUUCGCGGGUUCGACAGGCACCGCCCGUACCCGAGGACCGUUCCGGCGACCGAGGUAUCCAAGGUAUACCAAGGUUGCGCGUCGCGCCCUCGUCGUUCUCCUCAACCAUCACCAAUACAGAGCGUACAUCGGGCCGAUUCCGGCCCGGAUAGUGCUCAGGCUUCGCGGUCGGAACGACUUAUCCUUUCAGCUAAAUGUGGGGCAUGCGUUCAACAUGACAAGAGGGCCGUCAACGAUCGGUCCUUAAUCGACAUAGGCAGGGGCACUAUGGUCAACCCACCAUAAGACCCUGCCAGGUCUCCAAUUCCAUUCCGUACUUGGUUAUUCUUUUCCCCAAAGCAACCACUGCUUAAUCAGGCAGGUAUCCACCUAUAUCUCGCAGGUGACAGUGAAUCACCCUUCUACCAGACUAAGAAAGCUAAGCAUAGACUCCACGCCUAUCUACAUAGGACAAGGUAGAUAAACGAGUAGGGAUAACAAGGAGUACAUACGCAUCAAUGGUAUCAAGCUAUUCCUAUCACUUAAAUGCAAUAUAGUAGAACAAGCAUAUUAUAUCAUGUAAGUUAGCGAGAAUAGGGAGACUUAGAAUGCUCCGGGGCUUGCCUUUCUCAAACGUGCUGGGCCGGUGAUCCGGACACUCCUGUAGCUCCUCUCCGGGUUCCGGUGCUUCCGGAGGUUCCUGCUCCUGAAUCUCCUCUGGCCCCUCGGGUCCCACCUCGUUCUCCUACGAGCCUGUAUGAUGCAUGUGUGCUCAUGAGUGGAGUGCGAGAUGCCCGAGUGGAUGCUUCUAUGAGAAGGUACCAAAUGAUUAUGACAUGAUGCAUAGGUGAUUCACUUGGUCAUGCUCAUUACAAGGUAGUCAACAUCAUCCAAGAACAGACAAUUGAAUUAAAUAUCUAUUGCAUUCUCUUCUACCAAUUGUUUUCAAGUGUAACCAGCAACCCACAUGAUGCUUCAAAAAUACACCAAACCCCUUUUUAUUCUAUUUAACCCAUAUAUAACAAUUCAUAAUUUCCUUUAUUCAUUUCUAAGCCCAUCAAAAUUUGCAUGCAAUUCUGUUCAUCUAUAAUUUCCACAAAAAUUACAGGAGACUUCCAGUCAAGCAUAAAGUCUACUAUAAAUUUUUCAUAAUUUUUGGAUUCUCAUUUUGAGCUACAAAAGUCACAAGAUUAUUACAUAAAGGCAAGUACAAUUACUCUACUGUGGUAUAAGUGUCAAACAACAGAUUUCAUAUUUUUACAAUUGGUCUAAUAUUAUAGGAAAUAUCCACAAAAAUUUCUAUACUGAUUGCAUGAUCCAAAUCUUUAUUAAAAAUCAUAAACCACUGCCAUGCAAGCAUUUAAAUCAUUAUAAUUCUUAUAUACACCAAAUAAUUUGUACCAAUAUUUUCCCAGUGAGUUAACAUACAUGCAGAGCCAACAAAUCAAGUUUCACAUUUUUCUGAGCCAUAUUUUAAUUACUAUGCAUUUUCUAAGUUUAGCAAAAGCAUGGAUUAAUUAUUUCUGUCCAGAAAAAUGUUCAAACAUGACAUACAAUUACAUCAAACUGUAGAUCUGAAAAAUAUAGAGCACACCAAAAUUUAUUUCAUCAAAUUUGGAGCUGUAGAACUCAAGAUAUGGAUUUUACAAGUUUUAAAUCGAUUUCUAGAAAACCUUUUCUGAAAAUCAAUUCGAAAACAGGAUCAAAAACGCUAAAGACACCUAGUUCUACACCCAACGCGGUCCCCCUGUGACUGACAGUGGGCCUCUGACCCCACUGGUCAGCGAGACUGAGAGGGAGAGCACCUCCGACGAGCAGAUCUCGCCGGCUGUGAGGUUCCCGGCCACGGAGUGAGCACCAUCAUGCUCCCCGUAGCGAGGCGCACCCAGCGGUACCCUCGGGUUGGCCGGAGGAUGGCCGGAGCACCUCCGACGAGCAUGCAUGGCAGCACGGCGGCACUGCUCGCCGUGGCCAGGCUGCUCCGGUGCGGUAGAACAUGCGCAAGGGCUCCUCCGAGCUUCCCCGUCGCACUACGGAUCUAACGCGCCAAGAAGCAAGCGAAACGGGACAGAAACGAGCGAGGUUCGACGCGGCGGAGCUCUCCGGCGAGGUCGGAGCAACUCCGACGAGCGAUUCACGGCGUUCGACGGGCUCUCACCUCAGUAGAGCGUUCGCAGGAGCUUACCGCGACGACGGCGAGUGCGCUAGUGGUUUCGGCAUCGAGAUUGGGGCACUGGAGUGGCCGGCGGUGAGCAGCGGAGCUGCUCCGGCGAUGGCGCUGCGGCGGGGCUCCUACGGCUGCGGUUGCGCUCGCGAGUGGAGGGAGGAGGGAGAGAGGCGCGGGCGACACAGCGAAUGGAGUGGCCUGGGAGCCCGGGCCGGCGUCUCGACCAGGUGAAGCCGGUCGGCCGCGGCGCGCUCCUCGCCGGCGUACGGCCGCCACGUGGCCGACGCUGGCUGGGACGAGGCGGGCGUCCGCGCGCGGGACAGAGGGGGAGGGGGAGGCAGGCCGGGCCGCUGUCUGGGCCGAAAGGGAGGCGGGGUUGGCUCAGCAGCGCCUGCCCCUUUUGCAUUUUUUUUUGAAUUUCUUUUCUCAAAUUCUUUUCUAAAUUCAUUUGGACCAAUUUAAAAUCAUUUUCACCUCUUUCUCCCUAAAGCAAAGUUGUUCCAAAACAAAAACCCUACAACUUUGUUUUAAUAAGCAAUGCCAAAUUCCAAGUAGAAUUUGAAUUACCAAUUAAAACUAGUUCUAUGUUUUCAAAUAAAUUCAUUUUGGGGAUUUUGUAUAAAUUCCAUUCCUCAAAUUCUAUUGCUCCAAAAAUUGCACAAAAAUAUUUUUAAACCUUCUUACACAUAAAUCAACCUAGUUUGAAUAUUCCACAAUUUUAGAAGCAAGCAUCAUAUUUUUAACAUGUUUAAAGCACAUGUAAUAAAACACAUAAAAUCAUAUUUUGGGAUGAAUGGCAUGCUCAUGAUGCUAUGCUUGAUGAGAAUGCUUAUGCAUUGCUUUGGUAAGGCUAAGUGCAUGCUUAACACCUAGGGUGUUACAGACAUGGAAACAUAAAUACAAGGGAUGCAAUGCCACUCACCAACAACCUUCAGAUUGAGCUCUUUGAUGUCUGGGGAAUAGACUACAUGGGUCCAUUUCCUCCAUCAAAGAAGUGUGAGUACAUCUUGGUGGCAGUAGACUAUGUCUCCCAGUGGGUAGAGGCAUUACCUUGCAAGCAUGCCGACAACGUCAGUUCAAAGAGGAUGUUUGAAGAAAUUAUAUUUCCAAGAUUUGGAGUCCCCAGAGUAGUGAUAAGUGAUGGAGGAGCACACUUCAUCGACAAACGCUUCAAGCAAUAUCUAUCAAAACAUGGAAUCCAUCACAACGUCGCUACCCCCUAUCAUCCUCAAACAAGUGGCCAAGCAGAGACUUCCAACAAAUAAAUCAAGAAUAUUCUUCAGAAGACAGUAAGUGAAAUGGGAACAGCGUGGAAAGACAAGUUACCCAAUGCACUCUGGGCAUACCGGACAGCAUACAAGACCCCAAUUGGAAUGUCCCCAUACCAAUUGGUGUACGGGAAGACUUGCCAUCUACCUGUUGAACUAGAGUUCAAAGCACAUUGGGCCAUAAAGAGAUGUAAUAUGGACCUAGAUGUUGCUGGAGAUUAUAGAAGAAUGCAACUAUCAGAAUUGGAAAAAUGGCGAGAGAAAGCAUAUCACAAUUCAAAGAUCUACAAAGAAAGAGUCAAAAGGUGGCAUGACAAGAGAAUCAAGAAGGAGUUCACACCCGGAGAUAAGGUAUUACUUUUUAAUUCUAGGGUGAAGCUUUUCGGGCAUGAAAAACUCCGGAGCAAAUGGGAAGGACCAUUCAAGGUAAUUAAUUCGUCAUCCCACGGAGCUAUCAUACUUCAAAAUGACGAAGGUACGUUAUUCAAGGUAAAUGGUCAACGUCUUAAAUUAUUUUUAGAGCCCAAUAAAGAAUUAGAAGAAAUAGACGUAGUCCAUUUUUACCUUCCCAUGGAGAACUAGAGCCCGACCUUUUUAGUCUGAUGUUUAUGGGUCAUAUAUAUAUAUUUCUAAAUAAUUUCGCAUCUAGAAACACGCUGGGGAAAGUGGGCCCACAGAGGGGCCACAGAGAGGGCGGGCGCCUAGAUCAGGUGGGCGGGCGCCCAGCUCCUGUUCCCCCUCGGUCCCGAUUUUCUCUGUUAUGGAAAAUGCACUUAUGGUAAUUCGAAUAAUCCCUCGGAUGGAAAGUUUCGCACACACAUCGACGGAAGCAACCCGAACAACCCAUAGAGGCACUUUUUGACCCCUAUAUAAACAGACCCCUGACCUCAGUUUUCAAACACCAAGCCACCAAGCCUUCUCUCCUUCAAUUUGAGCUUGAUUAGUUCCUUGCUGCUCCAAUGUCCGAGAAGUACCACGAUGAUUGGGAAGUCGUCCCCUUCAACCACAACAUGGAGCCUGUGGAAGACCCCGAUGCCCGUGCUCUCGUCCCGGCCAACACAGUGCGACAGCUAGAAGCCAUGCCAUUACGCCAACGCAGCUCCGCCCAAUCCUAUCAUGCUCAACCAGUUCUCACCGCAGCGGCACAACCCUCUCCUCAAGGGAUCAUCAUCCAAGAUGAAGACCACCAUCAAGGUGCCAACCGGCAUGAGGAUCCUUCCACCUAGACCCAAUGAGAGGGUCGUUGGAGUCAAGACCAACCGGAGCGGCGAGAUCAGCAGUAUUCGCUACACUACGGAGGAGGAAAGGCCUUACUUUGAAGGGAUUAGAGCAGCCAAAGUCCGUUUCAUCCCUCCAAAGGCAGCCCCGAAGCACGCUCUCAAUGCUUUUGAGACACCUCCCAAGCGUCGCAAGACUAUAAUGGAUAUUGAUGAGGACGUUCGCAGACUAGACAGAAUUAUCAUAGACCUCCAGUCCUCGAUUAAUUCCCUCACUAGGCAGCUCCCUAACCACAACACCAUUAUACUAGGCCUUAGGUAGGAUCUUGCCAGUGCCAACAAGAAGAUUAGGGAAUUAGAGCGCCGCUAAGUUAUUUAGAUUAGACCUUGAGGCAAUGCAUCUUAGUUAUCUAUCUUUAAAUUCGUUUUAGGUUUACUAUUAUCAUCAGUUUGAUAUCAGUUUGCUACUAGUAUUUUUUUAAUAAAUGCCUCAAGAUUAAUAAAGAGUAUUAUUAUUAUUAUUAUUAUUAUGUCUUGUGUGUCUCUACUUUAUUUUUGUGCAAGAAAGCAGAAAACAAGUAUGGGGGAGAUCCCUCAACAUGCCAAACACACUCCGACUACACCACUCCAUGAUUCAGGUACACACUCUGUGUUGACACUUGCUAACACCACUUGAAUACUAGGUUGUCAUCCCCAGCAUGGCACUAGAGUGUACUAUGGUAUUUAUACGAACACAGAUAAUCCGCAAGCGCACGGAUACCGUUGAAGCUUUUACCCGGUUAAAGGUUUUAUCGUAUCCACAGGGAAACGGGAGAACUGAUCUACGCUCUAACUUAACCAAGAUAAGUAAAUAGGUGUGAAUAGGAAAGAUGGUAGAAUCGAAUAAGAACAAUAUUAAAGGUAAGAUAACAGUGAGUGAUAAUAUGGGAAUAGAGAGUAGAGCAAUUCUAGUAUAUGGGCGAUGGUAGCAGAAUAGAGAGGAUAACUAUGGUUUCUCUACUUCAAAGGGGUAUGUCUAUGUCUGGGACGAACCACGUGAUAAGAGUACACCACAAAGGAUGCUUAUCCAUAGGCCGAUAAACCCUACCCGUCCUGCUAACGAGAGGUGGACUACAGGGGACCAACGUAACUGUCACCUACGCGGCCUACCACAUGAUCCAGCUAGUCAGGGGAUAUCCACAAGUAAUCUAGGUCUAAGCACCACGCUUACACCUAUACUACAACACUAACCUAUAGGGUCCUAUAGAUUAGAAGUACUCAAAAGAGUUGUGAACCAGAACAUACAUGAUUAGUAAUUGCAUAAUGAAUUAGAAGUAGAUUACCAAAGUCAUCCCAUGAGCAAGCUUGAUUAGAGCUUGAUCAUGGCGAAGUACAACCGGAGGAAGAACCGACAGGCCGGCCUCUCCUCUAAUCCUCCUUCACUCUCCAUCUCGCUACUAUCUAGAUUUACUCUAGUUUAGAGAAGAGAGGAGAGCUCUCAUCUCUAAACCCUAGCUUUUGCUCUGUCUAUGAAUAAUGAAUAAUGAUCAAGGGGUGCCUCCUCCAGGGGCCAGGGGGUCUGGUUUUAUAGUCCCCUCAAGUGAACCUGGGCCGUCGGAUCAAACUGACAUUGAUUGAAUGGUUAUUCUUGAUCAUUUAGGUCGGUGGAGCAUAAUCCGCGAGAUUGAGCGUGAUUGGCCGAAAAAGGUGGGUGGGCGCCCUAAGGACUUGGGCGGGCACCCUGUCCCUGACUCCGUUCGGUCUCCGCUUCCUUCCCGUGGCUUCUGGAGUCUUCUAGAUGUAAGAUAAUUGCGUGACACGUUGAUAUCUCUAUGUAAUUCCGACGUGUGGGCCUUUCUUCCUUAUUUCCUGAUAACCCCCUGCAGAAAUAGACAAACACCAAAACUCGUGGAAUUCUGUCAGAUAAAACCCUAAGUCUCGAUGUUGAUUUCAUUUGGAUUCUUUUAUUUGUUUAUUUGAUAGUUAAAUUUGAUACUUAAGGACCGUCAACAAACUCCCCCAAGCUUACCUCUUGCUCGUCCCUGAGCAAGGAUAGACUCAGCUAUGGAUCAUAAGUUGUUGCACUAUCUUUAAAAAUUGACGGUACACAUGCUUUUAAAUGAGGUCUUAUCUCUGAGUUAGAGUAAACUGUCAAGACUUAAAACUUACUUACUUUACCUUUCACCAUGGGACUUGUAACCGUCACUUCUGUCUUGAGUGGUUAAAAGAUAGAACAGUCCAGUCAAGUGCCAUGUCGCUUAUUCUUGAUCAGCUAUAGCUCUGGAGUUUUUGUAGAUUUUCAAAUAAAACUCAGAGAUUCCUUUGUAUGACUUUCUCGUAUCUCUCUUUUGUGGUAUUUCUGGAUCCGUACCAAGGCAGUGAUGGUAUAUGCCUUCUCUCAAAAUAUGUGGUAUUUGUGGUAUAAGGGAUAGUGACAUUGUCUUCUCUCUCACCCUACUCUAAUAAGGCUUUAAUAUCUGGAGCUCAUAGGUUUGAGAUAAAAUAUACAUACAUACAAGACAUUUAUUGUAUAGUCAAACCAUGGAUCCAAAGAAACAAAUCAAUAAGCCAAAUCAAGAUGUGCAUGUGUGGCGAAUGAAUAGUGUAUGGUGAUGAUGGUGAUGAUGAUGAUAACAAUGGUGAAAGUCUAAUUCUACUUUUGCUCUUUUGAGGGGAUAUAUACCUUCCUUGCUUUUUGAAACUUUAUGAGGAGAAUGAGAUGCUCUUCUUUUUCUUUUCUCUCAGAUGGGUAUCCUGUACCCCUAAUUCUAAUGUCGGACACUUGUCCAUUUUUACCUCUCGUCUCACUCUUUUUCUUUUCUUUCGUGGUAGUAGCAAGAUAACUUGAGCAUUUAUUUCACAAGGGAAAAACACAGAUGUUUUUGGCUAUUCUCUUCCGAAUUAGGAGUAGAAUAUUUUUAGGUGAUUUUAGAGAUGGAAAUGGAUGGAUAUAUGUGGAUGGUACUUCCGGAGUAGAAGUAGCAUAUAUAUGAGUGAACGUGCAAGUGAAUCUUGAUUUAACCACAUGACAAGCUCCUAAGGGUCUACACAGCUUGACCACACUCAAUGCUCAUAAGCAGUAAAUAAUAAAUGUGUGGCUCAAAGUCUAGCAAGCAUGUAUAUAUGGCUAUGGUAGGAAUUUAAACUUUCAUCAUACAGGAACUCAUCAUGCAACAUUUUAAAGAUUUUUCAAAGAUAAAAUUCUCCAGAAUUCUAGCAUCUCUAGGAAUAGAUAAACAGCAGCUCAACCUUCCCAUAUCAUAUCCGUUAACAACUUAGAUUUCAGAUCAAGUUUUCAUCCCACAAGUUUAGAUCUAGAGCAAGCUUUAAAUUAUAACAGUUAUGUCUAAACUUGAGAGAGAACUUCAAAUUUGCAAAUUAGGCAGAACAACUAUUCCUCAUAUCCAUGCUAGAGUUUUAUUAUUAAGAUUCAGAUUAGCAUAGCCACUUUAUUUAUUUAUUAAACACACUAAGCAAAAGAUAUAUAUAUAAGCACAAAAUAUUUAUUUGGUUUUUCAUAGUUUAUGUAUUUUAAUAUUCUAAUAUAAUAUAAGUAUAAAGGUAGGUAGAAAUACUUAGCGAGAUAAAUGGGGGUGCUCUCCCCCAAGCUGAAUUUUGACGUAAUUUCUCUUGAUGUAGCUAGCAGGUGGCAGAGGUGUAUUUGAAAGUCAGCAGCAUUCUGACAGCGAUUAGAAUGUCCUCCGUCUGCUAGUCUUCUUGAUUCUUAAAUUGUGUGGAGCUCAAAUAGACAACAAAGCUUGUGGAACUAAUUAAGUGUUAGCAUAAAUAUCUAGCCUUCAUCACGUUGAGCUUCCUCAAUAAAUAUUACUCCCUGUUUUUAUAUUUUUAUUUUAUAAAGUAGAAAAGAAAUAUUUAUUUUGUUUUUAUGCCACCACAGUGAAGGUACUUAUGGGUUUUAUGCCACUCGUAUACUCACAUGGGGCUUAGUAUUUUUUAACAUUUUUAUUUUCUUUUCAAGAUAGCAUGAUUAACUAAUAAUCUAUUUAAGGAAAGUAAAUAAUUAAAUGGGAAAGGGAAUGCAGAAAGGAUAAAUAUGGAUAACUACCAAUCUUACCUUUCGGCGAGGGUUCAAUGUUUUAAGUCUUCUUGUCAAGACUUCUCAUCGUGUUCAUUGUUCAGGUGCGUCAUUUGAUUCAGGUGCGGACCUUGACGUCUGCACCUUUUAAUACGGUGUCAACCAUGUUCUUCGUUUGCCCAGCAGUUCGAAGUGCGGUGUUAGCAGUAUCUUGCUCAGUGUGUUUGUGCUCGUAGUGUACCUGCUCAUAGAGACAAGGCAGAGAUCAAGUGCAUGGGCCCUGUUGGUGGAAAACACCAACAAAACUAAAAGUGUAUUUGUUCUUCUCUAACCUUAAGCAUAGUGAGCAAGACAAGUUGAUGGAUGAUAAGUUCAUGAGUGUAGCACUUAUAACAUUUGUCAGAUCAGAUCGCUCAACCUUAUGGAAAGAUAAUUUAUCUAUGUAUAUGUCUUUUUCUUUAUAUCUCUCAAUGAUUGAAUGUGUAACAUUUUAGCUCAUAUGAUUAGGAGUGUGGGAUCAUGGAGGUAGUACUAAGAACAUGGAUUAAAGGACUAAACAUGUUGAAUCAGUUGGGUUGGUUAAUCUAGAGUUGUAAAUCAUACACGUUUGUCUCUUUUAUUUAUAUGAACGCCAGAACCAAGGAGAAGCUUAUAAAAGUGAUAGUCAAGUAUCUUAAGAUGUUACCUUGCUCGAAGAGUGAUGGUACAGUAUCAUCUUGUGGAAGCUUUCCUUUCUUAGCGGUUGUGCGUCGUGUUUGUGGCACCCUCCAUGGAUCAUCUCUCUAUGAUGAAUGAGCUAUGUCCUUCUUGUGCAAAUUGUUAAACUUCAUGUGUCACACUCUCUUCGUAUCUUAUGUGAGUUUAUCUCAGGACUUCCCAAAUCGAUAUUGAAAGAUUUUCUGCAGGGGUUAGUCCGACAAAAUAUACCAAUAUCUACUCAAGCAGUUUUUUAGUUCAAUAACCAAACUAGACUCCAUGACUAAUCAGAUUAAGGAAGGCUAUUUAACCUAAGCACCAUGCUUAAUUUAAAUGCCAAUGGAAGUAUGGCGAGUACUUCCAAACCAACACUUGCUAGUAAAUAGACAAAGGUAGCAUGACAGCGUUUAUAGAGAUCUACUCAAGUGGAGAUGAAGUAGUGUGAUUAGUAUUUAACAAAUUGAGCAUGUGUCAAAGGUAGGGACAACCAGCAUAGCAACAUGGCAAAGGAUGUUUUUAUGUAAAGUACUCCCCCAAGCUUGAAUUUUGCAAAAUUCAAGUUUGGAUGAAUUUAAUUCAAUGUUGUAUGAUGAUUGGUUGGACAUACCUUGUACUUGUCAUUCAUCCGAUCUUCUUGCUCCAAUCUUAGAAAGGUUAGUGACAAGAAUACGCGAAGGAAUAUUUUUUUUACAAUUAUCCUUAUAUGCUCAAUACACAAGGUAAUGUUGCAAAUAAUUAAAGGCUCAUGUUACGAUCUGAUCAAUGCUUAUUUUAAGACACUAAGCUUGUCCUUGGGAAACCAUCAGUUUAUGUUGGCGAAGUGGUUUCCCCUCCGACACCAACCUAUAUCUAGAUCAACUCAACGAGAUCUGCAAUAUUUAUUAUAGACAUAUGCAUCGACAACCGCCCUUUUAAAGUUUUUAUAAAUAGAAAGGAAGAGGGGGUUGGAGAUCUCAAGUGUGGUGAUGUCGGAGAGACCAAUAGAUUGGGAAGAUGUUGCAUAUGAGCAUGGAGUAAACGAAGUGGCUAUGAAAUAAAUUCCAUGCUCAUUAAUGUUAUCUUCGUCUCUAAUCUGAAUGUUCGGAGUUUCUCCUGGAUUGGUCUCACCUAUGUCCUCUUCUGUAGUUGGAUGAAUCUCAUCUUCAAAGGGAGUCAAGAACUCACCAUUUGAAAUUAAGCCAAAGUCAGAACCCAUUAAGGCUUCUUCCUUAUCCAUCCAUUCUACACAUUCUAGCCAUUUAGAACUUGUGAUCAAAAUAGGGGAGGUGUUAGAAUUUUCUAUAUGGCUUAGCUCUCCUUCUAUGGCAUUACUUGACAUGCCAUCCUUAUGGUCUUCAUGACUCCUAUGGUUUGGUCGUCUUGGUGAAUUGCUAGGAUCAUCAUGAGACUGAAAAGAAGAGGGAUAAGAGGGAUCUCUAAGGUCAAGGAUGGAUUUAGAACUUGUGAACAUGGAAGGGGAGUAGAUAGAAUUGUCUAUAUGGCUUAGCUCUCCUUCACUUGAUAUGUCAUCCUCGACUUCUUCAUGAUAGGAACCAGGACAUUCUCUAAGAGAAACAUUAUUGCAAUGAUUUGAAUUAUCCCUGCUUAAAGGUCUCUUAUAGAACCAGAAGUCUAAACCAUCAGCAUCUAAAAGAUUUAAGGUUGGAAUUCCUUCCUCCCUUGGAGAAUUUUGGGGUAUUGAUGGUUUAGGAUCGAUAGCUAAAGUUUGGGAUUGAAGUGGUUGCGAUCUGGCUAUUGAAACUUCUUCUUCUUGUCUAGGAACUGGUUCUUUCUCUUUCUCAGGGAUAUAAAAGCUAGGAGACUUUCCGCUCAUUAAAUCAAUCAAAUUCCAAGCUUCACUAGCGGAUAGGUGGUGGAAAGAUCCUCCAAAGGCCGCAUGAAGGGUUUGCUUAUUUUUCCUACUAAGGCCCUCAAAAAAGUGAAUUAGAAGAACUUCUUCUGGAAUAGAAAGUUUUGGGCCAGUGAGAGUAAGGUUAAUAAAGCGGUCCCAUGAUUUGCCAAGAGAUUCUUCUUCCAGUCGUCUAAAAGAAAGAAUCUCACGCCGAAGUUCCACCACUUUGGAGAUUGGAAAAUAUUUAGAAAGAAAACUACUAUAUAACUCCUUCCAAUCUCUAUGAACACUCCCUACUUUGAGUUUAUACCAAUGUCUAGCUUUUCCCGUUAAAGAGAACGGAAAGAGCUUCCAUUUAAGGGUCUCAUCGGACAUGCCUUCUAUGCGAAGGAGGUCACAGACUCGAUAAAACUCUCUUAGGUGUGUGUAUGGGUUUUCCUCACCUUUUCCUGAGAAAGGUUGUUUUUGAAUAAAUUCUAUGUAUUCAGAGUCUAUCUCAAAACUAGAUGCUAUGAUAGGCUUUGAAGAUUUUGGUGGUUCGAGAUGUGUGCCCAUAGGUCUAUAAAAUUCAUAGAUAGACAUGUUUGAAUUCAUAAUAGACCAGAGAUCAAGGAUUAGAUAAGAAGAAAGAAUAGCAGAGAUGAGGCAAAGGAUAAAAGGAAAAUAUUUUUAUUUAUCCAUUUAUUUUUUAUAAAAUGAAUAAACUAGUUCGUAGUCAACUCAGCAACCGUUUCCCCGGCAACGGCGCCAAAAAUGCUUGUUGACACUUGCUAACACCACUUGAAUACUAGGUUGUCAUCCCCAGCAUGGCACUAGAGUGUACUAUGGUAUUUAUACGCACACAGAUAAUCCGCAAGCGCACGGAUACCGUUGAAGCUUUUACCCGGUUAAAGGUUUUAUCGUAUCCACAGGGAAACGGGAGAACUGAUCUACGCUCUAACUUAACCAAGAUAAGUAAAUAGGUGUGAAUAGGAAAGAUGGUAGAAUCGAAUAAGAACAAUAUUAAAGGUAAGAUAACAGUGAGUGAUAAUAUGGGAAUAGAGAGUAGAGCAAUUCUAGUAUAUGGGUGAUGGUAGCAGAAUAGAGAGGAUAACUAUGGUUUCUCUACUUCAAAGGGGUAUGUCUAUGCCUGGGACGAACCACGUGAUAAGAGUACACCACAAAGGAUGCUUAUCCAUAGGCCGAUAAACCCUACCCGUCCUGCUAACGAGAGGUGGACUACAGGGGACCAACGUAACUGUCACCUACGCGGCCUACCACACGAUCCAGCUAGUCAGGGGAUAUCCACAAGUAAUCUAGGUCUAAGCACCACGCUUACACCUAUAAUACAACACUAACCUAUAGGGUCCUAUAGAUUAGAAGUACUCAAAAGAGUUGUGAACCAGAACAUACAUGAUUAGUAAUUGCAUAAUGAAUUAGAAGUAGAUUACCAGAGUCAUCCCAUGAGCAAGCUUGAUUAGAGCUUGAUCAUGGCGAAGUACAACCGGAGGAAGAACCGACAGGCCGGCCUCUCCUCUAAUCCUCCUUCGCUCUCCAUCUCGCUACUAUCUAGAUCUACUCUAGUUUAGAGAAGAGAGGAUAGCUCUCAUCUCUAAACCCUAGCUUUUGCUCUGUCUAUGAAUAAUGAAUAAUGAUCAAGGGGUGCCUCCUCCAGGGGCCAGGGGUCUGGUUUUAUAGUCCCCUCAAGUGAACCUGGGCCGUCGGAUCAAACCGACAUUGAUUGAACGGUUAUUCUUGAUCCUUUAGGUCGGUGGAGCAUAAUCCGCGAGAUUGAGCGUGAUUGGCCGAAAAAGGUGGGCGGGCGCCCUAAGGACUUGGGCGGGCGCCCUGUCCCUGACUCCGUUCGGUCUCCGCUUCCUUCCCGUGGCUUCUGGAGUCUUCUAGAUGUAAGAUAAUUGCGCGGCACGUUGAUAUCUCUAUGUAAUCCCGAUGUGUGGGCCUUUCUUCCUUAUUUCCUGAUAACCCCCUGUAGAAAUAGACAAACACCAAAACUCGUGGAAUUCUGUCAGAUAAAACCCUAAGACUCGAUGUUGAUUUCAUUUGGAUCCUUUUAUUUGUUUAUUUGAUAGUUAAAUUUGAUACUUAAGGACCGUCAACACUCUGCACACUUUACGUUACACACACAUAUAUCUUGGAUUAUGCAGAAUAUUGUCUCCGACAUGAUAAAUUAAAAAGAUUAAAAUAUUUCUAAUUAUGAUUAAUCUCAAUCUGUGAUAUUUCCUAAAAACUUGCAAUUAUUAUAAAAUCAUUUUAAAACCCUGUGUUACUUAAGACAGUAUGGAAUGUGAGAUGGUAGAGUAUGAGUUUCUUAUUCUUGAUAUCAUUGUUGCUUGGAGAAUUUAUUUCAAAAUAUUCAAAAUUUUAGCUACCAUCCUCAGUGUUUUAUAUGCCUGAUAAAACUGAAAAUAUUAAUUAUAAUUAUAAAAGCUAUCUCUUCUGUAUUGAGUUUGUUCAAAAUGAGUUAGACCCUUGUUGAGAGAUUUAUCAUGCUCCUAAGAUCAAGACAUUUAUUCAGAAAGAUUCACUCUUCCGAAGUAUUAUUGCAUUAGAGGCAUGGGCUAUGCAAAAAUAGAGAUAUUUCGAGGAAAUAAAAAGGAGCAAGUGCUCGACAACCUCGCAGAAAAAUGGACAAGUGUCCGGUAGUAGAAUUAGGGGUACCUCGGUAUCCACUUAAAAAAAGAAGAAGAAAAAUGAUAGCCCAUGGUCCCUCUAAUAAGCAAUAUGCCAGCAAGAGUUGACAAAGAUUUUAAUUUCCAAAGUCUUUGAUCUAAGAGUAUGACAUUCCCCUCCUCGGAUCCCGUUUUGAUCAGGAAAUAAAUGCAAAGUAAGUAUGCUUGAGAAUUUUUGCAAAAUAAAACAACCUCAGUGAGAUAUAUAAAAGAUAAUGAGUGAUCUGAGAAGAACCUAUGUGGAUAAAAAGGUAUGCUAACUUUCUUUCAAAAAUAUACAAAAACUCCAAGUGACAGGAUUGAGAAGAAAGGAUCUUUACUCUUAACCAUAAACAUCCCUGACUAUAGUACACAGUGGAAUUUUAACACCCUGCAAAUAAAAAGAAUGUUUUAAAUGUUUACCCCAGAUAUUUUUCUUAACCAUCCUUCUCUCGAGGAUGAGUAAAAGCCUAAGUAUGGGGGUAUUUGUUGACGGUUCUUAACUAUCCAUUUUAAUUAUUAAAUAAACAAGGGAAAGGACCAAUAUGCAACCAACACCUAGAAUUAGGGUUUGAUCUGACAGAAUUCCAUGAGUUUUGUUGUUUAUCUGUUUCUGCAGGGGGUUAUCAGGAAAUAAGGAUGAAAGGCCCACAUGUCGGGAUUACAUAGAGAUAUCAACGCACCGCGCGAUUUUCUACCAUCUAGAAGACUCCAGAAGCCACGGGAAGAAGGCAGAGGCCGAAAGGGGCCAGGCCCAGGGCACCCGCCCUGGUGACCUGGGCGCCCGCCCCCUGCUGGAUGCCAAUCAGGACUCUCUUCGCACGGGAUGUUCCACCGACCUAUUGGAUCAAGGAAAACAUAGUACCACCUCGCCUACCAACCCAAAAAGCAUAGAGGAGGAGGACUAUAUAAGGAGACCACCUGGCCCCUGGAGAAGACAUGAAAAAAUUAUCAUAGAGAUUGAGGGUGCCCUCGAAGGAAAACCUCUUCUUUAAUUAAUAUUUCUUUUUAGGCUUAGCAACCAAUGUAAAGUAGAAAUAGAUCUUCUAGUUUCUACUAGAUUGAGAGAGAUAGAGUGGAGGUGUAGAUUGGAGGAAGCCCGGCCUGUCGGUGUCUACUCCAAGCUUGUACCUGCGGGAUCAAGUUCUCCUAACCCGAAGCUUGCUCCUAGGAUUCUUCAGUAUUUCGACUUCUAAAUUCUAGUAAGUUCUUGUUUUAUUGUUCUUUUGGUUUAUGAGUUUAUUUUAAUCUCUUCGCGUAGAGUUUAGAGUAAUCAUUGCUGGCGUAAACGUGGUGUUUAGGCUGGGGUACUCAUAGAUAUUCCCUGACUAGCUGGACCGUGGUAGUAGCGAGGAACGUGACAAUUCCGAGUUACCUUUGCAGACCAUAUCUCGUUAGCAAGAAGGAUAGGGUUUAUAGGUGCGGGUUGAACAUCCUUUGUGGUGUCUAGAUUCCGUUAGCCUCCCCAAUACAACAGUAGAUCAUCCUUACCAAGGUUAGAAGGAGACUACGGUUGCAGUCUUCUCUAUUUAUCACUCACAUCGAAAGACAUUCUUUGUUGCCUAAAGGUUAGUAGUAAUAGACCGGUUAGUCAGAUGCACUCUUUCUCCUAGUGGUAAAAAAAUAAAUACGAUACUCUAGAUAAUUUCCCGGGUGAAAUGCUCACCGAUAUCCGUGCGCUUGCGGAUCAAUUCCUUAUUGCGUUCCCAAAUAUCGACAGCUAUGCUAAUCUAGAUGUCUAAUUGAUGUGGUGGCUCUAAUCUUGAUCAGAGGCUUCUUCUCCCUUGAGGAAUAAUGAAUUAGGGUUGAGAGGCUCUCUCCUCCAGGUGCCAGGGGGUCUGGUUUUAUAGUCCCUUCAAGUGAAUAUGGGCCGUUGGAUCAAACCGACAUCGAUUGAACGGUUAUCCUUGAUCCUUUAGGUCUGUGGAGAUAGAUCCCGAAAGAGAGUCCUAUUUGGACUCCAGGAGGGGGCGGGUGCCGUGGUCAACUGGGCAGGCACCCAGGGCCUGGCUCCAUUCGGCCUCCGCUUCCUUCACGUGGCUUUUGGAGUCUUCUAGAUGUAAGAUAAUUGUGUGGCUCGUUAAUAUCUCUAUGUAAACAUGACAUGUGGGCCUUUCUUUCGUAUUUCCUGAUAACCCCCUGCAGAAAUAGACAAACACCAAAACUCGUGCAAUUCUGUCAGAUAAAACCCUAAGUCUGGAUGUUUGUUUCAUUUGGAUCCUUUUUCUUUGUUUAUUUGAUAAUUAAAUUUGAUACUUAAGGACCAUCAACAGUGGCAUUGGCAGCAUCAUCCUCAGUGUGUUUGUGCUCGUAGAUCCAAGUUCUUCACUUGGUGGAAUCUGGGAGUUGUAAAACUCCUUCAUGUUUUGCUCAAAGUGUACCUGCUCAUAGAGACAAUGCAGAGAUCAAGUGCAUGGGCCCUGUUGGUGAAAAACACCAACAGAACCGAAAGUGUAUUUGUUAUUCUCUAACCUUAAGCAUAGUGAGCAAGACAAAGUUGAUGGAUAAUAAGAUCAUGAGUGUAGUAUUUGAUACAUUUGUCAGAUCAGAUUGCUCAACCCAAUGGGAAGAUAAUCUAUCUAUAUUUAUGUUUUGUUUAUAUCUUCCAAAGAUUAAAUGUGCAACAUUUUAGCUUAUAUGAUUAGGAGUGUGGGAUCACGAAGGUAGUACUAAGAACAAAGAUUAAAAGACUAAACAUGUUGAAUUAGUUGGGUAGUUCAAUUUGGAGUUACUAAUCAUACAUGUUUGUCUCUUUAUUUUAUGUGAACGCCAGAACCAAGGAGAAGCUUAUAAAAGCGAUAGUCAAGUAUCUUAAGAUGUUACCUUACUUGAAGAGUAAUGGUACAAUAUUACCUUGUGGAGGCUUUCCUUUCUUAGCGGUUGUGCACCGUGUUUGUGGCACUCUUUGUCUCGUUCUAUGGAUCAUCUCUCUAUGAUGAAUGAGCUAUGUCCUUCUUGUGCAAAUUGUUACAUUUCAUGUGUCUCUCUCUUCAUCUCUAAUGUGAGUUUAUCUCAGGACUUCCCAAAUUGAUAUUGAAAGUUUUUCAGCAGGGGUUAGUCCGACAAAAUAUAUCAAUGUCUACACAAGCAGUUUUUAGUUCAAUAACUGAACUAGACUCCAUGUCUAAUCAGAUUAAGGAAGGCUGUUUAACCUAAGCACCAUGCUUAAUUUAAAAGCUAAUAGAAGUAUGUGCAGCACUUCCAAACUAACAAUUACUAGGAUAAACAAAGGUAGUGUGAUGGCAUAAUAAGAGAUCUACUCAAGUGGAGAUGAACUAGUGUGAUUAGUAUUUAAUCAAUUGAGCAUGUCUCAAAGGUAGGGACAACCAACAUAGCAACAUGGUAAAGGAUGUUUUUAUGUAAAGUAUUUCCCCCAAGCUUGAAUUUUAAAAAAUUCAAGAUUGGAUGAAUUUAAUUCAAUGUUGCAUGAUGAUUGGUUGGGCAUACCUUGCGCUUGUCAUUCCUGGGAUCUUCGUGCUCCAAUCCUAGAAAGGUUAGUGACAAGAAUACCGAAAGGAAUAUUUUUACAAUUAUCCUUAUAUGCUCAAUACAUAAGACAAUGUUGCAAAUAAUUAAAAAUUCAUGUUACGAUCUGAUAAGUGCUUGUUUUAGGACACUAAGCUUGUCCUUGGGAAACCAUCAAAUUAUGUUGGUGAAGUGGUUUCCCCUUCAACACCAACCUAAGCGUGCCUAUAUCAAGAUUGACUCAACGAUAUCUACAAUAUUUAUUAUAGACAUAUGCAUCGAUAACUACCCCUUUAAAGUUUUUAUAAAUAGAAAGGAAGAGGGGGUUGGAGAUCUCAAAUGUGGUAAGGAUGGAGAGACCAAUUGAUUGGGGUGAUGUUUUAUAUGAGCAAGGACUUGGUGAGGUAUUUAUGAAAUAACUUCCAUGCUCACUAUUGUUUCUCUCAUUCUCAAACUCAAAGGAUGAUUCUUCAUGAAUGCUUAAAAUUCCUCUAGGAUUGUCUCUCAAGUUUGUUUUAUCUAUAUAUUCAAUGGUGAUAGCACAAGGAUUUUUAAUGCCCUCUAGCCAUUGAUGUUGCUCUUCUCGAUCCUCCUUGUGGUCUUGGUGACUCUUAUGCAUGGGAUGUCUAGAGAGAUUCAUAGGAUCAUCGGGAGGUUCAAGAGAAAGAGCAUAGUAGAAAUUAUUAGGCUCAAGGAUGGGUUUAAAGAUAGGUUCGAAUGAGUCAUCAAAAGUGGGCGUAGAAUGGGAGAAGAUGGGAUUGUCUUCUAAAUGGCUUCGCUCUCCUUCUAUUGCAUCACUUAAGUUGCCAUCCUUGAGUCUUUCUCGAUGUCCAUCAAAGGGAUUGGAUUUGAGAUGCUUUCUAAGAGAUCCCUUCUUAGGAAGGUUCAGACUAUAUGCACUCUAAGGUCUCUUAUGAAGCAGGAAGUUUAAGUUCAUCCCAAAACAAAUUUACAAAGGUAGAAUUUCUUCUUCCCUAAGAUGAUUUUGGAGCACUACUAGUUUGGGUUGGAUAGCCGAAUCAUUGGAUUGAAAUGUUUGGAAAUCGGCUAUUGAAACUUCCUUUAUUCGUCUAGGAGAUGAUUCCUUCUCUAUCUCUAGGAUUUUUUUAUCAAGAUUAGUGAAAGAAGGAUGUCCAUGAAUGAAGAUAUACCUUGCUUUACUAACAGAUAAAGAAAGAAAAACUCUACCAAGGGUUAUAUGAUUAAGACCAAUGUGAAAAUAUCGAGGAAAAACAUGGUCUUAUAGGGCUAGGUUUAAACCAGAAUUUAUAGAAAGAUUAUCAGAUUCCCUAGGUGUAGCUAAAAGUUCAUUAUCUUUUUGAUUAAAAGAUAUGACCUCAGCUAUAGAAAAGGGUUGGUUUUGACCUAUUGCAAUCAACUCCGGACACAGAUCAUAAUUAGGGGAAAAGAAAGGACUUGUUGACUCCCAUGGUCUCCGAAGGUGCAAAGAAUUCAAUAAUAUGUAUGGAAUUUGAAAUAUCCAUAAAGAUGGAAAGAAUAAAAAGAUAAAAGAAUAAAAGUAUAAAAGUAUAAUACAAGAUAAUAGUAUGACUAAAAGUUAUCUCAGCAAACCGUCUUUCUCCCCGGCAACGGCGCCAGAAAUGCUUGUUGAUAUUUGGUAACGCCAUUAGCAAUUGAUCCGCAAGCGCACGGAUAUCGGUGAGCAUUUCACCUGGGAGGUUAUCCAGAGUAUCGUAUUUAUAUUUUUACCACUGGGAGAAAGCGUGCAUCUGACUAACCAAAUCUAUUGCUACUACCCUUUAGGCUACAAAGAAUGUGAUUCGAUGUGAGCGAUGUAUAGAGAAGACUACAACCGUAGUCUCGUUCUAACCAUGUUAAGGAUGAUCUACUGGAUCUACUGUUCUAUUGGGGUGGCUCACGGAAUCUAGACACCACAGAGGAUGUUCGACCCGCACCUAUAAACCCUACUCGUCCUGCUAACGAGAUGUGGGCUGCAAAGGUAACUCGGAAAUGUCACGUUCUUCGCUACUACCACGGUCCAGCUAGUCACGUGAUAUCUAUGAGUACCUUAGCCCAAACACCACGUUUACGCUAUCAAUGAUUACUCUAAACUCAACCGGAAGAGAUUAAAGUAAACUCCUAAACCAAAGAACAAUAAAACAAGAACUUACUAGAAUUUAGAAUUCGAAUUAUUGAGCAAGCCUCGGGUUAGGAGAACUUGAUCCCGCAGGUACAACCUCGGAGUAGACACCGACAGGCCGGGCUUCCUGCGAUCUACACCUCCACUCUAUCUCUCUCAAUCUAGUAGAUCUAGUCUACUCUCACAUUGGAUGCUAAGCCCUAAGUCUAUUUAGAGGAAAGGUUAUCCUUCGAGGGCACCUCUCAACUCUAUGAUGAACUUGUUCUCCUCCAGGGGCCAGGGGGUCUCCUUAUAUAGUCCCGUCAAGUGAAUCUGGGCCGUCGGAUCAAACCGACAUUGAUUGAACGGUUAUCCUUGAUCGUUUAGGUCGGUGGAGCGUAAUCUGCGAGACGAGUCCUCAUUGGACUCUGUACCAGGGCGGGCACCCUAGGGGGGUGGGUGGGCGCGCUGCCCCCGGGCCCGAUCACCUUCCCGUUCGUUCUCGUGGCUUCUGGAGUCUUCUAGAUGAUAGAAAAUUGUGUGGCACGUUAAUAUCUCUAUGUAAACCCGACGUGUGGGCCUUUGUUCUGUAUUUCCUGAUAACCCCCUACAAAAAUAGACAAAUACAAAAACUCAUGGAAUUCUAUCAGAUAAAACCCUAAGUUUGGGUGUUGGUUGCAUUUGGAUCCUUUUCUUUAUUUAUUUGAUGAUUAUAUUUGGUACUUAAGGACCGUCAACAGAAGGUAAUAUGAGUAAGUUUAAAACUUAAUUGUUUACCGUAACCUAGAGAUGAGAUCUUGUUUGAACGCAUGUGUACCUUUAAGGCAUGAAACCACUGCAGAAACUCUUGAGUCCAUCCUUGCACAGGGACGAGCAAGAGGUAAGCUUGGGGGAGUUGUUGACGGUCCUUAACUACCAAAUAUAAUCAUCAAUUAAAUAAAGAAAAGGAUCCAAAUGCAACCAACACCCAGACUUAGGGUUUUAGCUAACAGAAUUCCACGAGUUUUGGUGUUUGUCUAUUUCUGUAGGGGUUUAUUAGGAAUUACGGAAGAAAGGCCCACACGCCGGUUUUACAUAGAGAUGUUAAGGUGCUGCGCAAUUAUCUAACAUCUAGAAGACUCCAGAAGCCAUGGGAACAAACGGGAAGCUGAGCGGGCUCGGGGGCAGGGCGCCCGCCUCUUGACGGUCCUUAAGUACUAAAAUUAAUAAUGAAAUAAACAUGAAAAAGGAUCAAUAUGAAACAAACAUCUAGAAUUAGGGUUUUAUCUGACAGAAUUCUACGAGCUUUGGUGUUUAUCUAUUUCUGCAGGGGGUUAUCAGAGAAUAUGGAGAGAAGGCCCACAUGUCAUGUUUACAACGAGAUAAUUACGUGCCGCGCAAUUUUCCUCAAUCUAGAAGAGUCUAGAAGCCACGGGAACGAACGAGAGCACGAUCGGGCUCGGGGGCAGGGCGGCCACCCACCCCCUUUUGGCGCUCUCCCAGGGUUGGAACCCAAUCGGGACUCUGCUUCGGGACUACGCUCCACCAACCUAAAGGAUCAAUCUAAACCAUACAAUCUAUGUCGGUUUGAUCCAAUGGCUCACGUUCACUUGAGGGGACUAUAAAACCAAGGCCAAACGCCCCCUGGAGGGAGGAGAAGAGAAGAAAUCAUUAUUCAGAGGUAGCCAUCAAAGUUAGGGUUUAGAGCUUCUCUCCCACGGAGAAUUAGAAUUAGCUACUCCCUAAUCCUUCAAGUUUAGAGGUUUGAUUAGAUAGCAAUUAGAGAAGUAGAGCACUACGCUCUGGAUUCGGAUCUUCGGUAAUAAAGAUUGGUAUUAUUCAUAUCUUUCUCUAAUUCUUUGUUCUAAUUGCAUUAUGUCUCUAAUUAUUAUGUUCUUAGUUUGUUCUAGUUCUAUAUUUGAUAUAGUUCUAAUUGAUAAUGAGUUUAUGUAUAAGUUUGCAAAGCGCUUAGCUCUUGACGCGAGGGAGUUAGGUGAUAGAUCACAUGUGAGCGUGGUGCUUAGAAGUUAUUUAUCUGCAAAUGUAUCCUAUUGGCCGGGUCGUGUGGUAGUUCGCGAUAGUGACAGCUUCGUUGAUUCUUAUAUAGUCCACCCUCCGUUGAUAGGACAGGCAGAACCGGUAUUGUGGAGUAAGUCAUGCGAUGCUCUGAUUUACUUUAUCAAUGUUCCUUAUACAUGAAUGAAGAGUCUUUUAUGCUAUAUAUGAUCUUGUAGAUAACUAGAGUAGAUUAUGACUUAGUAGUUAGUAGAUAACUUAGAAUCCAUUCUCUAGCUAAUCUGACAUCACCUACAUAUAUGAGGAGUAGUCUAUUUUCUAAUCGCUGUGUUAUCUACCCAUGAACUUAUAAUUCAUUAUCUUUAUGUUUAUGGUUUACCCCCUGCUAAAGUAAGUGACUGUGUGACGAGUUUCUCAUUAGUAAUCAUGUUCUUGCAAGUUUAUCUCUAGUCUAUGCCUUGAUAGAUUUUGUCCCCUUAUUUUAAUUUCAUCCCUUGAGCAAAAUUAUAAAUAACGAUACCUGGAAUACUUAUCCUAGUGAAAUGCUACAAUGAGGUGUUUUAUCUGUGAGCUUGCGGAUAGAAUAGAUUAUUUUCUAGAAGAGCCUUUACAUUUAUAAAUACCUUUGUACACUCUGGUACCAUGCUGGGGAUGACAACCUAGUAUCUAAGUGGUGUUAGCUAGUGUCAACAAGCAUUUCUGGCGCCGUUGCCGAGGAUUAUACGAGUCUCAGGAAUAAGUCAUAAAGGGGAACAAAAGGGUAAUACUUAGGAAAGCCAGAAAAUCAAUCAAGGUUAUUCAUAUAAAUCAUUAGACUAGACUAUAGAGAAAUAAUUGCAUAAAACAGCUACUAAGUGAGAAAUCAUAACAAGGCACCUCUGCUUUGGCAGGUUCACCCUGUUGUUUUUCUAUGUUUACAUUUUUGUACAGGGUAUAUCAGGAUUGACUUUUGGUACAUUCAACUCUUCAUCAUUAGAACCAAAGCAAUCAAGAGAAGAAGAAGCUAGCUACCAAUUGCUGAAGCUAUGGCACAAAAGACCCUACAAGAAUUCUCUGCUCCAAGUCUUGACAACAUUCCAACUGGUCCAAGAUUUGUAGUAGAAGAAGGAAUACCUGAGUUUGAGCUCAAGUCAAGCCUCAUCAAUUUGGUGCAAGCUACACAAUUCAGUGGAAAGGCACAUGAAGAUGCUAGUGCACACUUGCAGAAUUUCUUAGAGAUUGGAAGCACAAUCCACAUCAACGGAGUUGACAAAGACGUCAUACUGCUUCGCCUUUUUCCAUUCUCACUAGAAGGAAAAGCGAGGAAGUGGUUCUACACUCAUCAAGAUAACAUCGACAACUGGACGAACUUGUCAGAUGCCUUUCUAUCGAAGUUUUUCCCUAUAGGCAAAACAACUGCCUUAAGAGGAACUAUUGUCAGUUUCCAACAGCAGAAGACAGAAGCCAUUUCAGAAGCAUGGGAGCAUUUUCAAGGAUACAUAUCAGAUUGUCCUCACCAUGGAAUGGCCACAUGGUUGCUUAUGCAGACCUUCUACCAUGGAUUAACCCAGAAGACUCGUGAGUGCCUAGAUGCAUCUGCUAAAGGAUCAUUCUUGGAGCUUACAUUUGGAAAAGCAGAGAUACUUUUGGAUAAGAUAGCAGAAAACCAAAGCUGGUUCCAAGAUAAAGCUCAACAAUGUCAUCAAACUGAAGAAAUACCAGAAGAAGUAAAUGCAUUAUCAACUAAGAUGGAAAAUUUGCUCCAUUGGAUUGACCAGAGGGCCAAGUUUAAAGAAGAUCAAAGGGCUAUUGAGACAGCAUACAAAUAUCAACCAACUUCGAGUCAACCCAAUAGCAAAGGUAUGAAUUCAGGUAAUACUUUCAAGCAACUUUCAUUAAAAGAGAUAAUUGCUCAACAAACCAAAAUUAAUGACGAAGUUAAACAAAGGCUAGAUACAAAUGAAUCAUCUCUAAAAGAUAUACACAAUAAAAUGGAUUUUCUACUAACUGCCUUUGAUGAGCAAAACACUCUUAAUAAAAUGGUAGAGCUUAAAUUAAUAAAGAUAGCUGCUGCACUGCCUGUUGCUACUAACCUUGAGCAGGUAAAGAAUAUAACUACUAGAGGAGGCAAAGCUACCAGAGAUCCCCCAUACCCAAAAGAGAAUCAAAGAACAUCAGCACCAGUGCAACCAGCAGUGAUAGAAGAAGAAAGCCCAGUUGAAGCAGAAGAUCUACUACAACCACCAAGAACUAGAGAAAUGAGGAAAGAUUUUUACGACACCAACUAUUUGCCAUUUCCCAGAAGAAACAGAGGACUGCAGUCGGAUGAGCAGUUUGGUAAGUUUGUAGAGGUCAUUCAGAAAUUAUACGUCAACAUAACUCUGCUCGAUGCCAUACAGGUACCUACAUAUGCAAAGUACAUCAGAGAUAUUCUUAACAAGAAGAGACCACUGCCCACCACUGAGGUUAUCAAGCUGACAGAAGAAUGUAGUGCGGCCAUCCUCAACAAACCACCAAAGAAGAAGGAAGAUCUAGGAUAUCCCACUAUUGACUGCUCGAUCGGAAACCAACACUUCAACAAUGCACUUUGUGAUCUCGGAGCAAGUGUCAGUGUGAUGCCAGCAUCAGCCUACAAAAGGCUUGAGCAUGCGACCCUAGAACCAACAUCAAUGUGCCUACAAUUAGCGGAUCAAUCGGUUCGAGACCCUCUGGGCAUCGCCGAGAACAUUCCAGUCAAGAUCAGAGAUUUCCUUGUGCCAGUAGACUUCGUAGUAUUGGACAUGAGUCCUGACUCAAAAGUGUCCAUCAUCCUUGGAAGGCCAUUUCUGAGCACUGCCAAUGCCCACAUUGAUGUCGGGAAAGGAGAAAUCAAGUUCAACACAAACGGUCAAGAAGAACACAUGACAUUCAAACCCAGACCAGAGAGAGACUCUACAGUGAAGGAAGUUCAUGAAGAACCAUUGGAGACACCGUCUCCGGAGGAAGGUAACUCAGAAGAUUAAAAGAUUUGGAGGUCCAACUUGGGGGACCUAAAAAUCCCAAACCCUCACCGGGAGGUAAAUCGGUAUUUAUCUGCAUUAUUAAUUUUAUCAUGUUUAAAUUCUUGCAUAAUUAAUUCUUGCAUUAGUCAUAGCAUAAUUAUAAUAAUCAAAAAGCCCCAUAUAAAUAAUAUUCAUGGUGUGUAACAACCCAUAUUUAUUAAUUAUUGUGGAGGCACAAAAAAUAUUUUCCAUUAUCAUUAUCAUUAAGUUUCAAUUCUCAUAGAUUUUCCUACAUUAUAUUUAAUUAUAUUAAUCUUCUAGAAGCAUGACCCACACUCCUUGGGUCCCACAUGCCAUACACUUCACCUCACAUACAUCCCAUCACAUAAUUUCAUCCACCACUAUGUUUCCACCCACCAGACAUCUUUCCACCAUCCAACAACCACCACACAACAUUAUUCUGCGUGAGAUCAAAGCAAGGAAGCAAGUGGAGAAGGCACACCCAGGAUGGACACCAGGAGUGGGCGCCCACCCUGUCCCCUCUUGCUCCUAUAAAUAGCCACAUUCCACCUCCAUCUUCUUCACAAAAACACUCCAGAAAACCACACAAGUUUCAGUUUCCCGAGAAGGAGCUCUUGUAGUGAAGAGAAGAGAGUAGAGAGAAAGAGGAGAGUGGAAGAGAAGGUUGGGAGUUCUUUCGAGAGAGUGAUUAUCACCUAGCAAGUAGUGAUCCCGUUGUCUAAGCGGAAGUAAAAGUUGUUUAGGGGGGAAGCUCUACUAAAAUAGAAAACUUAUCUUGAACGACUAACCCCUGGACUACUGACAUUCCGGAUAGCUGACCACUAACAUUUUCUCUCACAUUUUCCACUAGUUGUGUUUUUGCCAACUUUUGUUUGCAGGAUGUUUAAGAAGGUGAAGAAUGCAGGGAAGGCUCUCAAGAACAUUGGUACAAGGAGUUCAGCCCGACACUCCUCACAGCCAUCAGAGAUGAGCGUCGACCCGACACCCACACAAGCUCCAUCAUCUUCAUCAGGUCAGCAAGUUAAGGUCCUUCUUAAGAUAGGAGACCUUGGACUGAAGACCCGAAGAGAGAAAGAAGUCUAUCAGCAACUGAAGAAUAAAGAUUUUAUUCACACCCCUACUAUUGAUCCAAUCUUACUACAAGAAACAGGUGUGGACACUGAAUUUGACUUAAUUUUCCAAAUGUUAGGUUGGACAAAUUUUUGGAAUAUAACUGAGCUGGGUUCUCGUCUUCUCACCCUCGAAUUUCUUUGCACUUUACAAUACUAUGAGGGGGGAAUUGUUUUUCGAAUGUUCAAACAGGAAAUUAUGUUGUCUUGGAGAGAGCUGAGCGACCAUCUUGGUUUCUCUUCAAGAUGCAUCCUGAACAUUGACUCCGAUUUACCCAAUUUUGAGAGACACCAGUUUUGGAGAGAAAUAUCUAGAGAUAAUUUUUAUAGUCAAGCCCGAACUAGUGACAUGGAACACCCUACUCUUAGGAUGUUCCACAAAUGGCUUGGGUACAAUCUUUUCUAUCGUGAUGAUAUUAGAAAAGUAAGAGUAGGAGAUUUACAACUUUUAUAUGCUGCUAUUAAUAAAGUACCCACUUCACCUGUUACACUUUUAGUUUCACAUUGGCUUAGUGUACCUAGUCUGCAGGGACCAGUAGGAUGUACUUCACUUAUCACUCGUUUAGCCUCUAAUCUUCAUUUACUAGAAAACUCAUCGUUGGAUUUCAUAGAGGAGUUAAGAAUUUAUCAUGGCUAUGACACAUUUAGACAAGCUCGGAUGUUAAAGAAAGAGGGGAAUGUAAUGUAUAUGCUAUAUGAUGAUAAAGGCAAGAUUCGGUUACCUAACCCGAACCUUGGCCUAUACGUUGUGCAAAAUCUUUUGAUUGAGAUUGCAGCAACACCAGUGAACCAGAGAGCUCCACAGCGAGUGGCAUCUGAAAGGGUGACCACUCACCGAGAAUGCACCUGGUAUGGAGCUGACCCUGGACCAGAAGAAGCAGCGCACCUGCAUUAUUGCGAUUACAACCCCCGAGUCCUUCGAGACCCAUGGGUUCGUCAUGCGCAACCACAAGAGCCAAUAGAGGAGACAUGGCCGGAGAGCCAAGAUCACCAGUGGACAAACCCGCCUUUCCAUAUGGGCAGGUACUCCACUGAUCCAUAUGGAGCUUCAGGAUCCAGACCUCCGCCCCAAUUUGAUGCAGGACGAUACUCCGACGCCUCCUACGCUUGCACGAAUGACUACUAUCAAGAGGCCGGUGCUUUCUUCACUCGUACCGACAACACCCUCCUCGACAUCCAGAACACGCAAGCAGAACAUGAAAGACUCCUGGAAGAGCAACAAAAAUGGAACCAGGACCAUGCUGCUGCAGUACAAGAGCUGAGACAAGAUACAACAACAAUGAAUGACAACAUCACAACUAUGAUGCGGUUCUGGAACAUCGGGUAAGACCGACGUCAACAUCCAGCUUGGGGGAGUUCCUCCCCAAUUUAUCAAGUAAGUUUUUAUUUGCUCUUAUUAUUUAUUCUUUUCUAUUUUAGUAUUUUAUCUUAAAAAGGAAAACUUAGAAAACCCAAUAAAUAUUUUCUUGCUUUAAAUUACUGCAUUUUAUAAACAUGAAAACAAAAUAAAAAGAGUGUGUAGAUAAGUGUGCUUUAUUUAUCUGUCAAGAGUUAAUCUCUAGAAAAAAUAAAAAGACCAAAAAGAUGCAUGAUGGAAAUGAUGAAUAGUUGCUCUGUUUGCUUACUUUCAAGUACCUAGCUUUUAUAUUAGAGUUCUUCCAGGAAUUACUAAAACUGAAACUUACUGUCUUUGGGAAGCAUAAAACUAAUGUCUAGGUAAGCGAAAGGCAUGAUAUAAAGUUGAGCUACUGUUUAUCUUGUUCCUACUACACAAAGUUCUGGAGAUUUAUUUUGAAAACUUACAAAUCACAUGAUGAGAUUCCUAGCAUUACAAACUACCUACCACAGCCAUACUUGCUAUAACAUCUUUUACUACACUUACAUUGAGUUUGAUUGAGCUGUGUAGACCCUUAGGAGCUUUUCAUGUGGUUAAAUUAAGAUAUUCACUUGCACACAUCUACUAUACCAUUCAUCAUCAUUCAUUAAAAUUGCUAAAAAUAUUAUCACUCACUGUCCUGAAUAUUGUUAUUCUCUCUCUAAAAAGAUUCAAUGCAGAAGAGGCAUGGGUUAUGCAAAAAUAUGCGAGGAAAUAAACAGGGUCAAGUGCUCGGAACCUCAAAAAAGAAAGAAAAAGAGUGAGACGAGAGGUAAAAUAGACAAGUGUCCGAAGUAGAAUUAGGGGUACAAAGAUGCCCACUUGAGCGGAAAAAAAUGGACAAGUGUCCGACAGUAGAAUUAGGGGUAUCUACUACCCAUCUGAAAAAAAAAGAAAGAGAAAAGAUAGCCCAUGUUCUCCCAAAGCAAAGAUCAGAGAAGAGGAGAGAUAGCAAUAUGAGGAGCAAUGAGAAGUAAGUUUCAUUAUCACUUAUACAUUUUUAUCAUCACUAUCAUUUACUCCACCACACAUGCACAUCUUGAUUUAAUUAUAUGCUGAGUUCCUUUUGGAUCCAUGGCUCAAUUAGACAACAUAUGUAUGAGCUGUUUUUCACUUCUAUGAGCUCCACUUAAAUAUUCCAUUAACUAUAGGUAAGUGACAUUAUGGUAAGGAUCCACAAAUACCACAUAUAGAGAGACUUGAGAGAAUCAUUGCUGGGAACUCUGAGUUUUAUUUUGGAAACUUAUAAAAUACUCUGGAACAAAGGUGAAGUAUAAACAAGAGGAAUAGUGCUUGACUUAACUAUUUUGUCUUUCGAUUACUUAAGAUUUAAGUGCAGGUACUAAACUCCAUAACACUUCACUCUAACCUGGAAGAAAUUUUAUGUAAAAGCAUGUGUGCCUGUCAGGAUAGAAAACAUCGAAGCAACUUCUGAUUCGUCUAAGUUUAGCUAUUUGCUCAGGGACGAGCAAAGGGUAAGCUUGGGGGAGUUUGUUGACGGUCCUUAAGUACUAAAAUUAAUAAUCAAAUAAACAUGAAAAGGGAUCAAUAUGAAACAAACAUCUAGAAUUAGGGUUUUAUCUGACAGAAUUCCACGAGCUUUGGUGUUUACCUAUUUCUGCAGGGGGUUAUCAGAGAAUAUGGAGAGAAGGCCCACAUGUCAUGUUUACAACGAGAUAAUUACGUGCCGCGCAAUUUUCCUCAAUCUAGAAGAGUCCAGAAGCCACGGGAACGAACGAGAGCACGAUCGGGCUCGGGGGCAUGGCGGCCGCCCACCCCCCUUGGGCGCCCGUCUAGGGUUGGAACCCAAUCGGGACUCUGCUUCGGGACUACGCUCCACCGACCUAAAGGAUCAAUCUAAACCAUACAAUCUAUGUCGGUUUGAUCCAAUGGCUCACGUUCACUUGAGGGGACUAUAAAACCAAGGCCAAACCCCCCCUGGAGGGAGGAGAAGAGAAGAAAUCAUUAUUCAGAGGUAGCCAUCAAAGUUAGGGUUUAGAGCUUCUCUCCCACGGAGAAUUAGAAUUAGCUACUCCCUAAUCCUUCAAGUUUAGAGGUUUGAUUAGAUAGCAAUUAGAGAAGUAGAGCACUACGCUCUAGAUUCGGAUCUUCGGUAAUAAAGAUUGGUAUUAUUCAUAUCUUUCUCUAAUUCUUUGUUCUAAUUGCAUUAUGUCUCUAAUUAUUAUGUUAUUAGUUUGUUCUAGUUCUAUAUUUGAUAUAGUUCUAAUUGAUAAUGAGUUUAUGUAUAAGUUUGCAAAGCGCUUAGCUCUUGACGCGAGGGAGUUAGGUGAUAGAUCACAUGUGAGCGUGGUGCUUAGAUGUUAUUUAUCUGCAAAUGUAUCCUAUUGGCCGGGUCGUGUGGUAGUUCGCGAUAGUGACAGCUUCGUUGAUUCUUAUAUAGUCCACCCUCCGUUGAUAGGACAGGUAGAACCGGUAUUGUGGAGUAAGUCAUGCGAUGCUCUGAUUUACUUUAUCAAUGUUCCUUAUACAUGAAUGAAGAGUCUUUUAUGCUAUAUAUGAUCUUGUAGAUAACUAGAGUAGAUUAUGACUUAGUAGUUAGUAGAUAACUUAGAAUCCAUUCUCUAGCUAAUCCAACAUCACCUACAUAUAUGAGGAGUAGUCUAUUUUCUAAUAGCUGUGUUAUCUACCCAUGAACUUAUAAUUCAUUAUCUUUAUCUUUAGGGUUUACCCCCUGCUAAAGUAAGUGACUGUGUGACGAGUUUCUCAUUAGUAAUCAUGUUCUUGCAAGUUUAUCUCUAGUCUAUGCCUUGAUAGAUUUUGCCCCCUUAUUUUAAUUUCAUCCCUCGAGCAAAAUUAUAAAUAACGAUACCUGGAAUACUUAUCAUCAUGAAAUGCUACAAUGAGGUGUUUUAUCUGUGCGCUUGCGGAUAGAAUAGAUUAUUUUCUAGAAGAGCCUUUACAUUUAUAAAUACCUUUGUACACUCUGGUACCAUGCUGGGGAUGACAACCUAGUAUCUAAGUGGUGUUAGCUAGUGUCAACACCGCCCUCCCUCCUUGGGCGCCCGCCCAGCUAGAGGAACUAAUCAGGCUCCGUCUCGCGGAUUAUGCUCCACUGACCUAAAGGAUCAAGGAAAACCGUGUGAUUAAUGUCGGUUUGAUCCGACGGUCCAUAUUCAUUUGGAGGGACUAUAUAAGCAGACCCCUUGGCCCCUGGAGGAGGCACCCCUUGAUCUCUAUUCAUUAUUCAUAGAUAGAGCAAAAGCUAGGGUUUGGAGAUGAGAGCUCUCCUCUCAUCUCUAAACUAGAGUAGAUCUAGAUAGUAGCGAGAUGGAGAGCGAGGGAGGAUUGGAGGAGAGGCCGGCCUGUCGGUUCUUCCUCCGGUUGUACUUCGCCAUGAUCAAGCUCUAAUCAAGCAUGCUCGUGGGAUGACUUUGGUAAUCUACUUCUAUUUCAUUAUGCAAUUACUAUCCAUGUAUGUUCUCGUUCACAACUCUUUUGAGUACUUUAAUCUAUAGGACGCUAUAGGUGGGAGUUGUAGUAUAGGUGUAAGCGUGGUGCUUAGACUUAAAUUACUUGUGGAUAUCCCUUGUCUAGCCGGAUCGUGUGGUAGGCCGCGUAGGUGACAGUUACGUUGGUCCACUGUAGUCCACCUCCUGUUAGCAGGACUGGUAGGGUUUAUCGGCCUAUGGAUAAGCAUCCUUUGUGGUGUAUUCUUAUCACGUGGUUCAUCCCAGACAUAGACAUACCCCUUUGAAGUAGAGAAACCAUAGUUAUCCUCUCUAUUCUCCUAGCAUCGCCCAUAUACUCUCUAUUCCCAUAUUAUCACCCAUUGUUAUCUUACCUUUAAUAUUAUUCUUAUUCAAUUCUACCAUCUUUCCUAUUUACACCUACUUAUCUAUCGGGUUAAGUUAGAGCGUAGAUCAGUUCUCCCGUUUUCCUAUAGAUACGAUAAAACCUUUAACCGAGUAAAAGUUACAACGGUAUCCAUGCGCUUGCGGAUUUAUCUGUGUGCGUAUAAAUACCAUAGUACACUCUAGUGCCAUGCUGGGGAUGACAACCUAGUACUCAAGUGGUGUUAGCAAGUGUCAUCAAGCUUUUUGGCGCCGUUGCCGGGGAAACGGUAGCUGAGUUGACUACGAACUAGCUUAAUCAUUUUCUAAAAAAAUAAAAAAAAAAUAAAUAUAUUUCCUUUUAUCCUUUGCUUCAUCUCUGCUAUUCUUUCUCCUUAUCUAAUCCUUGAUCUCUGGUCUAUCAUGAAUUCAAUCAUGUCUAUCCAUGAAUUUCAUUGACCUACGGGCACACAUCUCGAACCACCAAAAUCUUCAAAGCCUAUCAUAGCAUCUAGUUUUCAGAUAGACCUCGAAUACAUAGAAUUUGUUCAAAAACAACCUUUCUCAGGAGAAGGUGAACAAAACCCAUACACACACCUAAGAGAGUUUUAUCGAGUCUGUGACCUCCUUCGCAUAGAAGGCAUGUCUGAUGAGACCCUUAAAUGGAAGCUCUUUCCGUUCUCUUUAACAGGAAAAGCUAGACAUUGGUACAAUCUCAAAGUAGGGAGUGUUCAUGGAGAUUGGAAGGAGUUAUAUAAUAGUUUUCUUUUUAAAUAUUUUCCAAUCUCCAAAGUGGCGGAACUUCGGUGUGAGAUUAUUUCUUUUAGACAACUAGAAGAAGAAUCUCUUGGCAAAUCAUGGGACCGCUUUAUUAACCUUACUCUCACUGGCCCAAAGCUUUGUAUUCCAGAAUAAGUUCUUCUAAUUCACUUUUUUGAGGGCCUUUGUAGGGAAAAUAAGCAAACCUUGAAUACAGCAUCUAGAGGAUCCUUCUAUCACCUAUCUGCUAGUGAAGAUAGGGAUUUAAUUGAUUCAUUGAGUGGAAAGUUUCCUAGCAUUUAUAUCCCUGAGAAAGAGAAAGAACCAGUUCCUAGACAAGAAGAAGAAGUUUCGAUAGCCAGAUCACAACCACUUCAAUCCAGAACUUUAGCUAUCGAUCCUAAACCAUAGUUAUCCUCUCUAUUCUCCUACCAUUGCCCAUAUACUAGAUUGCUCCACUCUCUAUUCCCAUAUUAUCACCCAUUGUUAUCUUACCUUUAAUAUUGUUCUUAUUUUAUUCUACCAUCUUUCCUAUUUACACCUACUUAUCUAUCUAGGUUAAGUUAGAGCAUAGAUUAGUUCUCCCGUUUCCCUGUGGAUAGGAUAAAACCUUUAACUAGGUAAAAGCUACAAUGGUAUCAGUGCGCUUGCGGAUUUAUCUGUGUGCGUAUAAAUACCAUAGUACACUCUAGUGCAAUGCUGGGGAUGACAACCUAGUACUGAAGUGGUGUUAGCAAGUGUCAACACUAGCCACUUGCCCUUGGUAAGCCCGGUCUUGUGAUCCCUCGACGCGAACGGCUACUCGCGCACUGGACGUGGAGCGAUGGCGAGAGUAGCGUGUACCGUCCUGGAAAAUGGGCUGGAUGGUGGGGUACUAUGCUCUCGGGUGCCGUGAACCCGGUCAGAUCUAGGGAGAGCUAGAUUUGGGUUGACAUAUGCAAGUUUUGGUUCUACAUAUUGUUGACGGUCCUUAAUGCUCACAUUUAACUGUCAACUAAUCAUGAAAAAGGAUCCAAAUGCAACCGACACCUAGACUUAGGGUUUCAUCUGACAGAAUUCCAUGAGUUUUGGUGUUUGUCUAUUUCUGCAGGGGGUUAUCAGGAAAUAUGGAAGAAAGACCCACACGUCGAGUUUACAUAGAUAUAUUAACGUGUCGAGCAAUUUUCUAUCAUCUAGAAGACUCUAGAAGCCACAGGAACGAAGCAGAGGCAGAACGGGGCGUGGCCCAGGGCGCCCACCCACCUUCUGUGCCCAAUCAGAGUCAACUUUGCGUGUCGUGCUCCACCGACCUAAUGGAUCAAGGAUAACCGUUCAAUCAAUGUCGGUUUGAUCCGACGGCCCAGAUUCACUUGAGGGGACUAUAUAAGCAGACCCCCUGGCCCCUUUAGAGCAUACCUCUUCUACAUAAUCAAAGCUAGGGUUUCAAUUAUUCAUCCAAGUAGAGAGGAUCCCUCUAGUUCAUCUAGUUCUAGUUCUAGUUCCUCUAGUUCUAGUUCUAGUUAGUUCUAGUUGUAAACUAGAAAAUAGGGAGAGAGAAGAGGAGAGCGGAGGAGGAGCCAGAUCUGUCGGAUCUUCCACAACAUUGUACUUUUGCAGCAACUGGUUCGUUCUUCAUCGUUCUCCAAGUUCUUCAAUUCAUAAUUCUUGAGUUCUUUAAUUACAUUUAUUUACAUUCAAGUUAUUUAUUGGAUUCCCGCUUGCAUCAAGUGCUCUAGUCUUUAUAACGCUAGAGUAGUAAUUAAUAGAUUAGACGUGGUGUUUAGUCUUGCCAUUACCUAGAAUUGCACCAAGUCCUUCUUUUAUUAAUAUUUAUUGAUUCUGAACUCCAAAUAUAGCAAAUAAUAUAUGCAUUUUGAUCAGCUCGACGAGAUCUUUGUAAUGGUGUACUCCAUUCUGUGAUUGGUGCUUAUACCAGGGCGGGCGCCCUAGGGGGGAGGGCGGGCGCCUUGCCCACGGGCCCGAUCGCUUUCCCGUUCGUUGCCGUGGCUUCUGGAGUCUUCUAGAUGAUAGAAAAUUGAAUGGCACGUUAAUAUCUCUAUGUAAACCUGACAUGUGGGCCUUUCUUUCAUAUUUCCUGAUAACCCCCUGUAGAAAUAGACAAACACCAAAACUUGUGGAAAUCUGUCAGAUGAAACCCUAAGUCUAGGUGUCGGUUGCAUUUGGAUCCUUUUUCAUGAUUAAUUGACGGUUAAAUGUGAGCAUUGAGGACCGUCAACAAGCUCCCCCAAGCUUAACCUUUGCUCGUCCCCGAGCAAAGAUGGACUCAAGAGUUUCUGCAGUGGUUUCAUGCCUUAAAGGUACACAUGCGUUCAAACAAGAUCUCAUCUCUAGGUUAGGGUAAACUGUUAAGAUUUAAACUUACUCAUUUUACCUUCCACCAUGGGGCUUGCAACCGUCACUUAUGCCUUGAGCAGUUAAAAGAAAGAACGGUCUAGACAAGCGCAAUAUCUCUUGUUCUUCGAUUAACUAUAGCUCUGCAGUUUUUGCCAAUUUUUAAAUAAAACUCAUAGAUUCCUUAUAUGACUCUCUAGUCUCUCUUUUGUGGUAUUUCUGGAUCCUUACCAAGGAAGUAAUGGUGUAUGCCUUCUCUCAAAGUAUGUGGUAUUUUUGGUAUGAGGCAUAGUGGUAUUGCCUUAUCUCUCACCCUACUCUAAUAAGGUUUUGAUAUCUGGAGCUCAUAGGUGGGAGAUAAAGUAUACAUACUUACAAGACAUUUAUUGCAUAGUCAAACCAUGGAUCCAGAAGAACAAGUCAAUAAGUCAAAUCAAGAUGUGCAUGUGUGGCGAAUGAAUGGUGUAUGGUGAUGAUGGUGAUAAUGUUGAAAGUCUAAUUCUACGUUUGCUCUUUUGAGGGGGUACAUACCUUUCUUGCACUUGAGGCUUUUGAGGGGAAUGAGAUGCUCUAUAUUUUAUUUUUCUUUUCUCUCAGGUGGGUAUCUUGUACCCCUAAUUCCACUGUCGGACACUUGUCCAUUUUUACCUCUCGUCUCACUUUUUCUUUUUUUUCUUCUUCUUUUUUUGAGGUUUCAGGCACUUGCCCCUUUUUAUUUCCUCGUAUUCACUUUUUUCAGAGCCCUCACCCUCCUGGAAUAAUGUAGCAAGUGGUAGUAACCAAAAUAUCUCGAGCAUUUAUUUCACGGGGAAUAACAGGGAUAGGAUAAUGUUUCUUGGCUAUUCUCUCCUAGAUAGGAGUAGAAUAACUUUGGGUGAAUCUGGAUAUGGAAAUGAGUGGAUGUAUGUGGAUGCGUACUUCUGGAGUAGAAGCAGCAUGUAUGAGUGAACGUGCAAGUGAAUCUUAAUUUUAACCGCAUGAUAAGCUCCUAAGGGUCAACACAGCUUGACCACACUCAAUGCUCAUAAACAGUAAAAAGUAAAUGUAUGGUUUAUAGUCUAAUAAGCUUGUAUAUAUGGCUGUGGUAGGAUUUUAAACUCUCAUUAUACAGGAACUCAUCAUGCAACAUUUUAAAGAUUUUCAAAGAUAAAAUUCUCCAGAAUUCUAGCAUCUCUAGGAAGAGAUAAACAACAGCUCAACCUUCCCAUAUCAUAUCUGUUAACAACUUAGACUUUUGAUCAGGUACUCUUCCUGCAAAUUUAGGUUUAGAGCAAGCUUUAAAUUAUAACAGUUAUGCCUAAACUUGAGAGAGAGCUCAAAUUUGAAAACUAGGUACUUGGCAGAGCAUCUAUUCAUCAUAUCCAUGUAAGAGUUUAUCAUUGAAGUUCAGUUUGGCAUAGACGCUUUAUUUAUUUAUUCUGCAAACUAAGCAAAGAUAUAUAUAAGCACAAAAUAUUUAAUUGGUUUUUAUGAUUACGCAUUUUUUAUUAUUUGAGUAAAGUAUAAAUGUGAGUAGAAACACUUAGCUGGAUAAAUGGAGGUGCUCUCCCCCAAGCUGGAUUUUAACAUAAUUUCUUCUGAUGUAGCUAGCAGGUGGCGUAGGUGUAUUUGAAUGUUGGCAGCACCCUGAUAGCGAUUAGGAUAUCCUCUGUCUGCUAGUCUUCCUUGAUCCUUGAAUUCUGUGGAGCUCAAAUAGACUACAAAGCUUUGUGGAACUGGUUAAGUGUUAGCAUAAAAUCUCUUAGCCUUUGUCAAGUUGAGCUUCCUCUAAUUAAUAUUACUCUCUUUAGUAGGAUCAUAAAUUUAUUUUUAUAUUUUCAAUUUUACAGGACAAGAAUAUAUUUAUUUUAUUUUUACGCCACCACAGUGAAUGGGUUUUAUGCCAUGAGCAUACUCACUUGGGCUUACUGUUUUUAACAUUUUUAUUUUCUUUUCAAGAUAGUAUGAUUAACUAACAAGCUAUUUAAGGAAAGUAAAUAAUUUAAGAAAAAAAGAAUGCAGGAAGGAUAAAUAAGGAUAACUACCGAUUUUAUCUUUCGGCGAGGGUUCAAUGUUUUAAGUCUUCUGAACAAGACUUCUCACCGUGUUUAUUCUUUAGGUGCGUCAUUUGAGUUAGGUUUGGACCUUGACAUCUGCACCUCUUGAUAUGGUGUCACCCAUGUUUUUCGUUUGCCCAGCAGUUCGAAGUACGGCGUUGGCAGCAUCCUCCUCAGUGUGUUUGUGCUCGUAGAUCCAGAUCCUUCACUUGGUAGAGUCUAGGAGUUGGAAAACUCCUCCAUGUUUUGCUCGAAGUGUAUCCUGCUCAUAGAGACAAGACAGAGAUCAAGUGCAUGGGCCCUAUUGGUGGAAAACACCAACAGAACCAAAAGUGUAUUUGUUCUUCUCUAACCUUAAGCAUAGUGAGCAAGACAAAGUUGAUGGAUGAUAAGAUCAUGAGUGUAGCAUUUAAAACAUUUGUCAGAUC